rnacentral:lncRNA from 1 species
AAUAAAAUAAAAAUAUUGAAUAAAAUAUUUAAUUUUCUCAUAAAACAAUAUUUUUAGAACAUUGCAUAAAUAAUUUUUAUAGCGUAAAAGCAAAAUAAAUUCAUAUAUAUUGUAAUACAGUAAGCCAGAGUAUUUAAUUUAAUUUAUAGUAACAAGUGGGCCCUCGAAUAACCAAAAGUAAGAAAGAUUGUGAACCUAUAGUUUGGAGGAUGCAAAUCCAAUGGUGGUCCUCGAUGAAAUCAGCUAUCUAUAGACUAUCUUGAGCCUGAAAUGGGUGGAAAGGAGGGUGGUGAGAUUAUAUAAUCCCAGUGAGUAAACAAAUACCAUCUAAAAUAUCUAAAGCCGAGUAAAUAGAGACAGAUAAAAUAGAUUAGCAUACUGUAAUUCAUCACCUUUUAACUUGUUUCAACCAAAUAAAAUCAAUUCAUAUAAAUCGAGUAAUCAACAUGGCUUAUGAAUUUCUUAAAACUUUGGCUCGUGCCAAAAUCAUUUUCAUACCCAAUUAUCAGGGAUACCUUGAUCGAGGGCUAUCCCAACCGAGUCCGCCAAGGCUAAUAAAAAGUUAUAUACGCAUAAAUCUUGUUUUUAUUUUGAAAACAUAGUCAUUCCUUGACGUUGGCUGAGUUCACCCUCACGUGGUGGUUUGGCGUGAAGUGAACUCUAAAGUGUUAACCUUAGGAGUUAUCCAUCCACGCCUCUCAUACUGAGGUAUAAAUAUAAUAGGGUUACCGUGCCCUUCUAAUAGGCUGGUCCACAGAACCCGUCCACUGCAGCGACUAAUUUAUAACCCACCAUACAACAAAAAUUCAAUAGCAUGACAUGAUAAUUAUUUUAUUUUACAGCCUCUCAAGGCAAAUUAACAGUUCAUACAUUCUCAACACAAAUACCAAUUCAGCCAUUCAUGCAAAUAUUAUCAUAAGCCAUUCAAUUCAAACCAUGAUUUAUAACACAACAAUUAGUCUCCAAUUACUCCAUUUUCAAAACCAUCGUUCAAUUUCAAGACAAUUUUAUAAAAUCAUUUCAUUUAAACACAUUUUGUUUAUAAAACCUAAAAAUUUACCAUUUAAACUUAUUUUCCAUAAAAUCACAAAAUCAGAUAAAAUCACUUUAGAUAAUUAAGAUGAUAGUAAGGUUACUCACUAUUUCGGGGAGUCGAAUUUUGAGUACUCCGAUUCUUGAUCCUCGAGUACUAUCUCUUUACUUUUGCCAGAAUGCUCACCACCUAGACAUAAUGCACAAUAAGCCAUUUACUACAUUUGUGCUAAAUUGUUAUAAAACCAAUUCAGGCUCUAUACUAAUGCAUGAAAUGGGAUGUGAAAUACUCGGGUAACUAUCUAAAUAUGGUGUUCCAUAUAAAUUCAAUUAUGUACCUAAAUAAAACGGUAUUGGCUUAAUUCGAUCUAUCACUUGAUUAAUUAGCCAAUACGUCCAAUUCAACUCUAAUUAACUCCAUUUUUCUUCCAAUUCUCCAAACCAUCAAACACAAGUUAAAUAACCUGAAAUAUGACAAAAUCAUUCUCACAUUUUCUCUUGGAAAAUUCGGCCAUGGUGGGUGCAUCAACACUAUAAUUUUUCCUACUUGAUUCUCACACCAUAAAUCACUAAUUCUUAACCAAAUCACUUAAAAUAAAAUCAAAAUCGUCCUCAAUAUUCCACAUGGAGAAUUCGGCCAAUGAUGGGUGAUGGAAGAACAUGAAUUUUUCUUGCUUGAUUUUCAUGCUACAAAUCACCAAUCGACUAAAAACACUAAAAUACAUUGAAAUCUAACCAAAUCAAGCAUCAAAACCUUUCUCUAAGUGUUCAGCCAGCAAGAUACCCAUCAUGAAAUCAUGUGAUUCAACCAUGGAAAAUGCAAAAGAAUGUAUGGGAAAGGUAGAUCACAAGCUAGAAUUGAAAAAUCUUACCUUUUGUCACUUGUUUUCUUGAAUUUUCACACUUUUCCCUUGAAUUUUUCCACCUAGGGUUUUUGUUCUUCUUGUCUUCCUUUGUUCUUCCUUUGGCCGACCAUAUGAAGAGAAAUAGGCUGAUUUUGUGCUAAUUUAUAAGGAAAAUAAUAAAUGAUUAAGAAUUUGACACAUGUCACCAUUCCAUUGGUCCAUGUGUCAUACUUACCCAUUAAGCAAUCUCUCUCCACCACUUAAAUUUUCUUAAUUAUCCAUGAUAAUAUUGGGUAAAAUCCAUGUGCUGAACAAGUGUUGGGUGGUGUAAAAUUACAAUUUUGCCCAUAGGGUGGCAAAAUGACUAUUUUACCCCUAUGCUAAAAAAAGGUCGAAAUUAAAAUUUUUCACUUCUCAAACUCAAAUUAUGUUCUAAAUAGUCAAUCUUGAUCAAAAACUUCUUCCAAUAUGCCAAUUUUAACCUCGAGUGGCAAAAUGACCAUUUUGCCCCUUGAUCAUGAAAAUUCUAAUUUGACUCCAAAUCGGUCUUCGAACUCUGAAUCAUCAUUUUAAGUCAUUCUGGGGUUUUAAAAUUCUCAAUUUCAUCUUAAAAUCUCUAUUUGAUCUAGUUCGAGGCUUAAUUCAACUUAAUUGUACCAUUUGGUAAAUUGCCGUCCUUUAACGAUUUUCAAGGUACCCAAGUAAGCAAACAUGCAUUCUUAUGUAAGAAUGGCAUAAUAAACAUAUUGUAGAGCUGGGCUUGAAAAAAGGUACCAAUCAAAGAAUUGAAACCAUUAGUAACACUUCUCAAACUAUAAUCAAGCAUGUUUUAUUUGUUGAAAGUCUAAAGCAUAACUUGUUAAGUAUUAGUCAACUUUGUGAUAGAGAAUUUAGAAUUUGCUUUAAUUGUCAUGUAUGCCAUGUGAUUGACAUUGACACUAACAAAGUUGUAUUCAUUGGCAUAAGAUUUGAAAAUGUUUAAGUGAUUUUUCUUGAUGAAAUUAUAUUCAAAAUGAGUUUUAUCUCAUGGCCAAUGAUGUGUGUGAUAGUUGGUUGUGGCAUAGAAGGCUAGGAUAUGCUAGCAUGAACACCUUUUCAAAGAUUUUAAGAAAAGAUUUGGUUAUUGAACUGUCAAAGAUUUUGUCAAGACCCAAAUUUAGAGAGCCGUGAUUGGCAUGCACGAGCCUUGCAAGCAAGCCCAUAGACUUGAGGAAGCCUUCAUAAUUAAGUCCUGUUAAACAUAUUUCAUAAUCAGAAGGCCCCAUGGCUAACAUCACUUCAUAACCACUUAAGUCCCUAAUAUUUAACAUUAGCCCUUCGGCUCGUAAUAAUAUUCAAGUCUUAAACUUAUCAUACACAUAGCCAUACAUUGAAUAACUCAUCAUCAUAUAUUUAUCAUUUCAUUACAUGACAUCAUACAGGGUGACAUAGUACCCACAUAAUCCAUUCUAAAACAUAACCUUUUUUAUACAUUGCAGAAGCACAAGACUUGCCUAUGACCUAGCAGAGUGACACUAUCAGCAGAUAGCAUACUACUUGCCAAAAUUGUGUGUUGGAUGAUGACAAUGCUAAGCUACCCGAUCUUUGGUGUCUAUUUAUUUUCACAUGUACCAUUAAAGUGGUGAGUCACACUAGUACUUAGUGAGCAGGAACAUAACAAUUGUAAAUGUGCAAGGAUGGUUGCUACACAUAUCCUCUAUUCAUGCAUGCAUAUCAUACAUCAUAAAACAUGUACAUAUAAGACAAGUCAAUCAUCACUCGUUGAUCAUAGUCUAACAUAGUCAUGGCAGCUGUACCACGCUGCAUAUCUCUAUUUAUGAUCAAACUAAGGCGGCGUAAUAAUCAUCUUCACCUUAUUCAUCCCAUAAUGACCAUCAAUAAAACUGUUUGUCAAACUCAUUCUAUCGUAUGAAUAGGCCCACCAUAUGGCUUUCUAUAUACGUGGUUAAGUAUACUUACCUCAUGGCGCUCACCUCGACGCUAAUCCAUAAGCUUCUCAAGCACACAACAUAUCAUGGACACAUGACAAUUUACAUAUGGCUCUUUCCUCAAGCCUUAGCAUAUAUCAUCAUUUUAUAGCAUAACACAUCAUGAUAUGCAUUUCAUUUCCUAUGGCAUGCCACUACAUAUUCGUAUCAUCAAAACAUAUCAUGGAGUGGCCCUUUCUGGACAUAACAUAGUCACGUAAGGUGGCCAACCGACAGAAAACAUACAAUUUACUAUCACACCCCAUUGCCACAGCAAGUGACAGAGUCAUGUCAUGCCCCAUUGUCGAAGCAAACGACGGAGUCAAUAAACAACACCCAAAAUAGUCGCAUCAGAUGGCAUCAUAUCACUAUAGGGGAGAAUUAUAGGCGGGACAAAACCACAAUUCAUAUUUACCACCAUCCUUGUAGGCAGCAUACAUCAUCAUUACACAGUAGGUGGGAAUCAUAGGUGGGACGAAACCACCAUCCCUGUGUGAGACCUCAACCUCUAUAGGCUCAUAACUAGGCAUAGACAUAAUAACAUGGGCCAAGGGUAGUUUCGUCAUUUCCUUAGUAAGCCCUUAAAAGUAAGUUUUAAAUAAUAUUAAGGCCUAAGUAGGCCUAAGGCAUAAAUGAAUGAUGAAAAUAUGGGUAAAAUAACGAAAGAAAUAAAAAUGAUGAUGAUUUCCACGAUAGGGGUAAAAUGGUCAUUUUUCACCUCGGGUCAAAAUUUUUAAGUUUUUGGGAACCCGAACAUUUCUAGACCAUUAUGGACCUUGUCCUAGUGUCAAAAGAGUAAAAAGAUUGUAUAAAGGAUUGGAGGAGAACAAGUUAACUUGUGAGGGCAUUUUGGUAAUUUAAGUGGAGUGGAUAAGUUUGGGCUCUAAAUAUCUCUUUCUUCCAGCAACUUCUUCUCCCAUUUUCCAGCAGCUUUUUCUUCUUCUUCCUUCUUCUUUUUCAUGUUGCUUUCAUCCUCCAUGGAAGCUUGAUAUGAAACCUCCAUAACCUCUCUCAAAAUAGCUCCAAUUUUCAAGCUUUUGUGCAUUUUUGCAUAGAACCCUUGUACUCUUUCACUCUCUCACUUUAAAACCCUUGAAAAAUAAUACUUCCAUACUUUUUCUCACUAGUUAGGUGCUUAGAGAGAGAGAGAGAGAGAGAGAGAGAGAUAGAGAGAGAGAGAGAGAGAGAACUCCCAUAAUAGCUUGGAAAAUUUUUGGAAAGAAUUUCAAAGUUACAAAGCUAUUAAGGUGAGUAGUAAAUUGGAGUUGAGUUUUAAGUGUUGAGAAUGUCUAGUAAUCAGAUUUGUGAGAGUUUAUUUGUUGGGAUUGUUAUUCAUUUAAGUGUGAUUAGAGUAUUGCAAACAAUAACCAUUUAAUGGUAUUUGGAAACUAGUUAAGAAUGACUUGUAAAACCUAAUUUAGAAAAUAUCUUUGGAAUAGUAUUAAUGCCAAGUUGGGUUAAUGGUGAUGUUAUUGUGCAUGAUAGGUCCCAACGAAGUCCCACAGCCUCAAUUGGACCAUUAGGAAAGUUAGAGUCGGCUAAAGGCUCAAUAAAAUACAGGUGAGUGAAUUUGCAUUUCAAAACUGUUUUGGGAAUGUGAAUCUAUUUGCACAAAACAUUGAUUGAUUUAUCCAACUUUUCUUAAAAACGUGUGCCUUAGGAACAAGCCCUUGAUAAAAUAUGUUGAUGUUGUGAAAAUGUGAAAUGUGUAAAAAGGACUGACCUAUGUGCUUCUAUACUGUGUUGAUAUAUAUAUAUAUAUAUGUAUAUGAAUAAUGUUGUGUAAUGAUAUUGACCCGGCUAUGUGCGAGUAGGAGUGUGCAUAAGCUGAUGCUUACUCGGCUACGUGUGAGUGGGAGUGUGCAUAAGCUGAUGCUGACUUGGCUAUGUGCGAGUAAGAGUGCGCAUAAGCCGAUGCUGACCCAGCCAUGUGCUAGUGGGAGUGCAUAUGAGCUGAUGAUGAUGGGAGGGUGUGCAUGAUGGUUGAUAUAUAUAUAUAUAUAUACAUAUAUAGAUAUGUGUGUUAUAGAAAGUUCAUGAGUAUGGUAUGUGGUAUUGUGCAUGUGAAUCUUGCAUGUUGAACUUUGGAAAUUUUAUGCGUUUCAUGUUGAUUUUUUGUCAUUUAAACAAGAUGGCUUUUUCUUGAAAGAAAGGAAACUUUUUCUUGGUGCUCUGUUUCUCGCUAUAGUGAGAUUUAAUCUCGCUACAGCGAGAAACUCUUGGGUUUGGAGGGGUAAUGCUGGCUAAAAUCUCACUACAGUGAGAAAGUUAUUGUAGCUUCUUGUUGCAGCGAGAAACUUUCUGUUUUAUGGCAGAAAUUUCAUUGCAGCGAGAAUGCCUUCUCGCUGUAGCGAAAAACUUUCUAUUUUGCUCUUUAUUUUGUUCGGUUGCUGCCUUAUUUUUCACUCCUUUGGUACCAUAGUUGAGCAUGGACUUCUAACAUUAAGGAAUUAAUUAGUUAAGUCUGAAAUGAGGAGGUUUGGUGAGAAACCCUCGGCUAGCUGAGAAACCUUCGGUCAGUUGAUAAAUUGAGCCAAAAUUUCGCUACAGCAGGAAGGCAUUCUCGCUGCAGUGACUUGACUUAAUUUGCAUAAAGGCUAUUAAAGUUUUCACUCUUCAAAUCAUUUGUUGAGCGUGGACCCUUUUUAUCAAGUGAUUUACUCACGUGGGGUUUACAUGAGGGGUUUUAAUAAGAAUGAAACUAAAUAGAAUUGUUUUGAAAAUAAAUGCAUCAUGAGUUCUUUAAACUUUCCUUCUCGUUUGCUUGUUCCCUUCUUAUGUUCACUCACUGAGUUUGUACUCACCGUUUUCAACUUUAUGUUUUCAGAUCAGGAGGCAGUCGAUAACUAGGUUGAGGUGUCCUCGUAGAUUCGACUCUUGGUAGGUGUCUCGGCAUUUAAUAGCUAUACUUUCGUUUGAGUCUUUCCAUUGGAAAUCGAGUUUCCUUUUUCAUAUGUAUAGACAAACCUGAUUUAAAUUAUUAAGAUACAUGUUGUAGACAAUAUAUGUAUAUUUGAUGGGUAAUGCCAGUACUAGUUGGCAAUGAUUAGCUUUAUUUUGAUUCGAACUUAUGAAAUGUGAUUUAGCAACUUUGACGAAAUGAUGAACAGGUCAUAUUAAUAUGCUUGCUUGGGCUUAGUGGACUAUGUCCAUUGGGCCCGCGCAAAGGUCACGGCUCAGAAUUUGGGUCGUGACACCCUGCUUACCACCAUCCUUACUGGAGGUAUACAUAGUCUCAAGGGAUUUGGACACACUCAAUCUUCCUAAUAUACAUCGUCCGGAAGUCCUCCACAGAUAAAACAUACUUAUUCUAUAUCAUAACAUUAUCCAAAAUCAUCUGCGGACGGUACAUACAUCAUGUCAUAUACCCACUUAAUCAUACUUAUCGCCACACUGUCAUGAGUCAUACAUAAUCAUGCUUAUUUCAUAAUAUUUUACUCAUAUCAUCAUCAUAUCACAUUCUAUAUUUAGCCUAGGAAUAGCCUUCUAGGUAUAUCAUACAUUUUUCAUAACAUCCACUAGUUUAGACAUAACAAUUAUAGAUGUAUUUGUCAUAUACAUAUUCAUUAUAACAUCAUAAUUUCCACGACAUUGGCUCAUAAUCACAUUGACAUCGUUGGCCUAGGCUUAGCCCUUCUAGGCAUAUCACAUUAUUCAUGAAUAUUUUCUAGUUUAGGAAUUCUACCUCUAGACGUACUUAUAGCUCAUACACAACAUACAUUAUGCAUUUUCAUUAUUGAAGCAUAUAUGUACCCUAGUCAUCAUGCUCCUUAUGCAUAAAAGUUUUGCCACUCACCUUGACAAUCUAGAGGUGUUCUUGAGUCAAGCUUCAAUCCUUAGCCUCCAAUCAUGUUUCAGCUCACAAACAAGUCAAAUAGCUCCAAAUUUCCUUUAAGCACAUCAAAACAUUACAAACUCAUUAAAUCCUGGCUUUCGAAGAAUGUCGACUUUUCUUAAAAUAGCCAAGUCCUUAGCAUAUUAACAAAUAAGCUCAAAUCCUUCAACAACGAGGUAACCCAUACCUUAGAAGUUGGGUUGUCUAAUUAUUUACCCUAAAUCUUCAGUCAACUCAAGAUAGUUGUGCGCGAUGUGGGGGUGCACACGAUGACUCCAGCUAUGUGCAGUGUGGGAGUGCACAUGAGCUGGGUGAGGCAGUGGUCGCAUACGUGUAUAUAUAUAUAUUUACUAUAUAGAGAGGUUUGGAAUUAAUAUGUGAUUACAUUAAUUGUUGAAACUUGAUUAUUGUCAAAUGUGUUUAAACUAAUUUUCGUUGCAACAGGAUGAAUUUUUAAUGCAGCAAAACCCCCCCUUAAUUUUAUUAGCCCUAAUUCUCGCUGCAGCGAAAAUGAAUCUCGCUGUAGCGAGAAACUCUCGGGUGGUUCACUAAAUCUGUGCUCUGAAUUUCGCUGCAGCGAGAAACUCUCUGUGAAACCUUAACCCUCAUAGACGCAUAACUCGAGGUGGAACUUAUGUUUAAAGGUUUAAUUUGAGCUAAUGAUGCUAGUUUUACAUUACUUAUAAUUAUUUUAUGUCGUUAUAGGAGUACGAUUCAGAAAUAAUUUCAAUUGGUGAAGAAAGGUGUAUAAUGGGCUGUUGUUCUAUUUGCAUAUGUUUCGGUUUGUCAAGCAUAUCUCCCACUACAAAAGUUCAAAUGACAUUAUUUUUGAACCAUUAGAAAGCUAAAAGGUAGGGCUACAACUUUGAUGUUUACCACUUUGCCUAGUUUUGACAGAAAGGUGGUCAAAAUCUUUGUUAAAGUGAAAAUACUAUGCUAGAAGAAUAGAUUUGGACAGAACAUUUGAGUGUCGCGACGUUGGAAAUUGAGAGCAGCGGCCCGCAUCGUAAUUUCCAUAAAUAACAAGUUUAGGGGAUUUUUGAAGCUAGGACUUUUUGGGGCUACUUAAGGGACCUUUUUCAAAGGAUUUUGGACCUUUUCCAGUGUCAAAAGAGUAAAAGAUUGCACAAGAAAAGGAGGAAGACAAGUGGCCUUGUUAAGGGCAUUAUUGUAAUUGCAUGAAGAUUUAGAUAAGCUUUAACUAUAAAAAUCUCAUUCUUCCAGCAUCUUCUUCACUUCUCCAACAACUUCUUCUUCUCUUUCCUCCCAUCUCACGUUUCUUUCCUAUUCCAUGAAAGUUUCUCUCAAGCUUCCAUCACUGUCCUAAACUAACCUCAAUUUUUGUGCUCUACAUACCCUGUUGUAGGGUUUUUCAUACUCUUUUACUCCCUCACCUUAAACAAACCUUUAAAAGUCUUUCUUCAAUCCUUUCUCUCACUAGUUGAACUUUGUAGAGAGAAAAGGAGAGGCUUCAUGAUAGCUUGAGGACUCUUGGGAAGAAAUUUCAUUACAAUCCACCAAGGUGAGUGAUGGAUUGGGACUGGUUUUAAGUUAUUGAUAAAGGCUAAUAAUUAAAAUUAAGAGUUUUGUAUCGCUGAAGUUGUUUAUCUAUUUUUGUUGUUACUAAAGUAGAGAAUUGAAUAGCCAAUCAAAUGGUAAUGGAAGAUAAAUAGGAAGGGCCAGUGAAGCUUGAUUUGGGAAAAUAGCUUUGGAAUGGUAUUAAUGCCAAGUUGGGUUGAUUAUGAUGUUGUUGUGUAUGAUAGGCUCCACCGAAACCCCACACCUCCAUUUGGAACAUUAGUCGAAGUUAGAGCCCACCAAAACAUCAAUAAAGACUAGUGAGUGAACUUGGAUUCAAAAUGUUUUGGGAAAAUGUUUACGUGUUUCAAUGAAUCAUUUGGGAAUUUUAUCGAUUUUUGUUUUAAAAUUGCUUAGGAACAAGACAUUGAUAAAAUGUUUGAUGUUGUGAAAUGUGAAAUGUGUAAAAGGAUGAAUCCAUAUGUUUUUGUAUGAUGUUGAUAUAUAUAUAUGUAUACUAUGUCAUAAAUGGUACCAUCGUGUGACAAAUGCAACCGUGCAUGUGCGGGGUGAGUGUGCACUCGCCGGUGAUGAUGGUGGUGAGGGAGAUGGAUGGUGAUACUGUCCGGCUAUGUGCAUGAUGUGGUGGGAUGCACAUGAGCUGGGUGAGAUGGAAUGAUUGCUAGAAAUUUCCUCUCUUUCAAAUUUCAUGCUAAAUAUGGUUCCUUUAUCAUUAAAUGAUUUAAUAACCAGGGGUUUAAUGGAGGGAUUAUAAUAAGAACUUGAACUAAGUUGCAUUGUUUUCAAAUAAGUGCAUCAUGAUUAUCAACUUUCCUUAUUAUUGCUUGUUCCCUUCUUAUGUCACUCACUGAGUUUGUACUUACUGUUUUCAACUUCAUGCUUUUAGAUCAAGAGGCAGUUGGAACCUAGGUUGAGGUGUUCACGUAGUUUCAUCUUCUUGGUAGGUAUGCUGGCAUUCGGUAGCUGUCCCUUCACCUUGGUCACUCCGCUAAAAGCCCACAGUCAUUUUUGUUUGUAAAUAAGUACAUGUGAGGUAAAAUACUAAGAUACGUGCCUUAGACCAUAUAUGUAUAUUUGAUUUGGUAAGCCACCAUGAGUGGCAAUGGUUAAUAUUAUUAUGGGUUAAUAUAAAUGCAGUUUUGAUUGCUAUAGCUUAUUAGUAAAGUACUUGAAGGGUGGCAUUGUGAGAUGUAGCUUUCAGAAUAAUUGAUGGGAUGAUGAGUAGGAUUACGUAAAUAGGCUUGCUUAGGCUUAGUGGACUACGUCCAUUGAGUCCAUGCACCGGUCAUGGCUCAAAAAUCGAGUCGUGACACUCUCAGGAGGUUCAAAAAUUUUCUUUGUUCGAAUUUUACUGCAGUGAGAAACCCUCUGUUAUGCUGUUAUGCUAGUCUUGCUUGGAUUCUACUGUAGUUCUCACUUUUUCCAACUUCAUGGUUGAUCAUGGAUCCUUCAACAUUAAAGGAUUAAAUAAUCAAAGUUUGAAAUGAAGGGUUUUAACGAGAAUUUAAACUAAAUUGCAUUGUUUUUACUCUAAAUGCCUUAUGUUUUCUAAACUUUCCUUAUCUUAUGCUUGUUCCCUUAUUAUGUUCACUCACUGAGUUUAUGCUCACCCUUUUUAACUUCAUGUUUUUUAGAUCUGGAGAUAGUUGGAACCUAGAGUGAGGGGUCCACGUAUAUUCGCCCUUUUGGUAAGUACCACGACAUUCAGUAGCUGUACUUUCACCUAAGGUCACUCCGCUGGGAGUCGAGAGUCUUUUGCCUGUGUAUAUGUAUACGUGAUGUAAAUCACAAAGAUGCAUGUCACAAAACAGUAUGUGUUCUAUUUUAUUAAUGUUGCCACUAUGAGUUGGCAAAUGGUUGACAUUAUUUCGGGUUUAUAUGAAUAUAAGUAUUUGGUUGUCAUAGCACAUUACUAAAGUACUUAUAGUUGAAAAUUAAGAAAUGUAACUUUAGAAAUAUCUGAUGGAAUAAUGAACAGGUUGCAUAAGAGGCUUGCUUGGGUUUCGUGGGUUGUGCCUAUUGGUCCCUUGUGCCGGUCAUGGCCCAAAAAUUGGGCUGUGAUAUGAAAUCUCCUUCCUUUAACACUUAAAAUCUUUGAUUUAUCAUUGGGAUUUAGUGGGUUUGAAGGGUGUGAAAGUUGAGAGAAAAUGGAUGGAGAAUGAAAGUCUAGAAAGAAAAUGAGGAAAUUUCACGUUUUGGGGGUUUUUAAGCUAUAAAUUAGCUGAUAUGGUAGUCUAGGAUUGACUAUGGGAGUCUUGAAGUUGAUGGACCAAAUUUACCCCUGCUCCCAUUGCAUUGCCUAGGAUUGACUAUGGGAGGCUUGAAGUUGAUCUUGGACCAAAUUUACCCCUGCUCCCAUUUCAUUGCCUAGGAUUGACUAUAAGGGCUCUAGAGUUGAUCUUCAGCCACUACAGUUUCUUCUUCUUGCUCUCUACUUCACAAAUUCCAUCCUACAUGUGCUAGGAUCGACUCUUGAGGUGCAAAUUCAUAAAAAUUGGUUCUUUUGAAGUUUAAAUUCAUUCUAAAUCUUCUCCACAACCGUCAAUCAUUCAUAUUUCACUUAAGAUCAACAUAUAAGUUCAUCAUGCACACCAAUUUCUCAUUCUUGCCUUAUGUCACAAACUACUAUCUUUCACUUAAGUAUGUGAUAGUCCAUGCUUCACUUGAGUGGACGCUUCCCUACAAGUCAGCUAAUACUCAGUUAUAUCUGAUCAAAUAUCAAUAACAACAACAAAUCAGACUAAGAGAAUCCACAUCAAAAUCAGAGGGCAUACCGAAUGCCAUAUAUGCAAUCAAUGAGCCAUAAAAGGAAAAAAUAUUUUAUUAAUAUGAAAUUAAUUACAAAGGGAUCAAUACAUGCCAUCACCGGGCCAUAGGGGAAGCCCUAGAUGAUUCACUACAAACAUACCUUUACUAGUGAGGCAGUCAACAAUUUGCUAACUACUUACUCCCUAUAAAGAGUUUACGAGAUUUUAUACAUAUUUUACUAGUAACUAUUACAAUGCUUGAAAUGAGGACAUUCCUUUCCUAAAGUGUCUUUCCUACUAAAGGCUUAACAAGUAUUUUUAGAGGUGCCACCAUAAGCCAUUACAAUGUUUGAAAGGGGGAUAUUUCCCUUACAAGUACAAAAGACUCAAUCUCAUCGACAACUCUACCCUAUCAUAGUUCAAUACAAGGUUGGCUCAUGACACUUUAUGUCACAUAACAUAUUAAUUAAACAUGGCAUCAUUUGCAUACAUAUCAUACUCAUCUCAGUGCCAAACAUAUGCAUUAUGUCAUUCAUGUGCCGAGUGUGAGACCUUGUCAAGCUCGAUUAAAAGACGGUAUUGUACCGAGUGAUACAACUAAGUUAAAUCGAGCCUUGAACUAGUUCAAAUAGAAAUUCUAACAGGAAAUUAAAAAUUUUGAAACCCACAGAAUGGCUUAGAAUAGUGAUUCGAAGUUCAAGGUCCAGUUUGGAGUCCAUUAGGAAAAUUGACCGAUUAGGGAUAAAACGGUCAUUUUACUAUUUGAUGAUAAAAUGGAGAUUUCUAGCCAAGAUUUGAUCAUAUUUGACCAAGAAUAAUUAUAUGAAAUAUAAUUAUGAUUAUUGGAGCAUAAAAUGAUGUUUAGUAGUGAAAAAUUAUGAUUCCCGGUAUUUUUGAAGCACAAGGGCAAAAUGGUAAUUUUGCCACUAGAGGACUAAACGAAAAUUUUUAUAAAACAAAAUUUGCCCCAUUUGGUUAAUAUUGGUCAAUAUUAGUGUUAUUUGAGGUUGAAAAGUAGAAAUAAUGUGACUUCGGUACAUUUUGGAGUAUAGGGGCAAAAUCGUAAUUUUUUCGCCCGAGGGUAAAUUGGUAAAUUAUUCGCCCUAGCACUUGUCAAGACCAAGGGAUUUUAAUUGUGGUAGGAUUGGAUAAAUACCAGAAUAUUUGUGGUGGAAAAUUAAGAAGAAAAAGUCAAAAAGUUAAAAAUUGGGCCAAUAAGCAUGUGACACGUGGCAUGCUUGAUUAUUUUAUUAUUUUCUAUAGAAAUCAGCCCAUUAAAUCCCCAAUUCCCUCACCAUAUUCGGCCUAGACAUCCAGCAACAAGAAAAAAGGAAGAACAAAGGGAAAAACAAGAAAACCUAGGUGGAAAUUCAAAGAAAAAGUGAAGAAAUCAAGGAAACAAGCUAGGUAAGUUAAAAUUUCUUUAAUUCUCCUUGAUACCUAGCUUACCCAUGCUUUUGUUCUUGAUUUCCAUGGUUGAAUAUUGAGUUAUCAUGAUGAAUUCAAUUCUGAAAAAUGGGUAUGGAAGAGGAAUUGUUGUUGGAAUAAUUUGAUUUUAGACUAUGUUAGUGUUUAGGGAUAGUUAAGCAUGGUUAUGAACAAAAACACAAAAGAAAUAUUCAAUUUCUCUAGGGUUCCUUGUUGGUCGAACCAUGAGGGCUGAAUAUCAAUGGGGGAUUGUUUUUAUUUCAAGGAAAAUGGCUUGAAAAAUGAUGAAUUAAGGUGAAACGGUUAUGUAGAAAAAAUUUCGGUGCUAGUGCACCAAAUGACCGAAUUUUUCUAUAAGGAACUGUGAGGGUUCUAAUGCUGAAUUUGGCUUUAUUUAAAUGGUAUGUGGUAAAUUAAGGUAUUAGAGGAGAAAUGGAUUAAUUUGGAGGUGAUUUGGACACAAUCGCCAAUUAAUCGGGUGAUCGGUCGAAUUUAAUCGAUAUCGCGAUUAAGCGGUAAUCGAACGUAUUUUUGCAUUUACAUAUCAAGCAUUAGUAAUUUAAAUUAGUUUAUAUCAAUUUAGGGACAAUAUAGUAAAUUCCUCGACUUUGUUAUUUGUCAAGGUAGUGAGACGUCCGGAAAAGGCAAAGGAAUUGUGCUUGAGGACUAUUAGUCCGAGUGCACCCGAAAUCCGGAUUUUUGACACUUGUGAGUGAAUUUGCAUUUCAAAAUUUAUUUGGGAAUUCUAAUUAAGUUGAAAUGAAAUGCGUGAAUGAUUAUAUCUAAUUCCCAUUUAAAAAUGAAUCUCGGGAACAAGCCUUUAGUGAAAAUAUUUCAGUGAUGUUAAAUAUGAUUGCGAUGCAUCUGUGUAUAUCUGUAUGAUGCCUACAUGUAUUAUUGAGAAAUUGUGUGAAAUUAAGUGUACUGAAUCUGUGUACCCUUGUAUUAUGCUGAUAUGCAUUAUUAAUAAAUUAUGGUGAAAUUGAUGCAACCAUGCAUGUGCGGAUUGGGAAGUGCAAUGCCAGUUGAAUGACAAAGGAUGUGAUAAUUACAACCGUGCAUGUGCAGAGUGGGAAGUGCAAUGCCGGUUUAAUGAUAAAGGUUGUGGGGACGGCGAUACGUAACGCCCACAAUUUCCUAAAAAUUCAGAGGUGUGCAAAGAGGGAUACUGAGUGAUACCCCUUACCGAGUACUCCGAUAGUUAUUUCUUUGUACCACCAAGAAUAGUGAAGACUUGGCGGUGUAUAUAAUUGCUCAUAUCUUUGUGUAUAUAUGUUUGAUUGUGUGGUAUGUGAAACCCUUGUUUGUGACGGUUUGUGAUAAAUCGUUAAUUUUGCUAUCUUGCUUGAUAGAACAAUUGGUGAAUGAAAUUGUACGUGAUACAUAUGCAUAUAUGAAUCAUACGAGUUGUGAAACCUUUAUUGUGUGACGAUUUGUAAAUAACUGUCAGUUUUACUACUUUGCUAGAAGGAUCGAUUUAAAUUCAAGGAUGUUUAAUCCUUGAAUGAGUAAUAAAUUUCUAGGUAAGGGAAAAAGGGUUUGGAAUUGUAGUUAGAUGAAAAUGGCUUUAUUUUCAACUAGUGCAUCAUGAUUGUCAAAUUUCCUGGUUGAGAUUGCUUGUUCCCUUCUAAUAUUCACUCACUGAGUAUUGUACUCACGUUUUAUAAAAAUUCAUGUUUUCAGAUCACGAAGCAGCCGAUAAUUAGGACGAGGUGUCCUUGUAGACUUGUGUCCAUCUUUUGGUAGGUGUCUCAGCAUUCGGUAGCUGUAUAUUCAUCCGAGUCCCUUCGCUGGAAGUCGAGUAUUAUUUUAUUAUGUAUAGGUGAACUUAAUGUAAAUUUUAAAUGAGUAAUGCCAGUACGAGUUGGCAAUGUAUAUCACUAUUUUGAUUCAAAGUUAUGAAAUAUGACUUAGUGAUAAUAGAUGGAAUUAUAAGUAAGAUAAAUAAUAGGCUUGCUUGGGUUUAGUGGAUUAUGUCCAUUGGACCCAUGCGUCGGUCAUGGCCCAAAAAAUUGAGUCGUGACAAUCUUGGUAUCAGAGCCCUAGGUUUGUCUAGGUCCAAGGACUUCCAUUUGUUGGUCCAGCGGAGUGUCGAGUUUUUAUGUGGGAACUUCGGUUGUGAAGUGUGAACCGCGACAUAUUUUACAACCAAAUGACCGCAUAGAUUCCCUAUCUUAGAAACCACCUUUUGCCUUAAGUAUGAUUAUAAUAUGUGUUUAAUAAUAGGUGUUUGCUCUUGUCUAGGUAAGAAUGCUGCCUAAGACAUGAGCCGCCUUAAGACGGGUAGGGGAGUAAGAUGCUCCCAUUGAGAUGGCAGAUAGACCACGGGCAUCCACCCGGAGAGACCGAGGUAGAUGUGGCAGGGCCACUAGGCCAGUGAGGUCGGAUACACCUGUGAGUAGGAAAGAGGAGGGACAGUCCUCAGGUGAUGUAGAUAGACACCCAGUUGGGGGUAUUAUUAUUGAGGAUUUGGUGGCAGGCCUAUAGGGAGUUAAUCGGGUUAUAGAGAUGAUGGCGACCCGUAUGGAGGAUAUAUAGAGGGUAGUAGAGGGGAGACCUACAGUGCAAGAAUCCCCUAGCUCUCAAGGACAGGCCGACCACCAAUAUCAUGAGGUUGAGAGGGGUCACUUAGAGAUUUCUCUUCCUGAUUUUCUUAAGCUUAAGCCUCCAUCAUUUUCAGGGUCCGAUGCGUCGGAAAAGCCCCAGAUCUUUUUAGAUAAGAUGGAGAAAAUAUGUAAAGCUUUGGGAUGCUCUAGUGUCCGAUCAGUCGAGUUAGCCGCCUUUCGAUUAGAGGAUGUGGCGCAGGAAUGGUAUAGUUCUCUAUGUAGAGGCAGAUUGACGGAUGCAGCACCAUUGACUUGGGGUGAGUUUAGUGUAGCCUUUUUAGACUGAUUCUUACCACUCAGUGUACGUAAUCCACGAGCUAGGGAGUUUGAGACUCUAGUGCAGACCUCGAGUAUGACGGUGUCGGAGUACGACAUCAAGUUCACACAGUUGUCUCGGUAUGCUCCCUACCUAGUUUCCACUGAGGAGAUGAAGAUUCAGAGGUUUGUGGAUGGGCUAGUAGAGCCACUGUUUAGGGCUGUGGCAUCUCGAGAUUUUAAAACCUACUCCGUAACGGUAGAUUGUGCUCAGCAGAUUGAAAUGAGGACUAGUGAGAGUAGGGCCGCAAAAGAGGUAGCAAAAAGAGCCAAGACAGAGGGUUAUCAGGGUCGUAGAGACUUUAGCAGUGGGAUUUCAUUUUCUAGCCGUCAAGGCCCACAUGGGGAAUUAAGGUUACCCCAACAAGGGAGUAACGUGAUGAGUACCGGUGUUAAGUCAGGGCAGGAAGCUUUCAGUGGAAGGAGGCAAUAACAAGACUCAAGGCAAAUUAGUCAGGCGAUUCCUCCUUGUGAUAAUUGUGAAAAACGACACAGAGGAUGAUGAUAUUUUCGCAUGAAAACUUGUUUUGGUUGUGGCCAGCUUGGACAUAGGGUGAGGAACUGUCCGAUGGCCCAACAAUCACAAGGUUCUGUUCGUAGUCCUAAUCAGCUAGCUUUGUCUGCUCCUUCGGUAACUGUUUCAAUUGGCCAAGAGGUUAACGAGAUAAGAGAUAGAGGCGCUGGUGCUUCCUCUCAGGGUAGACCAUAUGGGUCUGGAUGUCAGAGUUUAUUGGAAGCGGGCCAAGCAUGGGUGUAUUCUUUAACUGCCCAAGAGGCCCAGACCUCAAAUGCAGUGGUCUCAAGUAUUUUUUCUAUCUGUGAUAUGAAUGCUUGGGUGUUGUUUAAGCCUGGUUUAACCUAUCUGCUUAUUUCUACAUGUUUUGCACAUCGAUUGAGUAAGAAUCGUGUUAGAAGAGAAGAAUACUUGGUGGUACCUACUCCUUUAAAGGAGGUAUUUGUGACUGAAUAAGAAAAUAAAUUCUGCGUAGCUCGAAUCAAGGAUAAAAAUACCUUAGUGAAUUUAGUGGUGUUAGACACCUUAAGGAGCUUAAGGAUCAGUUGGAGGAUCCUUAUGGAAAGAAAGAAAAGAUGUUUACCAAAGGCACAGAUGAAAAGUUGAGGUAUGGAAAUAGACUUUAUGUGCUGGAUAAUAAUGAAUUGAGGAGAGAGAUAUUGAAAGAGGCGCAUAUGGUAGCCUAUGUGGUACAUUCAGGAGCUUGGCAACGAGGCUGAGUGAUACUGCUUGCCAAGUGCUCUGAUAGGUACGCUUUGUUGCUCGUCGCGGAAGGGAGAAAGGGCUGCCUUGAAGGGUGGAGCCACCCCUAGUGACAAUGUUGGUAUCAGGAUUUAAAGGAGGUGACGUGGGAAGUUGAGGAUGAGAUGCGGACAAAGCAUCCACACCUCUUCGAUAUGUAAAGGUAAGUCACUCUACAUUGAAUUUAAAUUUGGGGACCGAAUUUUUAUUAGUGGGGGAGAAUGUGAGACCCUGUCAAGCUCGAUUAAAAGAAGGUAUUGUACCGAGUGGUACAACUAAGUUAAAUCGAGCCUUGAACUAGUUCAAAUAGAAAUUCUAAGAGGAAAUUGAAAAUUUUGAAACCCACAGAAUGGCUUAGAAUAGUGAUUCAGAGUUCAAGGUCCAAUUUAGAGUCCAUUAGGAAAAUUGACCAAUUAGGGACAAAACGAUCAUUUUACCAUUUGAUGAUAAAAUGGAGAUUUCUAGCCAAGAUUUGAUCACAUUUGACCAAGAAUAAUUAUAUGAGAUAUAAUUAUGAUUAUUGAAGUAUAAAAUGAUGUUUACCAGUGAAAAAUUAUGAUUCCCGAUAUUUUUGGAGCAUAAGGGUAAAAUGGUAAUUUUGCCACUAGAGGACUAAACGAAAAUUUUUAUAAAAUGAUUUUUGCCCCAUUUGGUUAAUAUUGAUCAAUAUUAGUGUUAUUUGAGGUUGAAAAGUAGAAAUAAUGUGAUUCCGAUACAUUUCUGAGUAUAAGGGCAAAAUCAUAAUUUUUUCGCCUCGGGGGCAAAUCGGUAAAUUUUUCAUCCAGCACUUCUCAAGACCAAAGGAUUUUAAUUGUGGUAGGAUUGGAUAAAUACCAGAAUAUUUGUGGUGGAAAAUUAAGAAGAAAAAAGUCAAAAAGUUAAAAAUUGGGCCAAUAAGCAUGUGACACGUGGCAUGCUUGAUUAUUUUAUUAUUUUCUAUAGAAAUUAGCCCAUUAAAUCCCCAAUUCUCUCACCAUAUUCGGCCUAGACAACCAGUAACAAGAAAAAAAAGGAAGAACAAAGGGAAAAACAAGAAAACCUAGGUGGAAAUUCAAAGAAAAAGUGAAGAAAUCAAGGAAACAAGCUAGGUAAGUUAAAAUUUCUUUAAUUCUCCUUGAUACCUAGCUUACCCAUGCUUUUGUUCUUGAUUUCCAUGGUUGAAUAUUGAGUUAUCAUGAUGAAUUCAAUUCUGAAAAAUGGGUAUGGAAGAGGAAUUGUUGUUGGAAUAAUUUGAUUUUAGACUAUGUUAGUGUUUAUGGAUAGUUAAGCAUGGUUAUGAACAAAAACACAAAAGAAAUAUUCAAUUUCUCUAGGGUUCCUUGUUGGUCGAACCAUGAGGGCUGAAUAUGAAUGGGGGAUUGUUUUUAUUUCAAGGAAAAUGGCUUGAAAAAUGAUGAAUUAAGGUGAAACGGUUAUGUAGAAAAAAUUUCGGUGCUAGUGCACCAAAUGAUCGAAUUUUUCUAUAAGGAACUGUGAGGGUUCUAAUGCUGAAUUUGGCUUUAUUUAAAUGGUAUGUGGUAAAUUAAGGUAUUAGAGGAGAAAUGGAUUAAUUUGGAGGUGAUUUGGACACAAUCGCCAAUUAAUCGGGUAAUCGAUCGAAUUUAAUCGAUAUUGCGAUUAAGCGGUAAUCGAACGUAUUUUUGCAUUUACAUAUCAAGCAUUAGUAAUUUAAAUUAGUUUAUAUCAAUUUAGGGACAAUAUAGUAAAUUCCUUGACUUUGUUAUUUGACAAGGUAGUGAGACGUCCGAAAAAGGCAAAGGAAUUGUGCCUGAGGACUAUUAGUCCGAGUGCACCCGAAAUCUAGAUUUUCGACACUUGUGAGUGAAUUUGCAUUUCAAAAUUUAUUUGGGAAUUCUAAUUAAGUUGAAAUGAGAUGCGUGAAUGAUUAUAUCUAAUUCCCAUUUAAAAAUGAAUCUCGGGAACAAGCCUUUUGUGAAAAUAUUUUAGUGAUGUUAAAUAUGAUUGCGAUGCAUCUGUGUAUAUCUGUAUGAUGCCUACAUGUAUUAUUGAGAAAUUGUGUGAAAUUAAGUGUAGUGAAUCUGUGUACCCUUGUAUUAUGCUGAUAUGCAUUAUUAAUAAAUUAUGGUGAAAUUGAUGCAACCAUGCAUGUGCGGAUUGGGAAGUGCAAUGCCAGUUGAAUGACAAAGGAUGUGAUAAUUACAACCGUGCAUGUGCAGAGUGGGAAGUGCAAUGCCGGUUUAAUGAUAAAGGUUGUGGGGACGACGAUACGUUACGCCCAUAAUUUCCUAAAAACUCAGAGGUGUGCAAAGAGGGAUACUGAGUGAUACCCCUUAUUGAGUACUCCGAUAGUUAUUUCUUUGUACCGCCAAGAAUAGUGAAGACUUGGCGGUGUAUAUAAUUGCUCAUAUCUUUGUGUAUAUAUGUUUGGUUGUGUGGUAUGUGAAACCCUUGUUUGUGACGGUUUAUGAUAAACCAUUAAUUUUGCUAUCUUGCUUGAUAGAACAAUUGGUGAAUGAAAUUGUACGUGAUACAUAUGCAUAUAUGAAUCGUACGAGUUGUGAAACCCUUAUUGUGUGACGAUUUGUAAAUAACCGUCAGUUUUACUACUUUGGUAGAAGGAUUGGUGUAAAUUCAAGGAUAUUUAAUUCUUGAAUGCAUAAUAGAUUUCUAGGUAAAGGAAAAAGGUUUUGAAUAGUAGUUAGAUGAAAAUGGCUUUAUUUUCAACCGGUGCAUCAUGAUUGUCAAAUUUCCUGAUUAAGAUUGCUUGUUCCCUUCUAAUAUUCCCUCACUAAGUAUUGUACUCACGUUUUACAAAAUUCAUGUUUUCAGAUCACGAGGUAGCUGAUAAUUAGGACGAGGUGUCCUUGUAGACUUGUGUCCAUCUUUUGGUAGGUGUCUCGGCAUUCGGUAGCUGUAUAUUCAUCCGAGUCCCUCUGCUGGAAGUCGAGUAUUAUUUUGUUAUGUAUAGAUGAACUUAAUGUAAAUUUUAAAUGAGUAAUGCCAGUACGAGUUGGCAAUGUAUAUCACUAUUUUGAUUCAAAGUUAUGAACUAUGACUUAGUGAUAAUAGAUGGAAUUAUAAGUAAGAUAAAUAAUAGGCUUGCUUGGGUUUAGUGGAUUACGUCCACUGGACCCAUGCGCCGGUCAUGGCCCGAAAAAUUGGGUUGUGACACCAAGUUUAUUUGUCACUGGGGUUUUUUCUUGACCCGUGUGGCCUAGCCUUUGCCUUACUCGAGGGCUUUUAGAAAGGCUAGUAGCCUACUCAAUUAGAAAAAAUUAGGAUCGUUUAAAGCAAUCACAAGUGAGAAAGAGAGCUUUUAUUUCAUAGAAUUUCAAUACAUGAGUCAUUACCCUUAAAUGAGGGAGUUCCAAGGGUAUUUAUAAGCCAUGGACCCCUUAGAGCCAUUACAAGGCCAUUCCUAAUGGCUAGGAGGGAUGUUGAGCUCUAUUGGACCUUCUUGACCUACCUCAGCCAUUAUUCCCAACGAUAGACAAUGUUUGCCCUACAGCCUCGGGCUGGCCAAUAGUUCCUGCCCAUCAAACAAACUGCAUGGGCAAUCCGUGCACCUCAAUUUCAUCCAGUCUACCUGUUGUGUUAUGCGCCCUUUUCCUGCUGGCCCGUGUGCCUAGUCUGCUCCCAAGUGCCACUUCUUUCGAGCCAUAGUGCUAUCCCGACAUGGAAUCAGAGUCUCAACCCUUGUUGCUCACCCAUCCCCAAGCUGGCUCGCCUACUCUCGAGCUUUAGUCCCCUAUCGUCGAGUUGGCCCACCCUUCACCACAAAAUGGGUGUGACAUAUGCACAUCAUCAUUUUAGCUUUUACAUACUCAUACAGUCCUUGACCAUUUCUCUAUAGACUAAGCAUUCCUUGAAUUCACAUUCAUACACAUCGAAGUUCACAUCAAUCUACCAGCUAGUCUAGCAUCACACAUAGUUAACAUCAAAGAUCGGGAGUGUUAUAGAUUUCUUUUUAAAAUGAUAAUGUUUGUGAUGCAUGUCAAUUUGAAAAACAAGUAAAAGGUUCUUUUAAAUCAAAGAAAGUGAUUUCAACUUUUAGACCAUUUUAACUAUUGCACAUUGACUUGUUUGGACCUAUUGAUGUUAUUAGCAUGAGGACAAGUCAUAUGGUUUUGUUAUUGUUUAUGAUUACUCUAGGUAUACUUGGUUGUAUUUCUUUGCUAGGUAUACCAUAGUCACUAUGGUGGUGAAUUUUAAAAUUGUGAAUUUGAAAUAUUUUGUAAUAAAAAUGGUUUUGAUCACAAUUUUUCAAUCCCUAGAACUUGACAGCAAAACGGAGUUUUUUAAAAAAUAUAGGACAUUGAAGGAAAUGACAAGAACAAUGCUUUGAGAAAACAAUUCACCAAAACACUUUUGGAUUGAAGUUGUAAACACAGCCUCCUUCAUUUUAAAUAGAGUUUCCACUAGGCCUAUGAUUUCAAAAACCCUUUAUGAGCUUUACAAAGGAAGAAAACCAAUCAUUUCACAUUUAAGGAGUUUUUGAUGCAAAUUCUUUGUUUUAAAUAAUGGAAAACACACCUUGGGAAAGUUUAAUACUAAAAGUGAUGAACCUAUUUUUUUUGGUUAGGCAAUUAAUUCUAAAACAUAUAGAUUGUUUAACAAAAGAACAUUAGUUAUAGAAGAAUCUAUUCAUGUUGUUUUUUUUAGAACAAAAAAAAGUAGUGUAUGAUAAUGAUGCAGAUGAUAUUGAGGAGAAAAUGGAAAAGAUGAAUUUAGAGAACAAAGAAAAUGAUGAAGACAACUCUAAGAAGAGAAAUGAAGAAAAGCCAUCAUUGGAGGACUUAUAAAAAAUUAAAGAACAACACAAUGAUCUUCCUAGAAAUUGGAAAUUUGUAAGAAAUCAUCCUUAAGAGCAAGUAAUUGGAGAUCUCUUGAAAGGUGCCAAAAUUAGAAAAGGAUUAAAGGAAGCUUGUAACUUUUGAGGUCUACAAAUCACAAGUGGAACCGUAAGAAUUUUGAGGAAGUUGAAAAGGAAGAAAGUUGGAUGAUGGCCAUGUAAGAAGAACUUGGCCAAUUUGAAAGGAACAAGGUCUGGACCUCAGUUCCAAGGCCAACCAACCAUCUUAUCAUUGCUACCAAGUAGGUAUUUAGAAACAAAAUGGAUGAGUUGGGUAAUGUGGUAAGGAACAAAGCAAGGUUAGUUGCUCAAGGCUACAAUCAAGAUGAAGCUAUUGAUUAUGAUGAAACCUUUACUUCCUUAGCAAGAUUAAAAGCAAUUAGACUCUUACUUGCAUAUGCAUGUUAUGUGAAUUUCAAAUUGUUCCAAAUGGAUGUUAAAAUUGCAUUUCUAAAUGGUUUUAUUCAAUAAAAGGUAUAUGUGGAAUAGCCCCAUGGUUUUGAAGAUUUUGAAAAGAUUAAUCAUGUUUAUAAAUUACAUAAAGCACUAUAUGGAUUGAAACAAGCUCCUAGAGCCUAGUAUGAAAGACUUCUAAAAUUUUUGAUUAAAAAUAAUGAUUUUCUAUAGGGAGUAUAGAUACCACACUUUUUAUUAAGAAAAGUAAACAUGAUCUACUUAUUUUUCAAAUAUAUGUGGAUGAUAUAGUCUUCAGUGCUACUAAUGAGAAAUUAUGUGAGAAUUUUGCUAAAGAAAUGCAAAGUGAAUUUGAAAUGAGCAUGAUGGGAAAAUUAAGUUCUGUCGUUGGUCUUCAAAUCAAGCAAUGUAAGGAUGAGAUUUUCAUCAACCAAGCUAAAUAUACUAAGAAAAUGCUAAAAAGGUUUGGUAUGAUGAAUGUGAAAUCAAUUGGAACACCUAUAAGCUCCUCCACAAAGCUUGAUAGAGAUGAGAAAGGAAAAGAUGUGGACUAGAAACUCUAUAGAGGUAUGAUUGGUUCACUUUUUUAUUUAAUGGCAAGUAAACCUGAUAUAUUGUUUAGUGUAUGCUUAUGUGCAAGAUUCCAAUAAUGCCCAAUCGAGUCACACUUGACGAUUGUGGAGAGAAUCUUUAAAUAUCUCCUGAGUACUCGAAGCUUAGGUCUAUCGUAUCCAAAAAGGUUUUUUGAUCUUCUUGGUUAUUUCGAUGUUGAUUUUGCUAGUAGUAAAACUGAUCGGAAGAGCACUAGUCAUAUUGUCAAUUCUUUGGAAACAUGCUUGUGUCUUAGUCUUGCAAGAAACAAAACUCAGUUGCUUUAUCCAUUGUUGAAGUAGAAUACAUUUCAAUAGGUAGUUGUGGUGCACAAAUUUUAUGAAUUAGGCAAUAAUUGAAUGACUUUGGCAUGUCCAUGCAUAAUAUUCCUAUCUUUUGUGACAACACUAAUGCUGUUAACAUCUCUAAAAAUCUUGUUUAACACUUUAGAAGUAAGCACAUUGAAAUUAGGCAUCAUUUUAUUUGAGAUCAUAUGCUUAAGGGAGAUGUUAAAAUUGAAUUUGUAGAUACCUUGCAUCAAUUAGCUGAUAUCUUUAUAAAACCAUUAAGUGAGGACCAAUUUUUUAAAAGUAAAAAAGAAUUGGCAAUCCUUGAUGUGAAUGAGAUCUGAUUGAUCUUAGUUGAUUUUUUUUAUGAAAAAUUGUGUGAAAUUUUUCCUUAAUUUCAUGUUUUACUUGGUUAAGGGUACAUUUUAAUCAGUUGUAGGAAUUUUAGAAAUGAGAUAAACUUGCUUUGAUCAGUUAGGACUUCCUUUAACCAAUUAAAAUGAGUCUGUGUGCAUAAUGUAAGGCCAAACCAGUAUAGUUUUAAUAAGUUAAAAAUCCUUUUAAUCGAUUAAAAUAGUUGUGUUCACUAAACUCAAAAUUGAGCCUUUAAGUUAGUAGCACUUUGAUCAAUUAAAGCUUGAUUUAAUAGAUUAAAAAUGUUAGGAAAAAUAAAAAAAAGUGCAUUAUGAACUCUCUCAUGAUGAUUUAGUCGAAAUGCAUGUUCUUGAAAUUGCAAAACUUGUUGAAAAAGGGAAAAACUUUCAUGAAUGCUUGAACUAUUUAUUCCAAAACAUGGCACUCAUAUUGAUUUAUUAAUUCUUUUGUGCUUAAAUGACAAAAAUUGGAAAAUGAGAAAUUAUUUCUCAUGUGCUUACAUUGAAAAAUCAUGUCUUAAGAAUUUAAAUGUUCAAAUGCUUAGUUUAGGAACAAUUCUUGAAAUAUGUUUCAUGUUUGUGCCUAAGUGAUUGUUUCAAGAUCGAAUCAUUGGCUAGGGUCAUAAAAUUAAUUAGGAUGAAAUGAUUGAACUUAAUGAAUUUUUUUAGAUCAUUAUUGUUCUGGUCAAGUCAAAUGCUUACAUGACCUUUAAUCUUGCUUGAUCUUAAUGAUUGAAGUCUAUAACUCAACUUAAGUGAUAGAAUUGCUUAUAAUGCUUAAUUUCAUAACUUAAGUCAAGUUUGAUCAUGACACAAAGUUUGUAUUGACAUAAUUGAAAUAUCCUUUGAAUGUAAAUUUGAAUAUUACUAUGUCUUCAUUGAGCCUUAAUUGUUCACAUGAUUGAAUUUGGUGUGCAUCCACUCUAACUUAUAGGUUACUAUAUAUAAUCUAGAAUGUCAAAUGAAAAAUGACCUAUAGCUUAAGUGAGCAGUGAAUGCCUAAAGUGCUUAGAAUGAAUACUCAUUUCUUGAAUCUUGGUAAUUGAUAUUCAUUGAUGUUUAGAUGUUCACUUUUGACAUAUUCAUGAGAUGAGUGCUUUACUUUUAAUAUUCCAUACUCAUGAAUUGUAAGGAUUAUUAAGAAAAAACAUGUACCACAUUGAAGCUCAAUGCUUACAUAUUUUUGAUUGGUAUAUGUCCAUAUAGUUUAUAUUCAUGCUUGCAUUUCAUAAACAAAUUAGAUUCAUGAUUAAUGAAGAUAGCCAUUUUAUUUCUUGUAAUCAUGAUUGUGGUCACUUGAUCAUAAUAUUCUCUUGCAUGACUGCAAUAAGUGCAAAAUGAUUUGGUAAUGCUUGAUUAAUAAUGAUAUUUUCUUGAUGUCAAAAUUCUCCUUGAAUUGAUAGUUUCAUACAUGAUUUGGAGAAUAUUUCUUAGAAUGUUUGCUAAAGAAAAAAUUAAUGGUAAUUAAGAAUGCUUAAUGAUGAUGUUUUUUUUUUCAAUUUCUCCUUGAGUUACUUUUUUAUAUAUGAAUUAGAGAAUUUCCUAAAAAUGCUUGACUGAUAUUGCUUGGUGAUACUUGCUAAAUAAUGAUUGAGAAUAAAUAAUGGAUUACUGAUAAUACUUGAUGAUAAUUAAGAAUGAUGCUUGAAGACUAAUGAUACCUUAGACAUGCUUAGAAACUAUUUUGCAAAUAUUUCUUGAAAAUAUGAGUUGAUGCGUAUGUUGAACAUCCAUUUAAAUACUCAUACUCUUCCAUGAAUACUUGAGUAUUAGAUGAAAAUGUUGAAUAUCUACUUAAAUACUCAUUUAUUCUAGGCUUAUGAUUUCUUUCCUAGCAAUUGGUGUUUUAACAAUUGGAAACUUAUUGGUUUUAUGAUUUGUCCAAGGGGGAGUUAGAUUAAGCUUUAAAGUGAUUAUCUCCUUUAUCCUUUCUCCUUUCGCAUCAUGUUUGAAUUAACCUGGUUUUACUCUUAACUCCUUUUUUGAUAAUGACAAAAAAGGGAGAAUGAACAAAGAAUUGUUGUAUUUGUUGUUGUGUUUGAUGAAAAAAAAAACCAUUGUACUCAAAUGCUUAAUUUUCUUUAAAUGUAAGGGGUUUAGCCCAAAUAAUAAAGAGAAAAUAUUACAAAUUUUUAAAAUCUAGAUGUAGUCAUUAAGGGAGAGUUUUAGAUAUCUUUUUUAAUCAUAACAAAAAAGGGGAGAAAAUAGAAGGACAUAUUAGGUUGAUUAGGCUGAACAGCUGAAUAAUGUUUAUAUUUUGUGCAACUAAACAAAUGUUUAUAUUUUGUAUUGCUGAUUUAGUUGUUUUUAUGUUAAAUGUUUUUAUUGAAUGUUUCUAUGCUGAAUGGUGCUUACAUCUAUGUUUUAUGCUAAAUGUUUAAAUCUAUUUGAUUAAAUGUUUUAUGCUGAAUGUUUAUAUCUAUGUGAUUAAAAGUCAAUCUUGAAAGUAUUGCACUUGUUUAUUUAAGCAAUAAUUGUACAUAGAUAUACAUUAAACUUGUAGGAAAAAGAAUUUCUAUGCUCAUAUUAAGGGGGAGCUUACAUUUUGGGGAGGAAUCCCUUACUUGCACAUAAAUAUAAAAUUCAUAUUGACAUUGCACUCUGAAGCUAGGGGUGUUUUGUCAUCGUCAAAAAAAGGGAAAAAUGUUGAUUCUAUGUGUUUUUGAUGAUAACAAAAUAUUCCUUAUUCAUUGAUGUCUAACUUCACUACUUAAAUGUGCAGGAUAAAGUUUAAAUUCCUUUAAUAAAUUUGAUGAAUAAAGGCAAGUCAAGAAGCUAUCUUAGAAGAAAAGUUAAUCAGUUAAAAAUGCAAAGAAGACAGGACUUAGUGAAAACAGAACAAUGUUAACUGAUUAACGAGAAGCCUUAAUCAGUUAAGGCAAAUUUGACUGCUAUAUGAAAGUGAGACAGAAAAGCUUUAAUCAGUUAUGUCAAGCCUUACUUUAUUAUAUACUUGUCAUGUCAUUUAUGUGCUUGAUAGAAUGUUUGCAUAAGUGAAUAUAUCGGAGAAUCGUUAAAAAUCGGUAUCGUACCUAGUGGUACAAUUAAGUCAAUUAAAACCUUGAACUAGUUUGAAUAGAGAUUUUAGGAUGUAUUUGAGAGUUAUUGAACCUUAGAAUGUCUUAAUAUGAUGAUUCGGAGUUCGAGGAUUGAUUUGGAGUUAAUUCAGGAAUUUUCAUAACAUAGAGGCAAAAUGGUCAUUUUGCCACCCAAGGGCAAAAUUGGAAUGUUGGAUGAUAUUUUGACUAAAUUUGAUUAAUUUGAGCAUUAUUUGAAUUUGGGAAGUGAAAAUUUUUAAUUUUGACAUUUUUUUGAACAUAGGGGCAAAACGGUCAUUUACGUGUCCACGGGGACGUAAUUGGAAUUUUUAGAAUUUUACACCACCAUGACACUUGUCAAACCCAUGAAUUUCACCCAUUAUUUUUUAUAGUGAGAGAUUAUAUGUGGUGGGAAUGGAAUGCUUAAUUAUUAAGUUUUUAAACAUGGACCAAUUAAAAGGUGACAAGUGUCAAGCUUUAAUAUUAUUUUAAUUGCCUAUAUAAACUCACUUAAAACCUUCACAUUCACACUCUUAUGGCCGGCCAAGUGAGGGAACAAAGAGAAAAAGAGAAGAACAAACCCUUGGAAAGAAAAAUUCAAGAGAAAUUGUUGGAUUUCAAGAAAUCAAGCAAGUAAAGGUAAGAUUUUUUAAUUUUAGCUUGUGAUCUACCUUUCCCAUGCAUUCUUUUUCAUUCUCCAUGGCUGAAAUUCAAGUUUUCAAGAGGGAACCUUUGCUGGCCAAAUCUAGAGAGAGAAGUUUUGGUGAUGAAUUUUGCUAGAUUUCAUAAUAUCCUAGUGUUUUUAGUCAUUUUGUGAUGUUUGGAAGGAAAAACAAGCAAGAAAAUCACAUGUUCUUCAACCACCCUCAUUUGGCCGAAUUUUCCAUAGGGUAUGUUGAUGAUGGAUUUGGUUGUAAAUCAUGUUAUUUAGCUAGGAAUUGAUGAUUUAUGGUAUCGGAUAUCGAAAUCGGAAUGAAUUUCGAUUAUGGUGAAUUAAGUCAUAAUUAAGCUUAUUGAGGUACUUUAGUGUAUUUGGAAUAUUGGUAGUGUAAUGAAGAUAUUUGGAGUUGAAUUGGAUGUUUUGGCUAAUUAAACAAGGCAUAGUGCGAGUUAGGUCGAAUGCCAAUUCAGUCCGAUCAUAAUUGAACCCAUGUAGAACACCGUCUUUAAGUGAUUAUUUGGUCAAUUCUCAUUCAAUGUCAUGCAUUCAUAUAGAGCUUGAAAUAGUUUUAUAACAGUUUGGCACAAAUAUAUUGAAUUACGUGUCGUGUAUUAUGUAUUGGUGGUGAGCCCUCUGAUAAGGGUAAAGAUAUUGUACCUGAGGACCAAGAAUAAGAGUACCCCAAACUCCUACUAUUGUGAGUAAUCAAAUAUUCAUCUUAAUUAUCUAAAGUGGUUUAUACUUGUUUUAAGAUUUUAAAGAAUAAGGCACUUAAUUUUUAAAUUAUUAUGUUUUACAUUUUAAACGUUGGUUAAUGAAUGAGAUUUAUAAAUUAUUCUGAAACUAAAUGUUGAUUUUCGAAAUAGAGUAAGUGGAGGCUAUACAUUCGUAUUAUAUAUAUAUACAUGAUUUGAAUUGAUGGCUUAUGAAAUUGUGGUAGCAUGAAUGGCUGAAAAUUGUGGUUUUGUGAAUUAUAUAAAUUGUUUUGUCUUACAUUGACAGGUUGGAUAGUACUAUAUUAGCCAUGUUAUGCUGCCAAAUUUUUAUUGAUUUGGUGGGUUAUGUAUUUAGCUUACUGCAGUGAGCAGGUUUCCGUGGACCAACCUAUUAGAGGGGUACAGUAAACCCCGUUAUAUUUUACCUUAGUAUGAGAGGCACAGAGGGUAUCUCCUAAGGUAAGUUUAGAGUUCACUUCACAUCGAACCACCACGUGAGAAUGAAACUCAGCCAACGUCAAGGAAUGACUAUAUUUUAAAAGUAAAAACAUGUUUUAUGGGUAUAUGUCGUUUUAACAUCCUUGGCGGACUCGGUUGGAUGCCCGGGCCAAGGUGUCCCUGAGUAUAAGUUUUGGCACAAACCAAGUUUUUAAGAGAAUCAUAAGCCUUGUUGAUUAUUUUGAUGAAACGUAAUUGUUUUAUAUGAAUUGAAAUGAGUUUUGGAAUGUUAUGAAUUAUAUUAUGAUUGGAUGAUUUAACUGUCUCCAUUUACUCGGCUUAGAUGUUAUAAAUGAAUUUUGCUUACUCACUGGGUUUAUAAAAACUCACCCCUUCUUCUCACCCAUUUCGGACUCAAGAUAGUCUGUAGAUAGCUGAUUUCAUCGAGGAUCUACUUUAGGAUUUACAUCCUUAGAAAUCGAAGGUUUACCCUCUUGUACAUAUUUGUUUAUUUUGGGGGCCCACAUGUCAUUGUAGAAUAUUUUGUAUACUUGGCUACGUGUACCACUGUAUGUAUGAAUUUAUUUUGCUUUUACGCUACAAAAAUUAUUUAUGCAGGAUUCUAUAAAUAUUGUUUUAUAAGAAAAUAGAAUAUUUUAUUUAAUAUUUUUAUUUAGUUUGAUUAGCCAUAAUUUCAUUCUUAAUGGAUGAUUUAGAUUACUAAAAUUAUCUUUAGAUAAGAAAUGUAUAUUUUUCAAUCAUAUGCUAUAUUUUUACCAGGUUUCAAAUUUUUCAGGUAAAAAUGACCAAAAUACCCCUACGUGGUAAAAAUUAUUUUUUUGUUUGUUUUGAUUUAAAAAUAGUUUAUAUUCCUUUAAAACAUGAUAUUUAAUAACUAUUACUCACAAGGGAGAUGUAAAACAGAUGCGAGAGCCUUGCGAGGUUUCGGUCGACAUUCCAGGUAAUGAAUGUCUAUCUAGACAUCGCGGCGGAUGUCACGGGCUCGAAGGGAGUACCGGGUCAUGAAAAGUUAGCAUCGGGAUUAACUGAUUAAGAAAGUGCUGGAAGUUAAGGACUGAAGCUUGCUAACUGGUUAAGCAAAGGGGUUGAUUAGUUAAAGUUCAAGACUUGAAGCACUUUGAAGUGCCAAAGUUUAAAUUCAAAGUGAAGAUGAUCGUUGAAGGGAGCCAAAAUGAAAAAAAUUCAAUUCAAAGAAUUUUUAAUUGGUUAAAGUAUAUUUUAAUCUGUUGAAGAUGAAGGGAGAUAUGAUUUAAUCAAUUAAAGGGAGGAUUAACUAAUUAAAAGAAAACUAUUGGUUGGAGAAGUUCAAAAAUAGAAUGUCCUUAAUCAGUUAGAGUUUUUCUACCUGGUUAACAUAGUGAAUAGAGUUGCCAGAUAGUGCAAGUCAAAGAAGUUUUAAUCAGUUAGACCUUGCCUUUAACUAGUAAUGGAAAUUUGUUUGCCUAUUUGAAUUUGAAUGUUAGACGACAAAAUAACGGCUAGUAUGGCAUUAGACAUGUUCACAAGGGCUGGAAACUAUCUUUAACAGAAAAAUUUAACUCCUUAAGUAUAAAUUGAAGCUCCAACGGUCAAAGAAGCAAGUCAGAAGCUACUUAUAGUGAUUUUGAGCUUAGAAGACCAAAAAUCUUCUCUUUACACUUGUAUUCCACUCUUAUCCUUGUGAAAACAUUUGUAGAUGUAAAGAAGAAAGGACUUAGUGAAAAUAGAACAUUGUUAACUGAUUAACGAGAAACCUUAAUUAGUUAAGGCAAAUCUAGGCACUAUAUGAAAGCGAGACAGAAUAGCCUUAAUUAGUUAACAGCAAGCUUAACUAAUUAAGAAGGUGUUGGACGCUAAAGACAAAAGCUUGCUAAUCGGUUAAGUAAAAGGGUUGAUUAGUUAAAGCUCAGGACUUGAAGCACUUUAAAGUGCCAGAGUUUAAAUUCAAAGUGAAAAUGAUCGUUGAAGGGAGCCAAAAUGAAAUAAUUCAAUUCAAAUAAUUUUUAAUUGGUUAAAGUAUAUUUUAAUCGAUUAAAGAUGAAGGUAGAUAUGAUUUAAUCAAUUAAAGGGAGGAUUAACUAAUUAAAAGGAGACUAUUGGUAGGAGAAGUUCAAAAACAAAAUGUCUUUAAUCGGUUAGAGUUUCUUCUAACUAGUUAACAUAGUGAAUAGAGUUGCCAGACAGUGCAAGUCAAAGAAGCUUUAAUUGGUUAGAGCCUACCUUUAACCAAUUAACGAAAAACUAUUCACUUAUUUGAAUUUGAAUGCUAGACGACAAAAUAAUGGCUAGUAUGGCAUCAGACUUGUUCACAACGGCUAGAAACUAUCUUUAACAAAAAAAUUUGACUCCUCAAGAAUAAAUUAAAGCUUCAAUGGUCAAAAAAGCAAAUAAAAAGCUACCAAGAGUGAUUUUGAACUUAGAAGGCCAAGAACCUUCUCUUUACACUUGUAUUCCACUUUUAUCUUUGUGAAAGUAUUUGUGUUGAAGCUUGUAUAACUUAGAUCAGUUAGGUGAUCAUUUGUACCUCUUUUUAUCUUUUAUUUCUUAUUUAUUUAGAGUGUGUGAGACACUCUAAGGGGUAGUUUAAGCUAGGUUAAGCUUAAGACUUGUUGUUAAAGCAUUAGAGCUUGGGUUAGAACUUUAUGUUGUAAAAGCUCGAUGGAAGCUGUUAAUUCCAUUGGUUUUAGUGAAGUAAGCUUGAUGGAAGCUGUUAAUUCCAUUGUAAAAGCUAGGGUGUGCAUGAUGAUGGAUAUAUAUAUAUAUAUAAAUAUACAUAUAUAGAUAUGUGUACUAUAGAAAGUUCAUGAGUAUGAUAUAUGGUUGUAAUGCAUGUGGAAAUUUAGCAUGUUGAACUUUGGGAAUUUCUAAAUGUUUCACGUUGAUUUUGUCAUUUCAGUAGAAUGGCUUUCUUCUUGAGAAAAUGGAAACUUUUCUUUGAUGCCCUGUCUCUCGUUGCAGUGAAAAUGAUUNAUACUUUCCAACUCGAGAGCCUUGUGAGUUUUCAACGCUUACUCUCUAGCAUGGUGGAGAGUUAAGAUUUUCUAUGCAGCUCCCAUUGUUUAAACAAAAGUUUUCAGUGUGUACUUGACAAACAUGAGUUGAUUUAUGUGGCCGUACACUUUGAUUUCUUUACAUGCCACACAUUUUGGGAGCGUGCUUACCUUUAUACUGUAUUUCAUAUUUUGAUGGCAAUGAUGUUUUCGGUGAUUGAAACUCUUUUUGUUACACUUAUUUUUGGCACUAUUUUGCCAAAGAAAUCAUUGUAUUAUGAUUUUACGAUAUUAUUUUGCAAGGCCCAAAUAUCCUCAUUAUGGUUUGGUUUAUAAGAUUUGCAUUUUAUAUUCUGGUUUUAUCAUUCAAAUGAUCCGUUUAUUGCUUGUUUCCCAUCUACUCCCUGCUCACGGAGCCAAUGAUCAUUGAGUCUGUGAGACUUACCCCCUUAUUUCCCUUUUACAGAUAAUGAUCGGCUAACGAGCUAUUCAUCGACAUUCAUGGUCCACUACGAUGUAGGUAAAGGCAUCUCCUAGUACCCUAUUCCAAUUCGCUCCGCUGCUGGCGGUCGACUCGUAGCACUUUAUUUAAUUAAUUGUAAAUGGAUAAUGGCCUUGGUACAAGUAUUAAAUUAGAGAUUUUAGACUUCAUUGUAUAUACUUAUGAUUAGAUGUUUAAAAGAUUGAAUUGAUUAUUAUAAUUGUGGUUCAAGUUAUGAUACGAAAGUAUAUGGUUUGAGCACUAAUAUGAAUUGGUGAAAGAGUAUAGUGCAUUAUCGGGAAUCUCUAAUAAGGCUUGCUUGGGUCUGAUGGGUUAUGCCUAUUAGGUCCAUGUGUCGGUCAUGGCUUGGAAUUUGGGCUGUGACACCUUUUAGGACCAACAGGGUUGGAUGUGACAGUGAAAAUUAUUUAUCUGUAAAGCCCAUGAGGAAUAUAGUAUAGUGAAAGGAUUGAUUAGUAAAGAUUAUAAUAAAAGUGGCCUUAUUGAUAUUCUUUUCUCUAGAGAGGUCAAUUGCAAUGCGUUGUUGGAAAUUACUACAAGUAAAGGGUAAAUAAGGUAUCUUAAUUAAUUUAAGUAACAAAAUGAUGGUAUUAGAUUAAAUGAAAUUCUAAGUAAAAUAUGAGUCACGAGAUGACAUGGACUUUGGUCCAUAAUUGUAGAGAGAUAUCUCUAAGGAUCUCACUCAUAUUCUUCUUUUGGGGUUUAACAUAUAAGUUUUGUUGGAUUAUGAUUAGGUCUAAGGGAUCCAAGUCUAUAAAAGCAAGGGUUGCUACUUAUUUGGCCAUCAGAAUUAUUUUAGUAAAAGUUUUUAAAAAAUAUAGUACAACUAUGGAAUAUGACAUUUAAUACAGGACAUAAACAUAGUCAUAUCCAUAAUAGUUAAACAUAAAUAAGCAAACCAAAUAGGACUAGUGGAGUACGACUCGAAACAAAAGGGCUGACGCUUACUGGAUACCUUACGAACACUUAACAAUGCUGAUUAUGGAAGUAGCUUUUUUCAAAGGACAAUAAGCUUAAGCAUCUAUUGAUCUACAAAACAAAUACAUUUUUGUAACACCUCGUACUUUGGUAUGGUGCCCAAUAUGACCUUAAGGAUAAGAUGAAGGUCAAUUGAGGCCAAUGGAAGUGCUUAAGAGUGUUGGAGGGUGAAAAGAAUAAUUUAGAAUAAAAUAUUUCGUAUGCAAAAAUAAUAAAAAAAUAAUAAUAUCUUAUUAAGGUCGAAGUUGUGGAGUUAGAAAGGUGCUAUAGAGCUAAACCGGGGCAAAGUAAGAUGUUUUGGAGCCUUAGAAGGCUAGAGGAAAAUUUUAAAAUAAAAUAUUAACUUUUAGAUAAAAUAUAUUAAAAUAAUAUAGAUGUCAAAUUGGUUUUAUUACACGAAGAACGUGUGAUUUGUACAAUUUGUCUAAGUGGGGGAGUGGAAGUAAGAAAUAUUUUGAAGAAAGGAAGCUUUAGUGGGGCCCACGUGCAUUCAUAAAUUAAAGUGAGAAAGAGUAAGUAUAUAUUUAAAUAUUAUGGUCACACCUUGGUGGAGUAUGAAUUUGACAUUUUAUUUGAACAAGUGCAAUGGAAGAAAAAUAGAAGAGAAUUGAAAAUAAAGGUGUCACGACCCGGAACCUCCCUCGAGCCCAUGACAACCGCCGCGGCGUUCGGAUUGAUACUUAUUAUCCGAAAUACCAAUCGAAACCUCACAAGGCUUACAUAUCAGUUUUAAACAAUUUUCAGUCGUUUUCGGCUCAAGUAAAUCCAAAGACAAAAAUAUAGCAUUUUUAUAUAAAACAAUAUUUAUAGAAACACGUGUAAGUAAUCUUUUGUAACUUAGAAGUAAAAUAAAUUCAUACAUACAAUAAUUUACAAAGUUUUAACGUACAAUAAUAAUUACAAUGACAAGUGGCCCAUAAAUACACCAAGUGUUGGUGAUAAUAACCUACUAUCUGUGUGAUAGAGGGGUCAAUUGGAAUCCUCGACAAAAUCGGGUAUCUACAAGCUACCACAGGCCUGAAAUAUUUAGAAAGGAGGUGGGUGAGAUUUUGCAAUCCCAAUGAGUAAACAGACAUUAUCAUAAAUAUCUAAAGGCGAGUAACAUGGAGGCAAGUUUAAACAACAAAUUACAAACCAUUUCAUAAGGUUUUCAAUCUAUUUCUUAAACCCUAAAAUAUUUAUAAUUUACCAAAACAGUUGUUAAGGCUUAUAACUUUUAUUAAAAACAAGGCUCAAGCCAAAACUAGUCCUCGGGGAUACCUUGGCCAAGGCAUCUAACCGAGUCCACCAAAGUUGUUAAGAUAUUUACAUGUUAAACACAUGUUAGUUUUAAAAACAAGCCAUUCCUUGACGUUGGCCGAGUUACACAUUCACGUGGGGGUUCGACGUGAAGUGAGCUCUAACACUACCCCGGGAGUUACCCUCCUCGCCUCUACAAUCGGAGUAACUAUAUAAUCGGGUUUACCGUGCCUCUCUAAUAGGCAGUCCACGGAAACCCGUCACUACAGUGACUAAACCCACCAAUUUUAAUAAAAUUUCGACAAUAUAAUGUGGCUUUUAUUUAUUUACCUAGCCUGCAUAGUAAAAGACAGCUUACGUAAAUUCUCAAUGCAAUUAUAAAAUAUAGCCACAUAUACUCAUAUAUCAUAAGCCAUUCAUAGGAAAAUAUAUUUUUCAAGACAAUUGGUAGCCUCCAAUUACUCAAUUUUAUAAUCAAAAGUUUCUUAUUUCAGAAAAUCAAGACAAUAUAUUUAUUUGUCACAUUUAUUUCUAAAACAUCAAAAAUCCCAUUUUAAUCUCAUUUUCGUUUCAUAAAAUCCAUGAAGAGCAUUUAAAAAUAAACUCUAGAUAAUUUACAAUAAUAAUAGGUUUACUCACCGUUUGUACAAAUUAAAUGCUUUCUAGAUGCCCCGAUCACUGUUCGUCGGAUACGACUUCCUUGCCUUUACAGGAAGGCUCUCCUCCUAGACACAUUGCAAAAAUUUCACAAUUUACCAAAUUGAUGCUAAAUCACUAUAUAAUUGACUUAAAUCCUAUACUAAUGCAUGGUAUGAAAUGCAAUAGCCUAAAACGGCUUAAACGCGGUAUUAACCUAUUUUUGGCACUUUACCCGAUAAAUUUCUAAUGCGCUCUAUUUUAGCUCUAAAUUGUCCCAUUUUCUCUCCAACAUUUCUAACCAUUAAAUAUCAGCCAAUAAUCCUCUAAAAUCACCAAAGUCAGCUCACUUUUCUCCUUGGAAAAUUCAGCCAAAAAUGGGACAUUAACUAGGUAAAUUUUUCACUUUGUUUUUCUAUCACAUUUAAUCAUUUUUCAUCAUUUUCUCUUCAUUUCUCUUAGAAUAAAAAUCAGUUCUUCAUCAUUGUACAUCAUUGAAGAUUCGGCCAAGGGUGGGUAUUGUGAAAAUUUCAUGCUUUCUUACCCAAUUUGAUUUCUAUACACAUUUAACUAACUAAAACUAUCAAUUUAACUAAAAAUCAAAACAUAAGAAUUUCAAAUUCCUCCCCCUUGAAAUUUGGCCAGCCCUUGGUAUAACUUUUUGAUCUCUCUCCUCAAGCAUGCUAAUUGGAAACAAAGGCAUAAGAAAAGUAGAAAUCAAGUUAAAGUCGAAAAAUCUUACCGUUAGACACGUAAACGGACGAAAAACGCGACUUCCCCUUUGAAUUUUCUAGUUUUCCUUUGGUUUUUCUCUUUUCUUCCUUUCCUCUCUAUUUUCUCUCUUGUUCUCUCCUUAUGGCCGGCCAUCAUCUGAUAUGGGUUUAAAUGGGUUGACUUUCCUUUAAAAAAAUAUUAAAUCAUUAAAAAGUGCCAUGUGCCACUUUCCCAUUGGCCCGUUUUUAAAAUUUCAUCUUUUAAACUUCAAUUUUUCACCACUUAGAAUACCAUAGUUAUUCAUACCAAAAAUAAAUAAAUCCUAUAAUUUUGACAAGUUUUGGAUGGUGAAAAUUAUGGUUUUUACCCCAAGGCGACAAAAUUAUCGUUUUGCCCCUAUGUUUCAAAAAUUGCCGGAAUUGAAAUUUUUCACUUCCUAUCAUUAAAUUAUACUCCAAAUAGUUAAUCUUGGUCAACAAUUUCACUCAAUGAUCAAAUUAUUAUCUUAGGUGGCAAAAUGACGAUUUUGCCCUUAAACAUCAAAAUUUUCAAUUUUUUCCCAAAUGAACCCUCGAACUUCGAACAAUCAUUCUUAGUCAUUCCUGGACUGUAAAAUAUUAAAUUUCAUCCUACGAUUCCUAUUUGAACUAGUUCGAGGUUAAAUCAACUCAAGUGUACCGUUAGGUACAAUACCAGGUUUCGUCUAUUCUUCGGAACUUUCCUAGCGUAAUAAUAUGCUACUCAGUGCAUGUAUGUCAUGACAUGUGUUUAUAGGAUCGAGUUUACAAAAGAAAUGAUGGAAGGACCCAAUUGUAAAUAAUGAAGAGUUAAGAAAAUAUUUGAUGUAUAUAUAUUUGUACUAUGGAAAGCAAGAUGAAAUUCAAGUAGGAUGCAAGUAAAGUAAAAUGCAAGUGAGAUUGCUUAGCUUGAUGGAAUUUGCAUGUGAAGUUACUAUUACAUGCAAAUGAUUGCAUGUAAAAAAAAAGGAUAAAGCUUAGUGGAAGACAUAUAGGACCCCCACCAUGUAAAAGAUGACAAAGAGAAAAAGAACAAAGAGUAUUUAAUUGAAAAAAAACCAUGGUUUGUCAAAGAUAGCCCAUGGUAAACAAAGUAAGAUUGGUAAUGUGACUUGAAAAGAAAAGGGUAUAAUCAUAACAUCUGAUGGAAAAAAAUAAAAUAAAGAAAUUUGAGUUGAUGGAGGAACUUGGGAGAAUCCACCCAUACAAGUGAAAAAGUAAGGUUUCAAGGCUUUUUGCCUUGUGAUAUCUACCCACAUAAAAGAAAAAGAAAGAAAAGAUGAGAUAGUGAAGGUGGCGGAUGGAGAAGAUAAAUGAGGAUAGAUAUUGGGCCAAUGAACAAGGAAGGAUAUUGGUGCAUGAAAAUUGAGUGGGGGAUGAGUUGGUCCAAUGAGAAGUGAAGAAUAAAAGAAAGAAGAGAAAGGUGGGGGAAAGACUUGGAGAACAUUGGCAAAACCACACCUUUGAGGGAAAAGAAUGAAAGGAUUAGCCUUGUGAAGCUCCACCUAAGAGGAAGAGAGAAAAAAGAAGAAAAGAGACAUGCAAGGAAAGGCUCGACUUUUUAGAGAAAAAUCUAAAGAAACUGUGAGGUUUCCUUUCCUUUUACUUAGUUGAGUCUUGAAAUCUCAUCAUCCAAAGAGAACCUUAGAGAUUUGAAGGAGAUGUGUGGUUUGGUUUCAAGAUCCAAGUGAGGAAAGGUAAGAAUUAUGAUUUUAGUUUGAAUAUGUUUUGGGAACUUGAUGGUAACAGAGGAAAGUGUUUGUGGCAGCAAAGGUUUUCCAAGAUUUGAAAGAAAUAGAUAUAUGCAUGUGGGUUCAUCCUAGAAGUAUGGAGAUUUAAAGCAAGACAAAUGAUGAGUAAGUGCUUUUAACCUUGAGAUCAUAAGUGGAAAGGAAAAAAUAAAAAUGUGUGUUGAUUAUUUGUGCUUGUGGCAGCAACAGUGACCGAAGAUGUUAGAAGUUAGUGAGUUGCAUUUGGAAUUCCAAGUAAAAAUCGAAAGGUAAGCAUGCAAUGUGGGUACCUUAUAUUAUAUUGGACUUAGUUGGUUGAGAGUUCAAAAUUUGCAUGUUAGAUUAUUGUGAAUAAUAAGGAUGAAAAAUGUGAAAUUAGAUUAAAGAUUCAUUGAUUAAGGUGCUGCCCAUAUAUGUGUACAAUUAAGUAUAAAUGCGAAAAUAGACAUAAUGGAGAGGUAGAUUAUUGUGAGGGAUUCUUGAAAAUAAAGAGAACUAAGAAUAUGGUAUAUUGAGUUUAAUUUGCUACUAAGAAGUGCAUAAGUGAGGAAGGUUUGCCGUGGUGGUGUAUCAGAAGAGGUAACGGGUGAUCGACAAGUAGAAUUAGCGAGAGGCACACCCGAAUCAAUGGCGAAGUAACAUCCCACUAUUGUGAGGUGAGUAAGGGAUGUCUAUUUCAAAGUUUCAUAAACUAUAUAAUGAUAUACGCUUGAAUUUAAUAUUUCAACCUCAUGCAAAGGUUUUAUAUCAUGAAUUCUUACAAACGGAUUGACAACGUCAACGUGAUUGGCAUUUUGGAAAUGGAUUUAAAAUAAGCUUUUGAAAACCCAAAUUUAGUUAUAAAUGGUUUUGUCAAAUCAGGAGAUUCGAGAGUAGGUCGCAUGUCACAUCGGGAUAGUGUGACCCUUGUACACAAGUGAGCUCUAGCUAGAAAACCUUUGGGUCAUCGACGGGCUGUUAGACUUGGCUAGGCUACAGUCUGUGAUAUAUAUAUGUGGCAAGGCCACGGGAUGACAUACGUGGCUAGGCAGCCAGUUGAUAUACGUGGUUGUGACCACAUGAUUUCUCCGAUGGCGGCUAACAUCGUCGAGACUGCCAUGGUUGUGGGAAUCCGGUUGAGGGGGGCCUCCUAGAUGUUAUUAUGUGGAAACGGGUCCAUGGGUUGAUUAUUACGAUUACUUACUCGAAAGUGAUAUCACUUUGGGUUUUUAAACAUGUAUUUUUUCGCAUGGUGAGAAUUACAAGUUUUACUGUAGCUCUUUUAUUUAUACGAUGAUUUUGUAUUUAAUUCCUCCAGGAUGAGAUGAUUUAUGAGCUUGUGUAUAAGCUUUGAUAAUGCUUGAUUUUACGAGAGCAUGUGUGCUUAUGCUGGUUAAAUGAUUUCAAUGGUAGAAAUCUUUCCCUUGCACUGGCUUUGAUACAUUAAUUGAAAUGAUUAUUUUGCAUCAAAAUUCUUGGGUUAUAUGUAAGACACAAAUGUUCUAUUUGAUUUUAAAUAUUUAUAUACAUUCUUAUGUUUUUAAUAUUCAAAUUUUUUAUCUUUGGUUUGUUUCCCAUCUUCGUCCUACUCACUGAGCCGAUGAUCACUGAGUUUGUGAGACUCACCCCAAUAUUCUCAUUUUGUAGAGAAGUGAUCAGCUAGCGUGCUUUUCAUUGGCAUACUAUGGUCCACUGCGAUGUAGGUAAAGACAUCUCCUAGUACCCUAUUCCGAGUCGCUCUGUUGCUAGAGGUCCUUAUGCUGUCAAGAGAUUUUAGGAACUUGUCGUUUAUUGUAAAAUGUAAACAUAUAUUUAUGAUGAUGAAACAUAAUGUAUAGGGAGAAUAUUUGCUAUUAAUGAAAUUGUGAUGGUUAUGAGAUUUUUGACAGACGUGUUAUGGUUUGAUAAAGUGAUAAUUGUGAAGGCUUGUUCGGGAUCUGGUGGGUUCUCCUGCAAGUCUUAGACCCUGGUAACGAUCGGGAAGAGGGUCGUUACAAUCUUACAUAUGUGAGUUAUAAUAACUUCGUAAGCAAAUACCGGGUUGGGGGAACAAGCUAAAUGAGAGAGUGUUUAUCAAAGAUACUUUUAAAAUAAAUGCUAGUAAUCAAUUUCAAACAAUAUCAAAGUUUGCCUUUCAACCCUAACAAAUAUUCAUAGAGUUUGGGAAUUCAAUUCUUGGAUAAAACCAAACAUCCCUAGGUUCGAGUUAUGUGACAAGUAGGAUCACGUGUCCAAAGAAAACUUCAAUGCCAUUGUCUCAAUAAAAGCAAACUCAUUUAAAAAGAUUUUAUAAGGUUUUGUUAAGAACCCAUUCCUAAGCCUUUGAAAUAAGAAUAAUGGUUUGUAAAACAUUUACGUAUUUAUUAGGAAUUUGAAAAUAUGGUGCCCUGGAAAGCAAGUAUAUUCUCAUGUUUAAUUUCAUUUAAUUUAUUUGUAAUAAAAGUAUAUUUUGAUAAUAAGACGAAGAGUUUGUUUUAAGUAAGCAUUCAUUAUCUAGUUAUUAAGGUACUGUAAUUCUAUUGAGAUAUUAAUAUACAUUUGUAUGAAGUGCCAUGCAUAGAGACAUGUAUUUCAAUUGAAUCUAAAAAUUGUUCACAACCAUGUAAUAAAGCUGGUCAAUUUAUUGUGAUAAGGUUGUAGUGUCCAGAUUACUUCCAAUGAAACAAAUGUUAUUCACUUCAAGGGAAUGAUAAGUCUCAAAUCAUUGGAAUGGUUGAUUUUGAGUAAUGCACUAUAACAUGAACUGGUAUCACGUGAGAAUCAAAUUUAAGUGUAACCGUUAGUUAAAUCUUGAUCUUACACUUAUGCAUUUGUUUAUAGUAGAACCAAAAUCUUGAUGGAUAGUGGACUCGUGUUUUAUCUCCUUAUAAUUUUUUGUAUACCAUGGGCAUGAUCAUCAUAAAACAUUGAUCUAGACUCUGUAUGUUGGGAUUAUAAUCGAGAUGAACAUCCAAAACAUGUAUCCAAAUAGUGGAGUUCAUAGCAUUAACAUCACUUGUAGUGAUUUCAAGAAUAUUGGUGAUUAAUCUGGGCAUAGUGAAUUGAUGAAUUAGCCACUCAUCAAAUCUUGAUACUUAAAAGAUUAGAUCUAGAGUAUUGAAUCACUAAUUGGAUGAAAUUGGACACUAGGGGACAAAAUUGACAUGAAAGGUAAAACGAUAAUUUUACCUUUUGUUAUUAGAUGGUUAUGAGGGUUCACAAUAUAAGGUUUGCAAUUGGAUAACUAAUACUUAAAAGUAUAACGUAGCGAAAAAAUAAAAUAAGGAUUUAAUCAAAGAAACAGUCGAAUCCCACAAGAUCAAUGUUUGUGGUUUUUUUUUAUGUAAUUUUCAAAUUAAUUAUGAACAUUUAUAAGUUUAAAUAUUACAUACCUUGCUCUAGAUAUUGUAAUCAAGAGCCAGUUAAAUCCAAAAGGCUUGUGAUGAAGCAAGAAACCUGAAAAGAGAAUAAGACAGUCUGAAAUCCUGAAUUCAAAAUCUUUGCUUUUUCACCUUUAAGAUUUGUCAAAUCUUCAGCCACCCAAGUAUUUGGCCUCUAACAGUAUUCCACACAGUGAUCGAAUAAGACCUUCUCAAAGGUCGGAUUUUACUUGUGCUAACAAGUUUUGUUUCUAAAACAAAAAAACCAAAAGUUAUUGUCAAAUCUUAUUUCUGUUAAAGAGAGAAAACUAUUUUUCUUUUUCUUAUUUUUAUGAAACGACUAAGAAGUAGUUGGGGGCUUAGAGUUUUAGUUGGCUAACAUAACAUAUUUUUAUAGCCAAACUAAGUUGUAACCCUAAAUGCAACAUUUUUAUUUUGAUUUAAUUAAUUCCUUGUGAACUUAAUUAAUUUUCCCAUUUUAUUUUGGUUUGUUUCAAUUAAGUCCAACUUAUUUAAUUAUCCUAAUUUAAACGCAAUUAUGUCACAUAAUGUGUGUGACCCUUUAGGCGUCUAACAUGUUGAAAAUAAUAUAAUCAUAAUCAAAUAUUAAUUUGAUAAUUGAUUUAUAUUUAUAAAUCAUGAUCGACAUCUAGCAAUAUAUCAUGACCACCCGAAUGUUAGAGAGUCAAUUAAAGAAUUUGACAAAGCCUUUUAGUGAUAAGCUUCUCAAUGCACAACAGUCCUUUUGUCAAAUAUCCUAGAUAUGUCAUAAGCAUGGCUUGAUGUCUACUUAUGACAUUACAUAUUAGUUCUCAUAAUUCAUGACUAACCUUAUGAAUUUAGGAAACUAACUUUCCUCAAAUUGAUCAUGCUUUGGCCAAGGACUUUAUACAAGUUAAUCAAGAAUUGAGAACAAGUGAGAUACAUCCCUUAUAUCACUUGGGGUGAUGAAUCCUCUGUUGACCACUCAUCCAUCUUAGCAUGCUUCAUGGCAUACCCAAAAGCACCAUGUUUAGGCAUCUAGUCGCCUCCAGACCCGUAGAAGUGAAAUCAAAGUGUGUCAUUCUCCAUACAAGAUAACCUAGUGUCUCAAGUUCGAGGACUAGUUGCAUGACUAUCACAUGAGAACAUAUUCCAUAUACACUUGAGUGAAAUACCAAAUGGAGUUCUCAUAGCAAGUCAUGUUCAAUGAACUUGUUCUUUAACAAGCACCCACAUGUUAUUCUCAAGUAUCCCAUAUACUUCAAUCUAUGAGAUCGAUUGCGUACUUCCUAAGUAAGGAAGCUUAAUAUGUACCAGUCUUUGAGCAUUGUCAAUGCCCUGUCUUGACAAUACAAUGACCAAGAACUAUUUUAGGAACAUGGCUCUGAUGCAUAGAGAUCUCAUACUUGCAACAACUUUAUAAUUUUCUUGCAAGGCCUUUAUGUUCCAUGGGCUUCAUCCAAUUAGUACUUAAUAACUCCUUAUUAUUGUACUAACAUGAAGGAAAAACUCUAUCACAUAAUGUUAUGCGAUUAAGUAUGCAUCAAAUGACAAUAUAUCCCCUGAUCAAUCUAAUUGACUCCAGGGCAUAUACUAACAUGUUUUAUUUGAUUAAUUAAAUUGUCUACAAAAAUGAUAACUUUUACAUGUUUGUCUUAAUUUAGACAAGAAAACAUGUUUGCCUUAAUUUAGACAAGAAAACAUGAAAACAUAUUUUUCUUAAUUUAGACAAGAAAACAUGUUUUGUCUUAAUUUAGACAAGAAAAACAUGUAUGUCUCAAUUUAGGACAAGAAAAAUAUGUUGUCUUAAUCUAGAUAAGAAAACAUGUUUGUCUUAAUUUAAAGAAGAUAACAUAUUUUGUCUUAAUUAAAGACAAGAGUUGUCUUAAAUUAAGAUAAUGCUAGGAGGAUUCUUGCAAAAUGAAUCUGGACAUCCAUGUUGAUAAAAGGAGACUCCAUGUUUGACUAUCACUAUUUUAUUUAUUAUUAAUUAUUUUAAAUAAAGAUGGAUAAUAAUAAUAUAAGAGUUAUUAUUCAACAAGGAGUUUUAUUUUAUCAAGAACUCUAAAUGAUAAUUAGAGAAUUAAAUUGUUUAUUCUUUAAUUUUAAUUUGGAUAAUUAUGGAGCAUGUUUGAUGCAUUAGUAUCUCUAAAUGGAUGGUCAAGAUUGAUUCAAAAGUAUUAAAUUUUGAUUAAACGUUUGAGGCAAGAGUUUUAAUAAAAAGAGAAAAUAUUGAAAAAAAAGAACGUACGUAUCUUUCUUGAAAAAAGUUUCAACUGUCAUUUUUCUCCUCUUCCUUCAAACUUUGUUGUACCUCUCUUCCUCUCUCCCAUUCCUGGCUAAUUUCUUAAAAGAAAAAUAGCCAUUAAUUUUUCAAAAGAAAAGAAAGACAAAAUCGAUUGCCAUCUUAUAGUCUAGCAUUCCACACCUUGUCCACUCAAAGUUCAAGUUGAAAUCAUUCUUGAAGAAUAUGUGGUAAGCUUGUUUGGUUAAGAAAUUAAUCAUUGGUGUGGUGGUAUUUGAAAAUAAGAAACUCAAAAUAAAAGGUAUGUUUUAUCUUUCUUUAAUAAAUUCUUAUUUUUUAGGAUGUAAUUAUGUUACUUGCAAUAAGAAUGAUGUGUUUUUCCGCUUGUGUAAUUAGAUUGCAUGCUUCCUUUAUAAAAGAAAAAUUUUUGAAAUUGAUGCUUUAUACAAACACAUCAAUGCACUUAGAUCCAACUUUAUCAGUAUUUCCAAGAAAAUAAUUUAUAAAUAUCGGGCUCUAAAGCUUUUGUAAAAGAUGUUGAGGAAAACAAAGAUUCAGUUUCAUAGAAAAUGAAAUAAUGUUGUCAUCUCUUGAAAAUCCUUGAAGAAAACGAAAGGAUUUAAAAAAUAACAUAAUUUGUACUACAUUGAGUAAAUCAAGUCUAAACACCAAAGUCGGCAAUUACCCAAUCCAAAGAUCAAGGUUGAGACAAAUACCAAAUCCAAAUGCCAGAAUCGAAAGAAAUAGCAACUCAAGCACCUUAGUCUAAGCAAUUGCCAAAUUCAAGGACCAAAGUCUAAACAAAUACCAAAAAUAAAAUCCAAAAUCAAUAAUAUCAAUUCCAAAGUCCAUAGUCGAAACAAAUAUCGAAUCCUAAUUCCAUAGAGUCAAAUAUCAUUACAAAUAGAAUGUGGAGUGCUAGACAGCAUGAAUAAUCAAAUCAAAGCGUGUCGUAGCACCAAAGUGGUUAAAUACAUGAUAGUCAUUGAUUGUAUAUCAAGGGAGGUAAGAUCGUAUUUGUAAAACCUCGACCUUUAGAGACGUGUAGCAAAGGUAGACACAAUGAUGUGGGUUAAGGGUAAUUUUGUCAUUUUCCUUGGUGAGCUCCUAAAAAUGGGUUUCUAACAUUAUUAAGGUCUAAGUAGGCUUAAGGAAUAGUGAAUGAGGUAUAUAAUAAUGAAAUAAAUGAAGAAAAUUGAAAUAAUGAUGAUUUCCACAAUAGGGGCAAAAUGGUCAUUUGGACCUCAAGUCUAAAUUUUUAAGUUUUCGUGAACUAGAGUACCCCUAGUCUAUUAUGGACCUUUCCUCAGUAUCAAAAGAGUAAAAAGUUGAACCAAAAGAAAGAUAGAAGGUAAAGUCAACUAUGCAAUGGCAUUUUGGUAAAUAAGUGGAAUUUAGUCAACUAUAGGAUAAAUAUCUCAUUUUUUCCAACACUUUCUCCUCACUUCCAGCAACUUCUUCUUCUUCUUCCCAUUUCUCUUCUCCAUUUCAUAUUUUCCAUCUUCCAUGGAAGCCAUCCCUUAAAACCUCCAUAACUUUCUCAAAGUAACUUCAAUUCUCAUGCUUUGGUACAUUUUUUCAUAGGAUUCCUUGUGCUCUUUCACUUCUACAUCUCAAGAACCCUCAAAAGUUUUUUCUCAAUACUUUCUCUCACUAGAUGGAUGUUUUAGAGAAAGAGAGAGACUUUCCAUAAUAGCUUGACAAACUCUUGGAAAGGAAUUCAACUACAAAACCACCAAGGUUCCAACGAGACCCCACAUCUCCACUUGGAGCAUUAGUAGAAGUCAGAGUCAAUUAAAGAAUCAACAAAGACAAGUGAGUGAACUUGCAUUAAAAUGUGUUGAAAUAAAUGAUUAUAUGCUUGAUUGAACCAUUUGAAAUAUUUUGUUGGUUUUCUUUAAAAUUUGCAUGGGAACAAGCCCUUGAUGAAACGUUUUUAUGUUAUGGAAUAUGAAUGUGAUGAAUUCAUGUGUUUCUAUAUUAUGUUGAUGUGUAUGUUAUGCAUUAAAUGGCAUUAUGUCAUAGCCCAAAUAUCGGGCCAUGACCGGUGGAUGGGCCCAAUGUGCAUAGCCCACUAAGCCUAAGCAAGCCUUUUUAUGUAAACCCGAUCAUCAUUCCCAACCAUCAUUUCUAAAACCACAUAUUGCAACUUUCAAUUAUAAAUAUUUCAUUAACGUUUUAUAGCAAUCCAAUAUUCACAUUUGUAUUAUGCUAACAUAGUAUCACUCAUUUGCCACCUUACAGUGGCAUCAAUAAUCAAAUAUACAUAUUUGAUUUUUAACAUGAAUCUUAGUGGUCUUCAUUACUUAUACAUGUACACAAGCAUAAGAGUCUUGACCAUCAGCAAAGUGACUUUAAAUGAAGGUACCGCAACUGAGGUGCCAUAGUACCUACCAAGAAGACGAGCAUACAUGGACAACUCAAUCUAGGUCCCAACUGCCUCUGAAUUUGAAAACAUGAAGUUUAAAAAUGUGAGCAUAAACUCAGUGAGUGAACAUAGGAAGGGAACAAGCAAUUGAUAGGAAGAAUUUGGAAAUAAUGAUGCACUUGUUUCAAAAACAAUACAAUUGAUUUAAUUUGUUACUAAAACCCUCUCAUUUCAAACUUUGAUCAAUAACCUCAUAAUGUAAAAAAACCCAUGAUCAAUCCAUGAAGUUAAAUGGGUGAAAAAUAUGUCAAAAUCAAGCAAGGUAGCAAGCAUGGCAGCAAGUUUCUCGCUGCAGCGAGAAACAGUCUCAAUUUGCAUAUGUUUCUAUUUUUUAUCAUAUCACCCACUACAAAUAUCCAAUUGACCUUAUUUUUAUACCAUUAAAAAGAUAAGAGGCAGGGCUACAAUUUUGAUGUUUACCACUUUUCCCAUUUAGGACGGGAAGGUGGUCAAAAUCUUUGUCGAAGUGAAAGCACUGCACCAGAACCCGAGAGUUUCUCGCUGCAAUGAAAAUGAAUCUCGCUGCAGUGAGAAACAGAGCAUUUUAAUAGAAAUGGGUCUUGUUACAUCAAAAGCCAUUUUCGUGUUGAAAUGAAAAGCAAUUUGAGAGCAAUUAACAAUGCCAACUUGCAACAUAAUCACAAAUAUUUCCAUAACUUUCUAUAACACAAACAUAUAUAUACAUAUGCAUUCAUCAUCAUGUGUGCACUCUCUACUCGCACACUCUAACAUCAUCAUGUGUGCACUCCCUACUCGCACACUUCAACAUCCUCACACAACAUUAUUCAUCAAUGCAUAAUGUAUAUUCAUAUACAUAUAUACCAACAUAAUAUAAAAGCACAUGGAUUCAUCCUUUUACACAACAUCAAAGCAUUUUAUCAAGGGCUUGUUCCCCGGCACACAUUUUUAAACAAAGGUUGGAUAAAAUCAUUCAAAUGUUUCAUCCAAAUACAUUUACAUCUCCCAAAGUAAAUUUUGAAAUGCAAGUUCACUCACCGGUCUUGUUGAUUCUUUUGCUUGACUCUAAUCUCAACUAAUGCUCCAAAUGGACAUGUGAGGCCUUGUUGGAACCUAUACACACACAACAUAACAACCAACCCAAAUUGGCAUUAAUAUAAUUCCGAAAGCUCUUUCCUAAUCAAGUUCUACUAGUUAUUCCUAACUAGCUUCCAAUUGCAAUUAAAUGGCUAGUUAUUCACACUACUCUAGUCACCCUAAGAGUGAAUAAACAACCUCAAUGAUAAAACACUCACAAACCCCAUUGUUAGCCAUUAUCAACAACUAAAGAAAUUUAACCUUAACUUGUACUCACCUUGAUGGUCUUUGUAGUUGAAUUCUCUUUCAAAAUUCUUCAAGCUAACAAGGGAAAUCUCUUUCUCUCUCUCUACAUGUCCAGCUAGUGAGAGGAAGAUGGAAGUAAGACUUUUUAAGGGUUUUAUGGUGAGAGAGUGAAAGAGCACAAAAGGUUCUAUGAAAAAGUACUCAAAAACAUAAAAUUGAAGCUAGAGAGAGAAAGUUAUGGAAGCUUUAAGGGAGGCUCCCAUGGAGAUGAAGAAACGUGAGAGGGGAAAGGAAGAAGAAAUGGCUGGAAGCUGCUGGAAAUUGCUAGAGCUUUAGAUAUUUAUAUAUAAAGUUUAUCCAUUUCUCACAUAAAUUACCAAAAUGCCCUUAACAUGGUGACUUUGUCUUCCUCUCAUCCUUUGUGAAACCUUUUACUCUUUUGACACUGGGCAAGGUCCAUAAUAGUCUAGAAAUACUCAAGUUCACAAAACAUAAAAAUUUAGACCCGAGAUGCAAAAUGACCAUUUUGCCUCUACCAUGGAAAUUAUCAUUAUUUUUAUCUUCUUUGUUUAUUUACCAUCAUAAAUAUCAUUUAUUCAUUCCUUAGGCUUAUUUAGACCUUAAUAGCAUAACAAAAACCCACUUGUAAGAGCUCACCAAGAGAAAUUAUGAAAUUAACCCUGGUCUGCAUUAUCGCGUAUACUUCUAGUUAUGUGUCUAUGGAGAUCGAGAUUUCAUAGGUUCACUUCUAAGUUACCCUUUUUAACUAGAUAACUAACCCAAAUUGGUAUCUGUAAACUUAUUAGCUAUCGUAUCAAAAUACGGGGUACUACACACUAUUGGGUGACAAUUGCAACCGUGCGUGUGCGGUGUGGGAGUGCACAUGACGGUGAUAGUGGUGUGCUGUGUGAGUGCACACACUGAUGAUAUAUGCCAUGUGCAGUGUGGAAGUGCACAUGACAGUGAUAGUGGUGUGUUGUGUGAGUGCACACACUGAUGAUAUAUGCCAUGUGCAGUGUGGAAGUGCACAUGACGGUGAUAGUGGUGUGUUGUGUGAGUGCACACACUGAUGAUAUAUGCCUUAUACGGCGUAGGAUUGUGUUAGGAUGAGCCAUACAGCUAAUUGGGAUUGGUUGAGGUUUGAUUCCAAUCAUGCAACAGUAUCAUUCAUGUUGAAUGAUUAGAGGCUUUCCUUCAUCAAUAAGACAUUAAUUAUAAUGAGUUAUAAGUCUAAUUGGAUGAAGUACAUGAGAUUAAUAUACCUUGCAAGGAAACUUGUAAUGGGUUGCAAUUAUGAGAUCCUUAUGCAACAAAGCAUAAUCUCAAAAUGUUAUUGGUCAAUGUAUCAUUGAGACUGGACAUCAAUGAUGCUUAAAGACUAGUAUAUUCUAUGUUCCUUACUUUGGAAGUAAGCAAUCGAUCUCAUAGAUUGAAGUAUAGAGAUACUUGGAACUAGAAUAUAGGUGCUUGCCUAAGAGAACAAGUUCACUAAACAUGACCUGCCAUGAGAAGUGCAUUUGGUAAUACACUCUAGUGUCUAUGCAACACUUCUUAUGUGUUAGUUGUGUAAAUACUCCCUAGACUUGAGACACCAGGUUGUCUUAUAUAUGGAGUGCUAUGCUUUGAUUUCAUCCCUACGGGUGCCUAACCAAGGAUGCCAAAAUAAGAUGCCUUUGGGUAUAGUAUGAAGCAUGUGAAGGCAAAUGAGUGGUCAAGAUAGGAAUCAUCACCUCAAGUGUUUUAGAGGACAUAUCUUAUCAGUUCUUGGUUAACAUUAGCUUAUUGAAGUCCUUCGCCAAGGCGACAUGGAGAUUAUGAAAAAUGUUUCAUAACUCUUUAUAAAACUAAUGCUAUAAUUGCAGGAACAAAUAUGGAGGUCAAUAAGAGUAGACACUGUACCAAGCUCUUAUCAUCUCUGAGAUUUAUGAUGAGGGAAUGAAUUACACUGAUAGAUUGUACACUGAAAGGUUAUCAAAGAACCCUUUGACUCUCCCAAUAAUUGAGUGGCCAUGAUGCAUUGCUAGAUGCCAAUCUUCAUUUAUGGAAAUAAUUAUAAAUUAAUUGAUUGAAAUUUAUAUUAAUCAAUUAAGUCAUUAAUCAAUUCCAUUGCCAACAUGUUGGGAACCUAAUGGGUCACACACAAUGAUUGCAUUUGAAUUAAAUUGGGAGAGUGAUGAUUUAAGUUAGACUUAAAUCACAUGCUAGGUAAUUAACUUCUAUAAACUUAAUUAAAAGAGUUUAAUUAAGUUUUAGACAUAAUUAUAAGGCCUUGAUUGCAAAAUAUAAAGGAAAUUAAUUUUGAUUUUAGUUUCCAAGGACUAAAUUAAAAGAGUUUAAUUAAGUAAUGGGCAAAUAUUAUAAUGUGUUAUAAUAUUGAGGGCUUAAUUACAGAAUUGAAGUUAUUUUAACCUAACUAUAUAAGUCACCUUUUAACUAUUUUCCAUAUGAAAGUUUUUCAGAAUUGAAGACAACAUAGUUUUUGUUAGAAAAAGAAAGCAUUUUCUUUCUUUGCCACCACUCCUUUUGUGUGAAAGAGAAAAUUGCUUAUGAAGCAAUUUUUGAGAAAGGUUCAGCUAAGAUUGUGGAAAAGAAGAAAAGGACAAUUGUUAUCCUCUUUGCUAGCACAAAGUAUAGUUAAAAGCUCCCUCAUUUGUUGAAGGUUCAAGUGCAAUCGUGUGUACUACCGUUGGAGGCCAAACACUUGAUUGGCUAGGGUUUUUGCUCCUUGUGGUGUUCGUGGGAUUGCUUCAGGAAGUGCCAUUGUGAUUACAAAAUUACUUGGCAAGGUAACUGUCUAUCAAUGAAAAUUUAUUUUAUGCUUUUAUGUGUUAAAUAUCACCAAGGUGAUCCAUGGGUGGAGGCAUGUCUUGGCAUUUUAGUUAUAAGUUUUAAUUUUCUUUCCGCUGCGUAUUUUGAGCAUGCCAUCCAUAGCCAAACCCAUCAGAUUGCAAAGGAUGAUUCUAGCUAUGUGCGGUGUGGAAGUGCACAUGAGUUGGUGAGAUGGGAGUUGUAUACAUGUAUGCACAUACCAUAUAGAGGUUAAGGAAAUCAAAUGUGAUUGUAUUAAAUAUUGAAUGUUGAAAUUUGACAAAUGCUUUCCAAUUGAUUUUUCAUUACAGCAAAAAUGGAUUUUCAUUGGGACAAGAAUUCUUUAACUUGAUAGCCCUGUUUUUCGCUGCAGCGAGAAACUCUCAGGUGCCGAGGGCUUGACUAGCCCAGAUUUUCACUGCAUCGAAAAUGCAUUCUUAGUGCAACAAGAAACUCUCGGGUGGUUGGGUAAAAUGCAGUCCAGAUUUUCACUUUAGCGAAAAUGAAUUCUCACUACAGCAAGAAACUCUAGGGUUGUUGGUCCAAAAUUUUGCCCUGAAGUUUGCUGCAACGAAAAUUCUUUCUUGCUACAGCAUGCUUUUUCGCUGCAACGAGAUUCGCUCUGCUAUGCUUGCCUUGCUUGAACUUUACUAUACCUUUCACUCUUUAACUUCUUUAUUGAUCAUGGUCUUUCAAUACUAAGGCACUAAAUGAUCAAGAGUUGAAUUAAGGGGUUUCAACAAGGAAUUGAGCUAAAUUGCAUUGUUUUCAACAUAAGUGCAUUAUGUUUUCUAAAACUUCCUGUACUAAUGCUUGUUCCCUUCCUAUGUUCACUCAUUGGGUUUAUACUCACUUUUUUCAACUUCAUGUUUGUCAAAUUCAGAUGUAGUUGGGACCUAGACUGAGGCGUCCACUAACACUCACUUUUGGUAGGUACCAUGGCAUUCAGUAGCUGUACCUUCACCCAAGGUCACUCUGCUGGAAGUCAAUGAGUCUUUUUGUCUGUGCAUAUGUACAUGUGAUGUAGAUCACUAAGAUAUAUGUUGUAAACAAUAUAUGUUUAUUUUGAUUAACAUUGCCACUAUGAGUUGGCAAUGGGUGACAUUAUUUUGGAUAACAAAAUGUAAGUAGUUGACUGUCAUGUUAUAUUGUUGAAAUAAUCAUACUUGAGAAUCACGAAAUAUGACAUUUAAAGUGAUGGAUAGAAUGAUGAACAAGAUCAUAUAAAAAGGUUUGCUUGGGCUUAGUGGGUUAUGCCCAUUGGGCCCAUCCGCUGGUCCUGGCUCGAGAAUUUGGCUAUGACAGUAUCAACUACCAAAUGAAACCAAAUCAAAGGGGGUAUGACUCUGUUAGCUAGCCAAUCAAAGCUAAGCAUUGUGUGCAAUGGCUAGUGGUUACUGUUAAUAGCUACAGGUCCAUAACUCAAGUAGGCUCCACUAAAACAUUUUAUGUUAUGUUCCUAAUAUCCAAAUAUCCAUUUCCAAAUGAAAAGGUGAAUCAUUCAAUGCCCUACAUAAAAAGGUUCAAAACAAAAUAAAGUUUAAGUGUUCAAAGUCCGUUUCCAAACAAACGAUGGAUUUAAUCAUCUACAUUUUAGAAGUUAGAAGUAAAGACUAAAUCAAAAUCAUCAAUCUGAAAGACAAAUUGACUCGGUGCUAGGGUCUAUGUGAAACUAAUCAUUUUUCAUUCCAAAUUUUCAAUUAUUCAAUCAAGCAAUUAUCCAUAGACAAAUAUCAAUUUUUGAGGCAUUAAACAUUUGAAAGGCUUAUUCUCCAUGCUCAAAACUAAAUAUAUAAUAACAUAUUUACAUAGUAUACAUAGAUUUCAUAAAACAAACUUGAAACCGUUGUUUACAUCACAAAGUUCAUCAAAAAACAUUUUAAUGCGAGGUUGUAGAAUAGGCUGUUAGUAUAAGCCCUACAAGCAAAUCUGUAGUUGUAUGGGAAUUGCAAAGAUAUUCAUGUAUGACAUUUUGUUAUUCAUAAUAACAUUGAGGUAGUUCUUUAUCCAUAAGUUUGUGAUUUAAUUACUUUUUGUAUUUAUGUAGAUAAAGCCCAUGGAAUUAUAUAUGACUUGUAAAGGAAUUGUAUUGAGAUACAAUUAUGAAAUCCUUAUGCAUUAAAGCAUUGUUCCUAAAAGUUCCUGAUCAUUGUAUUAUUGUAUCACAGCCCAAUUUUUGGGCUAUGACCGGCGCAUGGGCCUAAUGGGCAUAGCCCACUAAGCCCAAACAAGCCUCUUUAUGUAAUCUCGAUCGUAUUUCAACAAUCAUUUCUAAAGUUACAUUUCAUAAUUCUUAACUAUAAAAUAUUCAGUGAUAUACUACGGCAAUCAAAUACUUACAUAUAGAUCAUCAAAAUAAUAUCACCCAUUGCCAACUCAUAGUGGCAUCAUCAAUCAAAAUAUACAUAUAUUGUUUAUACUAUGAAUCUUAGUGAUUUACAUCACACGUAUGUAUACACAGGCAAAAGACUAUUGACUACCAGCAAAGUGACUUUGGGUGAAGGUACAACUACUGAAUGCCAUGGUACCUACCAAAAAGAUGAAUAUACGUGGACACCUCAAUCUAGGUCCCAACUGCUUCCAAAUCUGAAAACAUGAAGUUUAAAAGAGUGAGUAUAAAUCUAGUGAAUGAACAUAAGAAGGGAACAAGCAAAUGAUACAGGAAGUUGUAGAAAACAUGAUGCACUUAUGUUAAAAACAAUGCAAUUUAGCUUAAUUUCUUGUAAAGCCCCUUAAUUCAACCUUUGGUUAUUUAAUCCGUUAGAGUGAAAGAUCUAUGAUCAACAACAAAGUUGAAAAGAGUGAAAACUACAGCAAAUAUCCAAGCAAGAUAAGCAAGGCAAAGAGUUUCUCAUUGCAUUGAAAAUCAAUUUGGAGCCAAUUAACAAUUCCAACAUUCAAAAUUCAUUACAAUCACAUAAUAUUUUCUCUAACAUUUCUAUGGUAUGUGUAAACAUGUAUACAACCACCGGCUCAUUAGCUCAUGUGCACUCCCACACCGCACAUAGCUGGAAUCAUCAUCCACUAGUCAUCAACUCAUGUGCACUCCCACACUACACAUAGCUAGAAUCAUUAUCCACCUGUCAUCAGCUUAUGUGCACUCCCACACCGUACAUAGCUGAAAUCAUCAUCCACCGGUCAUCAGCUCAUGUGCACUCCCACACCGCACAUAGCUAAAAUCAUCAUCCACCGGUCAUCAGCUCAUGUGCACUCCCACACCGCACAUAGCUAGAAUCAUCAUCCAUCGGUCAUCAGCUCAUGUGCACUCCCACACCGCACAUAGCUAGAAUCAUCAUCCAUCGGUCAUCAGCUCAUGUGCACUCCCACACCGCACAUAGUUGGAAUCACCCGUCAUCAAAGGCAUGUGCACUUCCACACUGCACAUGUGUAGUUACAAUCAUCACAUAAUAUUAUCAUUCAAAGCAUAACAUAUAUAUCAUCAGAAUAUAGGAACACAUGGGUUUAUCACAUUACACAUUUUACAACGUAAAAUGUUUCAUCAAGGGCUUGUUCCUAGGCAUGAUUGUCACAACCCAGUUUUAGGGCCAUGACCGGCGCAUGGGCCCAAUGGGCAUAGCCCACUAAGCCCAAGCAAGCCUAUUGAUAUGGCCUGUUCAUCAUUUCAUCAAAAGUUCCAAAGGUCACAUUUCAUAAUUCCAAUUCAAAAUAAUGCUAACCAUUGCCAACUCAUAGUGGCAUUACCAAUCAAAAUAUACAUAUAUUGUCUAAAACAUACAUCUUAAUAAUUUACAUUGGGUUUGUCUAUACACAACAAAAGGGAUACUCGACUUUCAGCGGAGAGACUCGGGUGAAAGUACAGUUACUGAAUGCCGAGAUACCUACCAAGGAGAUGAAUCUACGAGGACACCUUGACCUAGUUACCGAUUGCCUCCUGAUCUAAAAACAUGAAGUUGAAAACAAUGAGUAUAAACCCAUUGAGUGAACAAAGGAAGGGAACAAGCAAACGAUAAGAAAAGUUUAAGGAAAUCAUGAAGCACUUAUUUUCAAAAACAAUGCAAUUUAGUUUAGUUCUUAUUAAAACUGUCACGACCCAAAUUUUCGGGCCAUGACUGGCGUAAGAGCCCAAUAAACGUAGUCCAUUAAGCCCAAGCAAGCCUAUUAAUUUAUCCUACUCAUCAUUCCAUCAAAUAUCGGUAAGUCAUAUUUCAUACUUUUGAAUCAAAAUAGUGAUAUACAUUGCCAACUCGUACUGGCAUUACUCCUUAAAAAUUUACAUACAAUGUUUACAACAUGUAUUUUAAUAAUUUACAUUAAGUUUGUCUAUACAAAACAAAAUAACACUCGACUUCCAACGGAGGGACUCGGAUGAAUGUAUAGCUACUGAAUGUUGAGACACCUACCAAAAUAUGGACACAGGUCUACAAGGACUCCUCGUCCUAGUUACCGGCUGCCUCAUGAUCUGACAACAUGAAUUUGAAAAUGGUGAGUAUAAACCCAGUGAGUGAACAAGGAAGGGAACAAGCAUACCAUAAGGAGUCUUUAAGGAAAUCAUGAUGCAUUCUUUUUCAAAACAAUGCAAUUUCUUUCUAUUCUUAUUAAAAACCCCUCAUCAAGCCUUUAAAUGAUUAAUGAUUUGAAAAUCAUUAACCCAUACAUAACGAACCAUUUGAAAAAUAAAAACUUCAAUAUUACACAAGUAAGUUAAAUACGACAACGAAUCUUCGCUGCAGCGACGUUGGGACUUAGUUAUUAACCGAACUAGGGUUUCUCAACUGGCCGAGGAUUUCUCACUAAACCUCCUCAUUUUAAACUUAACUCAUUUAAUCCUUAAUGUUGGAAGUCCAUGCUCUGAUAUGGUAGCAAAGAAGUGAAAGAUAGGACAAUAAUUGAAUAAGAUAGGAGACCAAAACAGAAAGUUUUUCGCUGCAGUGAGAUUCAAUCUCGCUGCAGCGAAAUUGUAACCUAGAAACAAAAAGUUUCUCGCUGCAGCGAAAUUGCAACCUAGAAACAGAAAGUUUCUCGCUGCAGUGAGAAUGUAUUUCGCUGCAGUGAGAAGCUACAGUGUCAUUCUCACUACAGUGAAAAUGCAUCCUCGCUGUAGCGAGUUUUCGGCCAACCUACCCUUUCAAAACCCGAGAAUUUCUCGCUGUAGUGAAAUACAGGGCAUCAAAUGAAAAGUUCCCUUUCUCCCAAAGAAAACCAUCCUACUUGAAAUGUUCAAAGCCAAUAUGAAACACAUAACAAUUUCUUAAGGUUUAACAUGUCAAGUUUCACAUGCAUUACAACCAUAAACCAUUAUCCAUCAAUUUCCUAUAAUAGACAUAUUUACAUAUGUAUAUAUAUAUAUAUAUAUAUAUAUAUAUAUAUAUAUAUAUAUAUNNNNNNNNNNNNNNNNNNNNNNNNNNNNNNNNNNNNNNNNNNNNNNNNNNNNNNNNNNNNNNNNNNNNNNNNNNNNNNNNNNNNNNNNNNNNNNNNNNNNNNNNNNNNNNNNNNNNNNNNNNNNNNNNNNNNNNNNNNNNNNNNNNNNNNNNNNNNNNNNNNNNNNNNNNNNNNNNNNNNNNNNNNNNNNNNNNNNNNNNNNNNNNNNNNNNNNNNNNNNNNNNNNNNNNNNNNNNNNNNNNNNNNNNNNNNNNNNNNNNNNNNNNNNNNNNUUUCAUGAAAAAUCGUAUAAAAUCAUUCAAACGUUUAUCAAAUACAUUAUAUUCCCAAAAUAAGUUUUGAAGGCAGUCCACUCACCAAUUGAUUGUAAAGCCUUUAAAUGACUCCAAUUCCCCUAAUUGUCCAAAUGAGAUGAUGGGGCUUUCUUAAAACCUAGGAUCACAUUAACAUAAACAAUAGAUCAAUUUACACACUAUGAACUCUAAAAGCUAUCUCUUAGCUAGUUUUCAAUUGCCACAUUUAACGGCUAUCUAUGUUCACUAUCUUAAUCACUAAAAAGUAAUGAACGUAGUCAACAAUAAAACAACUCAUAAAUCCCAAUUACUAGCCAUUUUUUGCAGCUAAAAAUCGAGCUUAGUUCAUCACUUACCCUAGGGCUCCUUUGUAGUCAAAUUCUCUUCCAAUUGCUUCCAAAUCAAUGGAGUAAUUCUUUCUUUCUCUCUCUAAAAUGCCCAACUAGUGAAAGAAAGUCUAGAAAGAAGCUUUAACAAGGGUUUUGAAGUGAGAGGAUGAAAGAAUUCAAAGGUUCUAGUCAAAAGGGUUCAAAGGUGUGAAAACUAGAGUUAGAGAGAGAAAAUCAUUCAAGCUUCAAAUCAAGCUUCCAUGGAGUUUUGAAAAAACGUGAGAGAGGAGAAGAAGAAGAAGACUAGCUAUCUGAAAAUCUCUAGAAGCUACUAGAAAUUCAAGAUAUUUAUAGGCAAUCUUAUCCUUUCCCUUAAAAUUAUAAAAAUGCCCCUCCACUAGUUAACUUAUUCUCCUCUAAUCUUUUAUGCAAUCUUUUUGCUCUUUUAACAUUGGGACAAGAUCCAUAAUGGUAUAGACAUGUUCGGGUCCAUAAAAACUUAAAAUUUUAACCCGAGGUGAAAAAUGACCAUUUUGUCCUUAUUAUGAAAAUUGUUGAAACUUCUAGUUUUCUUCAUGUUUUCAUCAGCACACAUCAUUUAUGCAGUCUUAUACCCAUUUAAGCCUUAAAAUAUCAUUAAACUUUCUUCUGGAAGCUUAUUAGAGAAAAUGACGAAACUACCCCUGGCUCGUAUUAUUACAUCUAUACUUAGAUAUAAGCCUAUAGAGGUUGAGGUCUCACAAAAACCCCUUAUUAAACCCUUAAUUGGUUAAUCACUUGAUGAUGAAGGAUCCAUGCACAACAAAGAAUUUGAAGAGUGAAAACUUUCAUAGCAUUCAAGCAAGUCAAGCGAAAUGACUAAUCCUUAUCAUCAGUAUAGUUGAAUUUUUGCUGCAGUGAAAUUUGGGAUCAAAUCAUCAGCUGGCCGAAGGUUUCUCACUAAAACCUGUCAUUUCAAACUUAAUUAAUUAAUUCCUUGAUGUUAGAAGUCCAUGGUCAACUAUGAUGUUAAAGAAGUGGAAAAUAUGGCAUAAACCAAACAAGGUAGCAAGCACGACAGAAGGUUUCUCGCUGUAACAAAACCACCUAUAAACAUCUCACUGCAACGAGAAUGUAUUCUCGUUGUAGCGAGUUAUAGGAUUGUAGCCAGCCUCCCAACCCGAGAGUUUCUUGCUGCAGUGAGAAAUAGAACACCAAGAAGAAAGUUCUCAUCUUAUCAAGAAAAGGACAUUCCGCUGCAAUGACAAAAUCAACUUGAAAAUACUUAGCAAUUUCCAAGGUUCAACAUGCAAGAUUUCACAUACAGUACAACCAUUUACCAUAUUCAUGAACUUUCUAUUGCAUAAAAAUUUAUAUGUACAUAUGUAAACACCAAUACCACCACCUCCUCACCCAACUCAUGUGCAACCCCCACAUAGCUAGAGUCAUUGUGUGCAUCCGCCACAUCGCGCACAGGCAAUAUCAUCAUACACAUUCCCUAUCCCGUCAUUACUGACAUGUGCAUCCCCCACAUCGCACACACACACGGUUAUAUUUAUUACACAAUAUUAAUUAUCGAUACACAACAUAUAUAUAUAUAUAUCAGCAUGCUAUAGGAGCACAAGGAUUCAUCAUAUUGCACAUUCAUCACAUAAAAUGUUUUAAUAAAGGCUUGUUCCCAUGCAUAAUCUUUAAGGAAAAAUCAAAUAAAAAUCAUUCACAUUCUUCAUCUAAAUACCAAUACAUUUCUCAAAAUAUUUUAAAUGCAAGUUCACUCACCUUGGUGGAUUUGUAAUUGAAUUUUUUUUCAAAAUUCUUCCAAGCUAAUAAGGGAAAUCACUCCCUCUCUCUCUACAUGUCCAACUAGUGAGUGAAUGUAUUUAAGAAAGACUUUUGAAGACUGUUGAGGUGUAAAAGUGGAAGAGCAUGAAAAACCUUAUGAAAAGGGUGUAGAAAAACAUGAGAAAUAAAGCUAAUUUGGGGAAGUUUUAAAGGUUUCAAAUGAUACUUCCAUGAAAGGUGCAAAUAAACAUGGAAUGGAGAGGAGGAGAGGAGGAAGAAGAAGAAGAGAAGCUACUGGAAAACUAAAGAAAAGCUACUGGAGAUUAGAUAUUUAUAGUUAAAGUUUAUCCAAUUUUCAUACAAUUUACAAUAAUGCCCUUAACAAGGCCACUUGUCUUCCUCUUUUUCUUUAUGCACUCUUUUUACUCCUUUAACACUAAGACAAAAUCCAUAACAGUCUAAAAGUACUUGAGUUCACGAAAACUUAAAAAAUUCUACCUGAGAUGAAAAAUGACCAUUUUACCCUUACCUAGGAAAUCAUCAUUAUUUCUAUUUCCUUUGUCAUUUUAUCCUUAUUUUCAUCAUUCAUUUAUGCCUUAGGCCUACUUAGGCCUUAAUAAUGUUUGAAAGCAUACUUCUAAGGGCUCACUAAGGAAAUGAUGAAAUUACCCUUAGUUCGUGAUAUCGCGUCUACUUCUAGCUACGAGUCUAUAAAGAUCAAGGUCUCACAAUGAUUUAGAGAAAAAAAGUCAAAUAUAAUCACUUAAGUCCUUCAUCUCAACACAUAUGAAGCUUUUCAUCAAAUCUCAUUCACAGUGGUCAUCACAUAUUCAUAUUUCAAAUCAAAUCAUGCCAUCCUCGAUGCAUGUUAUCAUAGUCAAAUGAAAUCAAAUGAGUGGUCCUUCCCUGGACGUAGUCAAAUCACGCUCGGUGGCCAACCGAUAGAGAAUCAAAUCAUGCUCAAACAAAGUUAAUGGCGAAGAAUGCAAUCAUGCGUGUCUUGAAGCAGCGGGCGGAGAACAAAUCACGCACAGUGUUGGGGCAGCUAGAGAAGAAUCAUAUCAUCGAUCGGAGUAAUCUCCCGAAAGUUGGCAUCACUCGAAGUAAUCUCAAUGGAUGACAUUUUUCAUGACCCGAUUUCCAAGCCAUGAUUGACACAUGGACUCAAUGGACAUAGUUUGCUAACCCCAAGUAAGCCUAUUUAUAUAAUCCUGCUCAUCAUCCCGUCAACUAUUCUUACAUUUACUGCUCAUAAUCUCAACCCUUAAGUACUUUAAUAGUAAGUUAUAACAAUCAAAAUUGCAUUUAUAUUAGCCCAAAAUAAUAUUAACCAUUGCCACUCAUGGUGGCUUUACCAAUCAAAAUAUACAUAUAUGGUCUAAGGCAUACAUCUUAGUACUUUACAUCACAUGUACGUAUUUAUAAACAAAAAUGACUCUGGGCUUCCAGCGGAGUGACCAAGGUGAAGGUGCAGCUAUGGAAUGACAAGAUACCUACCAAGGAGACGAAACUACGUGGACACCUCGACCUAGGUUCCAACUGCCUCCUGAUCUGAAAACAUGAAGUUGAAAACAGUGAGUACAAACUUAGUGAGUGAACAUAAAAAGGGAACAAGCAACGAUAAGGAAAGUUGAUAAGCACGAUGCAGUUAUUUGAAAACAAUGCAAUUUAGUCCAAGUUCUUAUUAAAAUCCCUCCAUUAAACCCUUGGUUAUUAAAUUAUUUAAUGAUGAAGGAACCACAUUCAACAUGAAAUUAAAAAGAGAGGAAAUUCCCAACAAUCAUUCGAACAAGGCAGCAUAAUAGAUAGAUUAUCGUUGCAGCAGAAAGGCAUUCUCGCUCGAACUUCAGUCACAAAUCAUCAACGGAACGAGGGUUCCACUCAACUGCAUGAGGGUUCCACUCAACUACAUGAGGGUUUCGUGUUAGAACCCCUUAUCUCAAACUAAAUUAAGUAAUCCCUUAACAUUGAAAAUCCAUGAUCAACCGUGAUGUUAAAGAAGUGGAAAAUAUGGCAAAAAUCAACAAGGUGACAUGCAGGAUAGAAAGUUUCUCGCUGCAGCGAGAUUCAGGCGGUAAAACAGAAUGUUUCUCGCUGUAGUGAGAAGUAGGGCACCUAAAUAAAGAAAGACCUCUUUUGCACUAAACAUCCAUUUGGUGCUACAACAAAAUCCAUUUACAAGUAUAUGGAAAUUUUCAAGAUUCAUCAUGCCAUAUGAUCACAUAUUAUAAUCAUGAUCUUUUUAUUGCAUAUACAUAUACCUAAACAUAUAUCAAUUCGUAUACCACCCCAUCUCACCUAGCUCAUGUGCAUCCCCCCACAUCGUGCACAAGCACAGACAUCGUGUGCUCUCCCACAUCACGCACAUUUGAUGCCAUCAUGUGCAUCCCCCCACAUCGUGCACACGGGCAAUAUCACCAUCCAUCUCAGGUGCACACUUACCCCGCACAUGCACGGUUGCAUUUAUCACAGAAUGGUACCAUUUAUGACAUAGUAUAUAUAUAUAUAUCAACAUUAUGCAGAAACAUAUGGAUUCAUCACACUAUCCAUUUCAUAACAUAAAAACAUUUCAUAAGGGCUUGUUCCCAUGCGAGUUUUGAAGAAAGAACCAAUAAAACGCUUUAGGGGAUUCAAUCAAACAUACAUGUGUAUAUCCUAAAGCCUUUUUAAUGCAAGUUCACUCACCGGUAUUUGUUGAACCUUUAGUUGACUCUAACUUCCCUAAUGGUCCAAUUGGGGCUGAGGGGCCUCAUUGGAACCUUGGUGGAUUAUAAUGAAAUUCUUCCCAAGAGUCCUCAAGUUAUCAUGAAAUCUCUCUUUCUCUCUCUCUCUCUUUCUCUACAUAGUUCAGCUAGUGAGAGAAAGUAUUGAAGAAAGACUUUUAAGGGUUUGUUUAAGGUGAGGGAGCAAAAUAGUAUGAAAAACUCUACAACAGGGUGUGUAAAGCACAAAGAUUGAGGUUAGUUUGAGAGAGUGAUGGAAGCUUGAGAGAAGCUUUCAUGGAAAAGGAGAGAAACAUGAGAUGGGAGGAAGAAGAAUAAGAAGCUGCUGGAGAAAUGAAGAAGCUGCUGGAAGAAUGAGAUCUUUAUAGUUAAAGUUUAUCCAACUUUACUUAAUUAUCGAAAUACCCUUAACAAGGCCACUUGUCUUCCUCCCUUCCCAUGUGCAAUCUUUUCACUCUUUUAACAUAAAGACAAGGUCCAUAAUAGUUUAAAAGUACUUGAGUUCACAAAACUUAAAAUCUUUGACUCGGGGUGCAAAAUGACUAUUUUACCCUUAUUGUGAAAAUUAUUGUCACUUAUAGUUUUCUUCAUGUUUUCAUCAUUAUACAUCAUUCAUUCAGUCCUUAUGUCCACUUAGACCUUAGAAAAUAUUAGAAAACCUUUUUCUGGGAGCUUAUUAGAGGAAAUGAUGAAAUUACCCUUAGUUUGUGUUAUCGCGUCUACUUCUAACUAUGAGUCUAUAGAGGUCGAGGUCUCACAAUAUUAAAGCACUACAGGUGGGAAUCACAAGCGAGAUUAAUGCCACCAUCCCUAUUUACCACCAUCCUUGUAGGGACACACAUAGUCACAGGGCGUGGGACUCCACUCCACCUCAAGUCAAAUCAAUGUCCAGAAUUCAUCUCUUGGACGCAACACAAAUCCAUAAAUUAGGCCAUUAUGCCUGCAAAAUUCCUUAUGUCCACAUCAAAUCAUAUUUCAAAAUCAACGAGCUUUAUUCAUCUCUAAGCUCAGUAUAAUUCUAAGUGCCUUCAAAUCUCUAAGGCAUUAUUAAACAAAACAUAAUCAAUCCAUAAGCCCUCAUGCCCUUAACCCCACAUGGGUAUUCAUCAUAUUAUAUCGUAUCAAUCAUGGCUUAACCGCUUUAUGCAUAUCCUUAAAUCAACUAUAAAUAUGUAGGCAUUCAUGCAUAGAUUAUAUCCAUAAGCAAUCAUGGCCCUUAGACCUCACAUAAUUAAUAUCACCCAACCAUUGUGCCAUUAACCCGAAUACAUAUCGGGCCAUAUACUUACUUCGUAGCCCAUUCAUCAUAAUUCAACAUAAUCCUUAAUCCAUAAUUCAUAUUAGUCCAUGUGUAGACCUCUUGCUCUAGGUCUUACAUACCAAGGGUUCUAAUAGAAUGCCACCUUAUGGCUCACCAUAAAUCACACAAACACAUUUCCUAGAUAGCUAAUUAGCUUAGGCAUCCUCAUCUAGGCACGUAAUAAUGUUCGUUCUUUAUCUUAGGCACAUACCUUUAGGCACAUAGAUAUACACGCACACGCACACACACACACACACACACACACACAUAUAUAUAUAUAUAUAUAUACAUAUCAAUUCUCUAGCCUAGGCAUUCUCAUCUAGGCAUACAGACAACAUUUAAGUACCAUGGCAACACAUACAUUAUGCGAGGUACAUCAUAUGCAUUUAAUUAGAUCCCACUCACCUCGACAAUUGGAGGUGUUCCCAUAGUUGAGCUCAAAUCCUCGGCCUAUUGUCGUCCUAUAGCUCACCAAUGCAUUAGGUGACUGUAACUUCCCUUAACACAUGAAAACAUCAUAAAAAUAUUUAUUUCCUAACUUUCCAAAAUAUCCCAACUUUUCAAAAAUACCCAAAUUCAAUAUACAUGCUCAUUCUUCCAACAAAUGAACUAAAUCCUUACCUUAGAAGCUAGGUUUCCCAAAUCUAGGCUCCAAAUCUCUAAUAAACUCAAAGGAAGAGAGUUUGAACAAAUCUGAAAAUAUUUAGAUAUGAGGUUAUUAAUGGAUUAAAUUAAAAAUCAAUUAGUAAAAACAUGUAAUCUUACCUUUAGAUAGAUUUCCCAAGCUUGGAUUAACUCCAUAUAGCUCCAAGAAUUUGUUUAAGAUACAUGUUCCCAAGCUAUACCAAAUCUAUUGAUACAUUUUUAAAUGUAUUGAUAGAAUUCCUCCAGAACAACUCAUAUUGUUUUUCCUGCCAAGAAUGUACCAAUACAUGAAGGGAUGUAUCGAUACAUUUUCCUCUGUAGGUAGUUUUAAGUCUUCUAAAACUUCAAAAAAUCUAACUUAACACCCCAAAUCCAUUAAUUGUUAAUCGUAUAUGUGAGACCUCAGCCUCUAUAGGCUUGUAACUAAGUAUAGAUGUAAUAAUACGAGCCAGGGGUAAUUUCGUCAUUUUCUCUAAUAAGCUUCCAGAAGAAACUUUUAUGAUAUUUUAAGGCUUAAAUGGGUAUAAGAUUGCAUAAAUGAUGUGUGCUGAUGAAAACACGAAGAAAACUAGAAGUUCUAACAUUUUCAUAACGGGGGCAAAAUGGUCAUUUUUCACCUCAGGUUAAAAUUUUAAGUUUUUAUGAACCCGAACAUGUCUAGACCAUUAUGGAUCUUGUCUUAGUGUUAAAAGAGCAAAAAGAUUGCAUAAACGAUUGGAGGAGAAUAAGUUAAUUGGUGGAGGGGCAUUUUUGUAAUUUUAAGGGAAAGGAUAAGAUUGCCUAUAAAUAUCUUGAAUUUCUAGCAGCUUCUAGAGAUUUUCCAGCAGCUGGUCUUCUUCUUUUCCUAUCUCACGUUUCUUCAAAACUCCAUGGAAGCUUGAUUUGAAGCUUGAAUAAUUUUCUCUCUCUAGCUCUAGUUUUCACACUUUUGAACCCUUUUGACUAGAACCUUUGAAUUCUUUUAUCCUCUCACUUCAAAACCCUUGAUAAAGCUUAUUUCUAGACAUUCUCUCACUAGUUGGGCAUUUUAGAAAGAGAAAAAGAGAAUUACUCCAUUGAUUUGGAAGCAAUUGGAAGAAAAUUUGACUACAAAGGAGCCCUAGGGUAAGUAAUGAACUAAGCUCGAUUUUUAGUUGCAAAAAAUGGCUAGUAAUUGGGAUUUAUGAGCUGUUUUAUUGUUGACUAUGUUCAUUACUUCUUAAUGAUUAAGAUAGUGAACAUAGAUAGCCGUUUAAUAUGGCAAUUGAAAACUAGCUAAGACAUAGCUUUUAGAGUUCAUAGUGUGUAAAUUGAUCUAUUGUUUAUGUUAAUGUGAUCCUAGGCUUUAAGGAAGCCCCAUCAUCUCAUUUGGACAAUUAGGGGAAUUGGAGUCAUCUAAAGGCUUUACAAUCAAUUGGUGAGUGGACUACCUCCAAAACUUAUUUUGGGAAUAUAAUGUAUUUGAUAAAUGUUUGAAUGAUUUUAUACGAUUUUUCAUGAAAAUAAAUGCCUUGGGAACAAGCUCUUGAGAAAUGAUUUAUGUUAUGAUAUGUGGUUAUUAUGGAUUUCUAUGUGGUUGCAUUUUGUUGAUAUACAUAUAUGCUUGAAUAUAAUGUUGUGUAAUUAUAUUGACUCAGCUAUGUGUGAGUAGGGAGUGCGCACAAGCUGAGGAUGACCCGGUUAUAUGCGAGUGGGGAGUGCGCAUAACCCAGUGAUGACCCAACCAUGUGCGAGUAGGGAGUGCGCAUGAGCUGGUGAUGAUGAUGAUGAUGGGAUGGUGUGAUGAUGAUGAUGGGUAUAUGCAUAUAUAUAUAUACAUAUGUAAAUAUGUGUGUUAUAGGAAAUUGAUGGAUAAUAGUUUAUGGUUGUAAUGCAUGUGAAACUUGACAUGUUAAACCUUGAGAAAUUCUUAUGUGUUUCAUAUGGGUUUUGAACAUUUUAAGCAGGGUGGUUUUCUUUGGGAGAAAGGGAAAUUUACAUUUGAUGCCCGGUAUUUUGCUGCAGCGAGAAACUCUCGGGUUUUAAAAGGGUAGGUUGGCCGAAAACUCGCUGCAGCGAGGAUGCAUUUUCGCUGCAACGAGAAUGACACUGUAGCUUCUCGCUGCAGCGAAAUACAUUCUUGUUGCAGCGAGAUUCAAUCUCCUUGUAGCGAAAAUCUUUCUGUUUUGGUCUUCUAUCUUGUUCAAUUGCUGCCCUAUCUUUUUACUUCUAUGCUACCAUAUCGGAGCAUGGACUUCCAACAUUAAGGAUUAAAUGAGUUAAGUUUAAAAUGAGGAGGUUUAGUGAGAAAUCCUCGGCCAGUUGAGAAACCCUCGUUUGGUUAAUAACUAAAUCCCAACGUUGCUGCAACAAAAAACUGCAGCGAGAAUGUCUUUCCCCUGCAACGAAGAUUCGUUGUCGUAUUUGACUUACUUGUGUAAUAUUGAAGCUUUUAUUCUUCAAAUGGUUCGUUAUGUAUGGGUUAAUGAUUUUCAAAUGAUUAAUCAUUUAAAGGCUUGAUAAGGGGUUUUUAAUAAGAAUAGAAACAAAUUGCAUUGUUUUGAAAAAGAAUGCAUCAUGAUUUCAUUAAAGAUUUCUUAUGGUAUGCUUGUUCUCUUCCUUGUUCACUCACUGGGUUUAUACUCACCAUUUUCAAAUUCAUGUUUUCAGAUCACGAGGCAGUCGGUAACUAUGACGAGGUGUCCUUGUAGGCCUGUGUCCAUCUUUUGGUACGUGUCUCAACAUUCAGUAGCUGUACAUUCAUCCGAGUCCCUCCGCUGGAAGUCGAGUGUUAUUUUGUUUUGUAUAGACAAACUUAAUGUAAAUUAUUAGAAUACAUGUUGUAAACAUUGUAUGUAAAUUUUUGAGUAAUGCCAGUACGAGUUGGCAAUGUAUAUCACUAUUUUGAUUUAAAAGUAUGAAAUAUGACUUAACGAUAUUUGAUGGAAUGAUGAGUAGGAUAAAUCGAUAGGCUUGUUUAGGCUUAAUAUACUAUGUUUAUUAGGCCCUUGCGCCAGUCAUGGCCCGAAAAUUUGGGUCGUGACAGUGUACUUCAAAUAGCUCAUAUAAUUCAAAUCCUUAUACAUAUAUUCUCAAAUAUACAUCAAAUUAAAUCAAAUCCUCAAACUAUAGGAUUAAUUCAUCCUUUUUAUUGAUAUUUGCCUUAAUGUCAUAUUUAGGUGUCAAAGUGCCAAACACAUGCACAAUUCCUUUGAAAACUCUCCUUAUACCAAUAUUCAUAGUCAUAUACCUAUAAGUGUAGUCAUAUUCACCAAAGUUCAAUUUAGCUCAUCAAUUGGCGUAGCUAGUUCAUCAUAUUAUUCGAAUCCUCAAUGUGCACUAAAAUUUUAAGUUUUUCUCUUUAGACCACAAUAGCUCAUGUGCAUGCUCCACAAGCAUAUACAUCAAGUUUUCAAGUUUACUCAUCAAAUCACUUGGCCAACAUCACAUUUAGGCCAUAUAAAAAAUUAGGGGUGUUGCACCAAAUUUACUCCAAAUAACUCCGUGUGCUUUUUUGUGACUUAGGGUUUCAAAUAGGUAAAGAGAGAAAAUAAAAAUGAAACCAAGCCUUUUAGAAGUGGAAUCUACUUCCUUUAAUGCUUAAAAUCCAAGGUUGAUUGUUGGAUUUGACUAGGUUUGAAAGGUGUAAAGUUUGAGAGAAAAUGGUGGAAGAAUAAAGGAAAAGGAGGAAAAAUGAAAAAAAGUCAAAUUUGGGGCUUUUAAGUUUGAUUUUGGUUGACUGAGUAACCUAAGGUCGACUAUGGAAAAUCUGUGGUCGACCUUAGACUAGUAGAUUUUCCCAUUUGUCUUUCUCAAGAUCAACUAUGAGAGCUCUAUAGUCGAUCCUGGUCCAGUAUGUUUGCUUAUAUUUGACUUUUCCUUAAUAAGAUUGAAUAUGGGAGCUCUAUAGUCGAUCUUGGUCAAGUAUGUUUGCAUCUUUUCCCAUUUUCCUUCCUAGGAUCAAUUACAAAAGAGACUAUAGUCUAUCCUAGACCAGUAUAUUCGACUUCCCCUACACUUUCACUCCUUUCUGAAGCCUAAACUCAUUAUAAACCUCUUCUACCAUUUCAAAUCAUUUAUAUUUCACUUAACAUCAACACAUAAACUCAUCUUACACAUCAAUUUCUCAUUCAUGCCCUAUGUCACAUAGUAUAUCGAUUAAUAAUAACAUAAUUUGGCUACAUAUCAUACUUUUCUAAGUGCCAAACAUAUGCAUUAUAUUUUUCAUGUGCCAAGCAUAUGCACAACAUUAUUUGAACUUUUACAUAUUUAGACAUUUCAUGACCAUCUCUCUAUGGAUAUAGGCAUUCCUUAAGUUCACAAACAACACAUUGAAGUUCAUAUCAACCCAUAAGCUAGUCCAACAUCAUACAUAGCUAUCACUAGGAACAGGGGUGUUAUAAUAACAUUAGUCACAAAAGUGUAAAUACAUAUCAAAGAUAAUAAACCUUUUGAAAAGAGAAAUAAACUUAACAUACAUAAUUUAUGAAUACCCAAAAAAAAUUUGGGCAUGUCCAUCAGUCCUAGUUUAGCUCUAAUCUUACAGAUAUGUUCUGCAUCUAAAGGUUUAGUAAAAAUAUCUACUAAUUGAUCUUGUGUUCUUAUAUAUUAUAAAGUUGUGUCUUUUUUUGUACAUGAUCUCUAAUAAAGUGAUGUCUUUUUUCUAUAUGUUUUGCCCUAGAAUGAUGGAUAAGAUUUCUAGUCAAAUUUAUUGCAUUAGCGUUAUCACAUUUUAUAGGAAUCUUCUUAAAAGUUAUUCCAUACUUUUCUAGUUGUUGCUUCAUCUAAAGAAUUUGUGCACUACAACUAGUAGUAGCCUCAUACUCAGCUUUGGUUGUUGAUUGUGCUACAUUGUUUUGUUUCUUAGAAAACCAUGACACUAACAUUUUUUCUAGAAAUUGACAAGUUUUUGAAGUGCUUUUUCUAUCUAUUUUACAUCUACCAAAAUCAUCAUCUGAAUAGGCAUGAAGAUCAAAGUUUGAGCUUUUGCGGUAUCAUAUGCCUAGAUUUGGUGUCACUCAAAUAUCUAAAUAUUCUUUAGGCAGCUUUUACAUGUGACUCUUUAGGUGAUGACUGAAAUCUGGCACAAAGGCCUACACUAAAACUUAUGUUUGGUCUCCUAACAGUCAAACAUAGCAAUGAGACAAUCAUUGGUCUAUAAAGCUUUUGAUCAGUGGUUUUACCUUGCUCAUCUUUAUCCAGCUUAGUCAUAGUGCUCAUUGGAGUUUCAUAUGAUCUUGUGUUGUUCAAUCCAAAUUCUUUAUGCAUGUCUUUUGUAUAUUUGGCUUGAUUUUUGAAUGUGCCAUCUUGUCUUUGUUUUAUUUAGAAACUAAGAAAAUAAUUGAGUUCACCCAUCAUACUCAUCUCAAAUUCUCUUUACAUAGACUUAGCAAACUCUUGACGUAGAGAUUCAUUAGUUGCACUAAAAACAAUAUUAUCAACAUAUAUUUACACAAUUAGAAUAUCUUUUCCAUUCCUUUUGAUGAAAAGAGUUUUAUCAACUUUCCCUCUAUUGAGGUCAUUUUUGAUCAAGAAAUUUGCUAAAGUUUCAUACCAAGCUCUAGGAGCUUGCUUUAAGCCAUAUAGAGCUUUUCUUAAUCUAAAAACAUGGUCAGGAAAUGUAGGACUUUUAAAACUAGGUGGUUAUUCUACAUAUUCCUUUUCAUUUUGAUGGGUUUGGCUAUGGACGACAAGCUCAAAAUACGCAGUGAAAAGAAAAUUAAAACUUUAUAACUAAACAACCAAAACAUGCCUCCACCUAUGGAUCACCUUGGUGAUAUUAAACACAUAAAAGCACAAAAUAAAUUAUUAUUCAGAAAGUUACCUUGCCAAGUAAUUUCGGAAUCACAAUGGCACUUCUUAAAGCAAUCUUGUGUACACCACAAGGAGAAAAAAACCUAGCCAACCAAGUGCUCGACCUCUAAUGGUAGUACACACGAUUGCACUUGAACCUUCAUCAAAGGAGGGAGUUUUUAACUAUUCUUUGUGCUAGCAAAAAUGACAACAAUUGUCCUUUUCUUCUUUUUCACAAUCUUAGUCGAAUCUCUCUUGAAAAUUGCUUCAUAAGUAAUUUAUUUUUUCACACAAAGGGAGUGAUGGCAAAGAGAGAAAACGCUACCCUUUUUCUAACAAAAACUAGGUUUUCUUCAAUUGUGAAAAACUCUCAUAUGGAAAAUAGUCAAAAGGUGACUUAUAUAUUUAGGUUAAAAUAACUUCAAUUUUACAAUUAAGCCCUCAAUAUUAUAAUACAUUAUAAUAUUGGGCCCAUUACUUAAUUAAACUCUUUUAAUUAAGUCCUUGAAAAUUAAAAUCAAAAUUAAUUUCCUUUAUAUUUUGCAAUCAAGGCCUUACAAUUAUAACUAUUUAUAAUUAUGCCUAAAACUUAAUUAAACUUUAUUAAUUAAGUUUAUAGAAGUUAAUUACCCAACAUGUGAUUUAAGUCUAACUUAAAUCAUCACUCUUCCAAUUUAAUUCAAAUGCAAUCAUUGUGCGUGACCCAUUAGGUUCUUAAUAUGUUGGUAAUGGAAUUGAUUAAUGACUUAAUUGAUUAAUAUAAAAUUUCAAUCAAUUAAUUUAUAUUCAAUUUCAUAGACCAAGAUUGGCAUCUAGCAAUGCAUGAUGGCCGCCCAAUUGUUAGGAAAGUCGAAGGGUUCUUUGACAACCUUUCAAUGUGUAGUCUAUUAGUGUAAUUCAUUCCCACAUCAUAUGUCCUAGAGAUGAUAAGAGCUUGGUACAGUGUCUACUCUUAUUGGCCUUCAUAUUCGUUCUUGCAGUUAUAGCAUUAGCUUUAUAGAGAGUUAUAAAACCUUUUUCAUAAUCUCCAUGUCGCCUUAGCCAAGGACUUCAAUAAGCUAAUGUUAACCAAGAACUGAUAGGAUAUGUCCUCUUAAACACUUGAGGUGAUGAUUCCUAUCUUGACCACUUAUUACCUUCGUAUGCUUCAUACUAUACCUAAAAGCAUCCUGUUUUGGCAUCCUUGGUUAGGCACUUGAAGGGAUGAAAUCAAAGCAUAGCACUCCACACAUAAGACAAAUUGGUGUCUCAAGUCUAAGGAGUAUUUAUACAACUGACACAUGAGAAGUGUUACAUAGACACUAGAGUGUAUUACCAAAUGCACUUCUCAUGGCAGGUCAUGUCUAGUGAACUUGCUUUCCUAGGGAAGCACUUAUAUUUUAGUUUCAAGUAUCUCUAUACUUCAAUCUAUGAGAUCGAUUACUUACUUCCAAAGUAAGGAACAUAGAAUAUACUAGUCUCUAAGCAUCAUUGAUGUCCAAUCUCAAUGAUACAUUAACUAGGAGCAUUUUAAGAUUAUGCUUUGAUGCAGAAAGAUCUUAUAACUGCAACCCAAUAUAGUUCCCUUGCAAGGUAUAUUAAUCUCAGGGACUUCAUCCGAUUAGACUUAUAACUCAUUAUAAUUGAUGUCUUAUUGAUGAAGGAAAAACUCUAAUCAUUCAACCUGAAUGAUAUUAUUGCAUGAUUGGAAUCCAGCCUUAACUAAUACCAAUUGGCUGCAGGGCUUAUCCCAACGCAUUUAUUAGUCCAUUAAAAAAUGCACUCUUAGCAUCCAUUUGAAACAAUUUAAAAUCCAUAUAACAUGAAAAAGAUAAUAGCAUUCUAAUGGCCUUUGGUCUAACAACUAGUUCAUAAGUUUCAUAAAAUCUAUAUCUUUCUCUUGGCUGUAUCCUUUGGCCAUCAACCUAGCUUUAUUUAUAAUUAUGCUUCCAUUUUCAUUUAUUUUAUUUCUAAACACCCAUUUUGUUCCUAUAAUGGGAUAAUCACUAGGCCUAAGGACUAGUUCCCAUACUUGGCUUUUCUUAAAUUGGUUUGGUUCUUCUUGGAUAGACAAAAUCCAAGUCAUCUUUUAAUGCUUCAUCUAUAGUCUUGGGUUCAAUGUGAGAAAUAAAAGCAACAUAAUCACAUACAUUUUCACUUGAGCUUCGAGUUCUUACCCUUUGUUGAGGAUCUCCAAUAACUUUACUUUGAUCCACAUACCUCAUUUCUCUUGGAUGUGUGGGUUUUUUCUUUACCAUGAUGUCAUCAAUUAGUUCAUUUAGCUGUUGAACUUGAUCUUCAUCUUCUUUGUUUUCAUUGUCAAGAUCAAGUUCCUCCACAUUCUCUUGAAGAAUAUCUAUUUGAUAAUUAACAACAUUUUUUUUUCUAGAGGAGGGGUUAGUGUAAUCAAAUAAAACAUGUAUGGAUUCUUCAACAAUUAUGGUUCUUUUAUUAAAUACCCUAUAUGCUUUUGAGUUCAAUGAAUAACCAUGAAAAAUUGCUUCAUCACUCUUUGCAUCAACUUUUCCUAAGUUAUUCUUACCAUUAUUUAAAACAUAGCAUUUACACCUAAAAGAAUGAAAAUAACCAAUAUUUGGUUUCUUUCUUUUGUAUAGCUCAUAAGGUGUCUUUUUAAGAAUAAGUCUAAUCAUUGCUUUAUUUAUUAUGUAAUAUGCAGUAGUAAUAGCCUUGACCCAAUAGAAUGUAGGUAAAUUAUUUUUGCACAACAUAGUUUUAGCCAUUUCUUCUAAUGUCCAAUUUUCCUUUCCAUUACUCCAUUUUGUGGUGGAGUUCUAAAUGUUAAAAAAUUAUGGCUAUAUCCAUUAUCAUAGUAAAGUUUUUCAAAACCUAUGUUUUCAAAUUCCUUACCAUGAUCACUUCUAACACUAGUAAUUGUGUACUUUUUUUAUUUUAUUUAUAGAAAUUUACAAAUACUUCUAAAGUUUCACUUUUUAUUACUAGGAAGAACACCCAAGUGCAUCUAUUGUAAUCAUCAAUAAUUACAAAUCCAUACAAUUUUCCUCCUAAACUAGUUGUUCUAUUUGUUCCAAACAAAUCCAUAUGCAACAGUUGCAAUGGCCUAGUAGUUGUAACUUCAUGCUUAUGUUUAAAUUAUGUUCUUCUAUGUUUACUUUUUGCACAUGCAUCAUAUAAUUUGUCAAUCUCAUAAUCAAUCUUAGGUAGUCCUCUUACUAAGUUUAAUGAUGAUAGUUAGAUGAUGUGUGCAUGCUUGCAUGUCUUAAUCUUUUGUGCCACAACCAGCUAUCCUCAUUUUUCUUUUCGAUGAAAUACACAUUUUUUGUAACAAAUCAUCUAGAUACACAACAUAUACAUUGCCUUUCCUAUUUCCUAUAAAGAAAAUUUUGUUGGUUCUAAUUUUUACAACAUAAUAGUAAAAAUUUUCAAAAUAACCUUAAGACCUUUGUCACAUAAUUGACUCACACUUAGCAAAUUAUAUUUAAGACCAUUCACAAACAAUACCUUAUUAAUAUGGGUGGAAGAAUUUUUACCAAUGUUACCAAUACUUUUGAUGUGACCUUUUGAGUUGUCUUCAAAAGUCACUUUUGCUCUUUGUUGUGGUAUCAAUUUCUUGAAAUUCUCUUUUCUUCCUAUCAUGUGUCUGGAGCACCCGUUGUGUAAGUACCACAUACCUUUUUCUUUGACAUUUGAUUUUAAGCACAUAUUUUUAACCUCAAAAUCAUUUACUCUGAUGAAGCAUAGAUUUGCAAUUCUUUCUUUCUUCCAAUUUUAUGAUUCACUACUGUCACUCAAUUCAGCCAACAUUGCUUUCUCUUUGAAGUUCAUUGGAUAGCUUUUUUAGAACAUCCUUUUUGUUUUCUUUUCAAGAAUCUAGUGAACUUCCAAGUCAAUAAGGUUAUCUUUUCAUCAUCCCCUUCUUCAUCAUCACAUUUAAUAUUCUUUUCAUUUUCUUCCUCAACUGCUUUUAGAGUAAUGCUUUUUCUCUUUUUCUCUCCUUUAAGUGCUUUAUCCAUUUCUUUUUCAUGUUUUAGAGUCAUCUCAUGUGUGAGCAGGGAUCUUAGAAGCUCAUCAAGCUUGAGGACAUAAGUCCUUGGCUUUCUUUAUGGUAGUCACCUUAGGUCUCCAUGACCUUAGAAAAUAGUGGAGGUUUUUCUUCACUAGUUGUGCAUUUGGAAAUUUUUUUCCUAAUGCCUUUAGUCCUUUGUUACAGCUUUGUGAUUCAACAAAAUUAGCUUUUUAUCUUUGUCAUCCUAUUUAGCUCUUGUCUUAACAUGUUUCACACCAUCAUCAAGUUUACUAGGGACAUAAGGUCCAACAAUUAUUCCCAAAGAUCUAGAUCAAUAGAUUGUAUAAAAUUUCAAAUCAUAGAUUGUCCAACAAUUAUAUCUCAUUCUUCAAAAUGGGUAGUUCCUGCCUUUGAACAAAAUAGGUUGUAUGAUAGAUUGUCCUUUACUAAUAAAGCUCAAGGAUGCCAUUACUGUUACUUUAAGCUUUUGUUCAUGAUCUUUUAAAGGUUGUUAAAUCUACAAAACUUGCAAACCUGCUCUAAUACCAAUUGUUAGGAAGAUAAGCUUAAAGCAAUGUAACCAAGAGAAGGGUGAAUUGGUUAUGAAUAAAAAAUUCUCCCUUUCUUAAAAGAACUAUGAAAAUGCAGUAGAAAUAUAGCAAAGACAUAGUAUGAACUAAAUAAACAAAGUGUAGAAAGAUAAAGAGUGCUAGGCAAAAUUUUUAUAGAGGUUCGAUCUUCCAAUGCCUAUGUCCUUUCCUUUGGUAGCCUAGGGAGUUCAAAUCCAUUAUCAACUUGGUUUUUCAAUAGGGUUAGGUGUAACCUUUACAACAUGCCUUUUAACAAGAUCAAGUGUAACCUUCAAAAUAUGCCUUUUCACAAGAUCAGGUGUAACCUUACCAAAACACUAUCUUUUCAUGUUCAAGCAUAGCCUUUAUAGAAGAUACAACCUUUUAAAGGAUCAAGCAAAACCCCUUUAUCUUUUGCUUAGAGGUAUAACCAACAUAAUAGUGGAUUCUUAAAAGAAUCUCUAGCUUAAAACCUCUAAUAAGGUUAGUAAAGAAAUUUAGGCUCAAUGGGAUAAGAGCGUUUUCAAAAGAAAUGAAUGAUGAAAGAAGGUUUAAGCUCAAGAAGUAUCAGCUGAAGGAUAAAAAUGUGAUCUUUAGGUUAUGCUCUUGCUCAAAGAUAUGAUGUUUUUGUUAAUAGUUAUUUUGAUUGUUUUUCCUUUAUUUCUCUCUACAAGGAUGAUUCAAAACCAUUCAAGUUUGCUCCUUUAAUGUUCUCAAGGUAGGUAUUUAUAGCUCUUGUGAUUUCUUGCCCAUUGAAGUGAAAUUUGAAUCAGUUUUCAUAUGUUCCAGCCAACUUCCACAUUUCUGUCGCACAUGGAGAAUUGAUUUUUUGAUCAUGAGUUGUCGAUUCUUCAUAAAGUGUGGAGCUUUCUAUCUCUAAAGAAUCAAUUCUUCUUUUUUGAGAUAUUGGUUUUUCAUUAAGUCUUGGACUUUUUGUCUUUAGAGAAUUGAUUCUUUUUUCAUUAGAUAUCGGUUCUUCCAUAACUUGGUUCAAAAGAGACACCUUUGCAUUUUAGGAUUUUUUUUUGCCUCUAGGUGUCAAUUCUUCACUAUUGACUUGAGCCAAAAUUUGAAUUUCAUCUUGACUUUUGACACUCCAAUCUUAUCCAUUCGUACCAUCUCUUUCUUGGUCACCAAGUUUCUAAUCUUUGUUUUUGGUGCUUCAAAAACAAAAAUCUUUUCCAUGAAGAAUCGAUUCUUUGUCUUUAGACUUGUGUUCUUUAAUGCAUUCUUCACUUAGAACUGACUUUUGCUACUUGAGGAAUCGAUUAUUUCUUCUUCAUAUUUUUGCCUUUUAUAUUCUAUUCUCUUAAAAUCGAUUCUUGUUGUUUGAGGCAUCUGUUCUUCUCAAUUCCUGUUGCUUCAAAAAUUGACUUCUUCUUCUAUUAGAAUCAAUUCUUAACUGAUGCUCUCUACAAAGAAUUGACUUCUCCCAUCUUUAAAAUUGAUUCUUCCUGUGAUAAAGAAAUAUAUUUUGCUUUCUUCUCGUUUAAGAAUCAAAUAUUUGCUUUUGAGAAUUUAAUUCUUAGGCUGAGACAUUGAGUUUAAAAAUAAAAAAUAUCUUUAGGAAAACUUAGAAAUGCUUCUUUAAGUUCAAGAGCAUUAUCAUUCAUUUUCAAAGCAUCUUCAAUCAAUCUCAACAUUUCAAUAUAUCUUUCUUUCUAAGAUCAACUUCAAAACAUCCUUGAGGAUUUCCUUUAUGUUCAAAAGCAUAUUUCAAUCAUUUUCAAAACAAUUUAGUUCAAUCAAUUUGUCAUUUCAAAACAAGAAUAAAGUUAACACACAUGAUAUGAGUAUGAGUACAUGAUGAUAUGAGAUAUGAUAUAUUUAUAUGUUAACCUAAGGGUGAUAAUGGUUUCACCAUUGCCACUAUUUUGGAGUUAGGUGUAAAUUCCACUUUUGGAGUGAGCCAUUGAUUCCACUCACAUGAUGCAUCAUGAAUGCCCAAGUGUGAUGUGGGCUUAACCAUUCAUAAGAGAUGUCUAAAAGGUAAUAGGGGCUUAACCAUCACCAGUCCAAGGUUGAUGGGGGCUUAUCCAUCGUAAUUUGUUAUAUCUUUGAGUAUAUCUUGAUGAUGAAUAGUAACUCUAUAUGUUUGAUGCAUAGAAAUGUUUGAACAAGGUGGGUAAGAGGUAAGCUUAUUAUAUGAGUAUGAGAUUUGAAGAACAUGAAUUCUUGAGUUUAUGUGUAUGGUUAUCGAGUUCUAGAAGGUAAGUCUCGAUACCUCAUUUGAAAUAUGAGUUCAUGAUUUAUCCUUUUUUGGAUUCCAUUCAAAGGUUUUAUUUGAAGUUGCAUUUUAAGAAUUAUGAGACUUCAAAGGUAUGAAGAGUGUUUUCCCACAUUGUUGAACAUGCUACUCAUUUAUUUUAAAUGUUUGGUUCAUACUCCUAAGGAAUUCAUGAAACUUGUUUAGAAGUAUGACUAUUAUUUUACUAGUUUAUUAUAUGUAUCGAAAAGAUUAUACAUGCAAGGUUAUAUAAAUGUUCUAUUUAUGUAAAAGCUCUAACCUUGUAGCUUGUCCUUUUCCCGUAUCCAUUCAUGGAGUCAUUGUGAUUCAAACGUUAGUUUCUCCAUUUUUGUUACAAAUCAAUGAUACUUGUCAAGCAGCCAUGUCACAGAAAUGUGGUUCGUUCCUCCUUUAGUAGUUGACAUAUUAGCCCUUGAAGCCUAAGGAGUUGGGCAGUGUUUCACUUUAUGAGUUGAUCUAUAUAUUUUUGUUGUAAAAUUCUUAUUUGGUACUGGAAUGUUAAGCCAUUGAAUGGUAGGUUACUUUGUUGAGAAUAUGUGAAUGCUAUAAAUAACGGCCUAUAAGCCCUUAUGAUCACUUGCAUUGCAUUGACAGUAUGUUGAGAAGUUCACUAAUAGUAUAUUUACACCUAUGUGUUGAUGUUAAUGCUAUAAUGACAUAUGUUAAAAAGGGCCGUGAGCAUAAGGUUUGUGAAUUGCAUAGGUCCAUUUAUGGUCUCAAGCAAGCAUCUAGAUCUUGGAACAUAAUGUCACGACCUAGAACCUCCCUUGGACCCAUGACAACUGCCGCGACGUCCCGAUUGACACUCAUUACCUGGAACGCCAAUCAGAACCCCGCAAGGCUUACAUAUCAGUUUCUUACCUUUUUUGUGAGAAAUCGUUUUUAAACAAUUUCCAGUAGUUUCCGGCUCAAGUAAAUCAAAUGACAAAAAUAUUUUAAAAGGAUUUAUAGAUAAAUAUUACUAUUCAAAAUAUUGAUUAAAAUAUAAGAUUUUUAUAUAAAACAAUAUUUAUAGAAAUACGUGUAAGAAAUCUUUUAUAACUUGGAAGUAAAAUAAAUUCAUACAUACAAUAAUUUACAAAGUUAUAAUGUACAAUAAUAAUUACAAUGACAAGUGGCCCAAAAUACACCAAGUAUUGGUGAUAGUAACCUANNNNNNNNNNNNNNNNNNNNNNNNNNNNNNNNNNNNNNNNNNNNNNNNNNNNNNNNNNNNNNNNNNNNNNNNNNNNNNNNNNNNNNNNNNNNNNNNNNNNNNNNNNNNNNNNNNNNNNNNNNNNNNNNNNNNNNNNNNNNNNNNNNNNNNNNNNNNNNNNNNNNNNNNNNNNNNNNNNNNNNNNNNNNNNNNNNNNNNNNNNNNNNNNNNNNNNNNNNNNNNNNNNNNNNNNNNNNNNNNNNNNNNNNNNNNNNNNNNNNNNNNNNNNNNNNNNNNNNNNNNNNNNNNNNNNNNNNNNNNNNNNNNNNNNNNNNNNNNNNNNNNNNNNNNNNNNNNNNNNNNNNNNNNNNNNNNNNNNNNNNNNNNNNNNNNNNNNNNNNNNNNNNNNNNNNNNNNNNNNNNNNNNNNNNNNNNNNNNNNNNNNNNNNNNNNNNNNNNNNNNNNNNNNNNNNNNNNNNNNNNNNNNNNNNNNNNNNNNNNNNNNNNNNNNNNNNNNNNNNNNNNNNNNNNNNNNNNNNNNNNNNNNNNNNNNNNNNNNNNNNNNNNNNNNNNNNNNNNNNNNNNNNNNNNNNNNNNNNNNNNNNNNNNNNNNNNNNNNNNNNNNNNNNNNNNNNNNNNNNNNNNNNNNNNNNNNNNNNNNNNNNNNNNNNNNNNNNNNNNNNNNNNNNNNNNNNNNNNNNNNNNNNNNNNNNNNNNNNNNNNNNNNNNNNNNNNNNNNNNNNNNNNNNNNNNNNNNNNNNNNNNNNNNNNNNNNNNNNNNNNNNNNNNNNNNNNNNNNNNNNNNNNNNNNNNNNNNNNNNNNNNNNNNNNNNNNNNNNNNNNNNNNNNNNNNNNNNNNNNNNNNNNNNNNNNNNNNNNNNNNNNNNNNNNNNNNNNNNNNNNNNNNNNNNNNNNNNNNNNNNNNNNNNNNNNNNNNNNNNNNNNNCAAAAUUUACACAAUUCACCACAUUGAUGCUAAAUCACUAUAUAAUUGACUUAAAUCCUAUACUAAUGCAUGGUAUGAAAUGCAAUAGCCUAAAACGGCUUAAACGCGGUAUUAACCUAUUUUUGGCACUUUACUCGAUAAAUUGCUAAUGCAUUCCAUUUUAGCUCUAAAUUGUCUCAUUUUCUCUCCAACAUUUCUAACCAUUAAAUAUCAGCCAAUAACCUUCUAAAAUCACCAAAAUCAGCUCACUUUUCAUCUUGAAAAAUUCGGUAAAAAAUGGGACAUUAACUCGGUAAAAGUUUCACUUUGUUUUUAUAUCACAUUUAACCAUUUUUCAUCAUUUUCUCUUCAUUUCUGUUAGAAUAAAAAUCAGUUCAUCAUCAUUGUACAUCAAUGCAUAUUCAACCAAGGGUGGGUAUUGUGAAAAUUUCAUGCUUUCUUGCCCAAUUUAAUUUCUAUACACAUUUAACUAACUAAAACUACCAAUUUAACUAAAAAUCAAAACCUAAAAAUUUCAAAUUCUCUCCCCUAGAAUUUUGGCCAGCUCUUGGUUUCACUUUUUGAUCUCUCUCCUCAAGCAUUCUUAAUGGAAAUAAAGGCAUAGGAAAGGUAGAAAUCAAGCUAAAAUUGAAAAAUCUUACCAUUAGACGCGUUAACAGGCGAAAAACGCGAUUUCCCCUUUGAAUUUUCUAGUUUUCCUUUGUUUUUCUCUUUUCUUCCUUUCCUCUCUAUUUCUCUCUUGUUCUUUCCUUAUGGCCAGCCAGCACCUAAUAUGGGGUUUAAAUGGGCUGACUUUUCAUUAAAAUAAUAUUAAACCAUAAAAAAAUGCCAUGUGUCACUUUCCCAUUGGUCCGUUUUUAAAAUUUCAUCUAUUUGUUUCCAAAUUUUCACCAUACACUUGUCCCACAUAUCCAUAGCUUAGAUAAAAUUAUCAGACUUAUCCAAAGUCUUGGUGGAGUAAGUUUUGAAAUUUACACUUUUACCCCCGUAAAAGUGAAAAAUUACAUUUUUGCCCAAAAAAUUGAAAAUUGCCCAUAGACAUAUUUUUCAUCCCUUAUACUCAUACCAUUCCUCAAUUUGUCAAAUUUGAUCUAAAUUCUCUCAAAAUCUCAAAUUUUGUCUGCGAGUGGCAAAAUUACGAUUUUACCCCUAAACAUCAAAAUUUUCAAUUUUUCCCCAAAUGAACCCUCGAACUCCGAACAAUCAUUUUUAGUCAUUCCUGGACUGUAAAAUAUUAAAUUUCAUCCUACGAUUCCUAUUUGAACUAGUUCAAGGUUAAAUCAACUCAAGUGUACCGUUAAGUACAAUAUCGGGUUUCGUCUAUUCUUAGGACUUUCCUAGCGUAAUAACAUGUUACUCAAUGCAUGUAUGUCAUGACAUGUAUUUAUAGGCUUGGGUUUUACACAUAAGCUUUGAUACUAUUGUCAAAUAAUGUCGUUUCUAACAAGAUGUAGACGAACCUUGUGUUGAUAAAAGGAUACAGAACAAGAACAUUGGUUUCCUAGUUCUUUAUGUCGACGACAUUCUACUCAUUGGGAAUGACAUAGGAAAGUUGUCAAUAGUUAAAGGUUGGUUGAACCAACAAUUUGAUGUGAAGGAUUUAGGAGAAGCUAGAUAUAUUCUAAGGAUUAAACUUAUAAGGGAUCGUAAGAACAAGCAGAUAGCAUUAUCUUAAGCAACCUACAUAGACAAAAUUUUGGCCAAGUUUGCUAUGCAAGAUUCCAAGAAGGGUUUUAUGCCUUAUAGAGAUGGAAUCAAACUUUUAACUAAAAGCAUUUAGUUGGAAACGUAACCAAGCCCAUAAUUUGACUUAGGAUAUUCUAAAUAUGGAUUUAGAAAAUCUGGUAAAAAGUCAAUCAAAACCCCACGUAUAAAAAUAUUGAGUGGGAAAGGAUGCUAGUAAUCCUAGAGUCCACGGUCUCCAUUGUUGGCCCAUUGGCAUGUGAAACAUGUCACUCCUUACAAGCGGACAUAAAUCCAGAUCAUGACGAACUGGGUCUCCGAAAGGAUAAAUCCUCUUAGGUGGAUUAUGAAGUGAGACCUGCCAUAGAGACUUACUAGGUAAGGAGCUUAAAAGAAUGAAACAAUGGUUGUUACACUUAACAUGAAUUUGGAAUUAACUUGCCUACAAUAGCUCUUUUAGUAAACUUCGCGGACCAAAUGAAAGAUCUCCUUAACCAUGUUAAGUAUGAAGAAACUGGGCAACAUAGUUAAGUGGGUGGGUCCCAGUUUGCCUGGUAGUAAAUUAUCACAUCCCAUAGUCGGUUAAUUUAUUACAAAAAGGUACAUGACUGUUGAAUUAAUAAUACAAUUUACAGGGUUUUAUAUAUUGUCAUCAUGCAUACAUGCUUCAUGAAAUGUUCAAAGUCCAUAAAUAACUAGUAUGCUUACAUAAUUUCAAAAUGUACUUUUAGAAACAUAUUUGCAUCACAAAUAAGAAUCCACUUUCAAUUUUGCUAAACAAAUGCACUUUGAAUGGUGAUAACUACACUAAAUGGAAAAGAAACCUUAAUAUUGUCCUUAAUUAUGACGAGAUCACAUGGGUUCGUUUUGACCAUGAGCCUGAAGCACUAUCAACUCCACAAGAUAUUGAAUAUCAUAAAAAGUGGCAUGAUUCAAAUAAGCUGGCUAAAUGCUAUAUACUGGCUUCUAUGAAUAGUAUAUUGCAAAAGUAGCACGAAGGCAUGGGUAAUGCUGCUGACAUAAUGUUGCACCUACAUGAGAUGUUUAGUAGAAAAACUAGGUCUACUAAGGUAAAAGCAAUCAAUGCUUUUAAGGACCUUAAGCAGAAACUUGGGGAGCUAGUUAGAUAUUACAUGCUGAAAGUGAUCUCUUGUCUCAAUGAGGUAAAACUAAAUGGUGUUGAGAUAGAUACGAAAAUGCAAAUAUCAAUGAUCGUUCAUAGCUUGAAUUCAUCAUUUUCAUAGUUCAAAUUGGAUUAUGAACUGCACACUAGGGAUUACACCCUAAGUGGGCUAAUGGAUGAUCUUCAAAAUGUGGAAGAGGUUCUUGAUUUGAAAAAAAAGCCUGAAGCACAUGUAAUUUCCACUUCUAAGCCCAAACCUAAGAGUAAAAAUAAGAUAGUUGGAAAUAAAAUAUUUUUGAGGGCUUAGUGGGAGCAAAGAAAAAGCCCAUGAAGAAAAAGAUUGCUUCAAAAGACAACACUAAAGGAAAAUGUUUCCAUUGUGGUGUGAAAGGACAUUGGAAGCAAAAUUGCAAGGUCUGCCUUGAAGAAAUCCAGAAGAGUCAACAAGGUAUUGGUUUUCUAAAUAUGUUAAAAGCCUGUUUAGUGGUUGAUUCUACGGAUGCUCAGAUAGUAGAUUCUGGAGCCACUAACCAUGUUUUUAAUUCUUUAUAGGGGUUUCAACAUAGGAGAAAACUGAGUAAAGGGCAGUUUCGGAUGAGGAUGGAAAAUGACACAUUCGUUUUAGCAUUAGCAGUGGGAGCCAUUACUCUUCAAUUUCCUUAUGAUCGUAGCUUAGUUUUGGAAAAUGUUUUAUUACAUUCCAAAGACUUAUAGCAAUUUGAUUUUUGUUUUUUGUCUAAACAAGUUUAGAUAUUCAGUUUAUUUUAGUGAGACACUCACUAUUUAUUUGAAUAAGGAUUUUAUUUAUUCUAGAAUUGUAAGAUAUAAUCUUUAUUUCCUUGAGCCUACAACUUAUUCUACAAAUGCUAUAGAAGCAAUACGAUUUAAAAUUGAAAGAGUUAAAGAAUCUAGUAUAAAUCAAAAUUAUCUUUAGCAUCUACAUUUAGGUUAUAUCAAUCAAAAUAGACUCAAUCGGCUUAUAAAGGAUGGUACUCUACCAAACAUGGUUGAGGGUCCUUUACCAGUAUGUGAGUCUUGUAUUGAAGCUAAAAUGACUAAAGGGCUUUUUAAGGCAAAAGGUAAUUGAAUGCCAAACAUUCUAGACUUGGUGCACAUAGAUGUGUGUGGACCAAUGAACAUAAAAGCUAGAGGAGGUUAUGAAUAUUUUAUAACUUUUAUUGAUGACUACUCAAGACAUGGCUCUGUGUAUUUAAUUCAUAAAAAAGUGAAUCCCUUGAAAAGUUCAAAGAAUUCAAAGCUGAAGUUGAAAAGCAAUUACGCAAGCCAUGGAAACAACUUCGAUCAGAUUGAGGAAGUGAGUAUUUAUCAGAUGAAUUUCAACAAUAUCUCACUGACAAUGGGAUAGUUUCCAAUUUGUCAGCGCCAAGAACACCUUAACAUAAUGGUGUAGCUAAAAGAACAAAUAGAACUCUUUUAGAAAUGGUUAGAUCAAUGAUGUCUUAUGCUAACCUUCCAAUCUUAUUCUGGGGAUAUUGUAUGCAAACUGUUGAGUACUUACUCAAUUUUGCUCCAUCUAAGGCUGUGCCUAAUACACUAGAGGAGCUAUGGACAAGGCGUAAAUCAUCUAUAAGUCAUUUGCAAACUUAGGGGUGUCCUACACAUGUUUUAAAGCUUGAGUCCAGAAAUAUGGAACCAAAGAUUGAGGUAUGCUUGUUUGUAGGGUAUCCAAAAGGAACAAGAGGUUAUUACUUCUAUAAUCCUCAAGAUAAGAAAGUUUUCGUUAGUGCGAAUGCCACUUUCUUAAAAGAAGAGUUUGUGAGAAAUCACAAACCUAGAAGUAAAAUUAUCUUAGAAGAAUUGUCUAAUCCUUCAGAUUUAAGAGUUAAUUCUGAAGAUGUCAUAACACAAUCUGAUUCAAAGGUUGAAAUAGAAUCACAACCUGAACAUCAAAUAGUGGUGCCUCAACGUAGUGGGAGGGUUGUGAGACAACCAAAAAGAUACAUAGGUUUGGGAGAAAACAUGAUUACACUCUCAGAUGAACAUGAAUCUGAUCCUAUUACAUAUAAAGAAGCUAUUAAUGAUGUAGAUGCUGAAGAAUGGCAUAAGGUAAUGAAAUCUAAGUUAAACUCCAUGAAUUCUAAUAAAGUUUGGAGUCUAGUAGAUCCACUUGAAGGAAUAAAACCUAUAGGGUGCAAAUGGAUUUACAAGAGAAAAAGGAAGUGAUGGGAAGGUAGAGACCUUUAAGGCUAGACUAGUGGCCAAGGGUUUUACCCAAAGAGAAGGGAUUGACUAUGACGAAACCUUCUCUUAGGUUGCUAUGCUUAAUCCAUCAAGAUCCUUCUAUCCAUAGUUGCACAUCUUGGUUAUGAGGUAUGACAAAUGGAUGUCAAGACCACAUUUUUAAAUGGAGAUCUUGAAAAGCACAUUUAUAUGGCUAAACCAGAAGGUUUCAUUAAAAAGGGCCACGAGCAUAAGGUUUGCGAAUUGGGUAGGUCCAUUUAUGGACAUAAGCAAGCAUCUAAGUCUUAGAACAUAAGAUUUGAUACUACUAUCAAAUCAUAUGGUUUUCAACAAAAUAUUGACGAACCUUGUGUCUAUAAAAGGAUACAAGAUAAAAAGGUUAUUUUCCUAGUCCUUUAUGUUGAUAACAUUCUACUAAUUGGGAAUGAUAUAGGAAUGUUAUCAACAGUUAAAGGUUAGCAAAACCAAUAAUUCAAUGUGAAGGAUUUGGGAGAAGCUAGCUAUGUUCUGGGGAUCAAACUUAUAAGGGAUCAUAAGAAAGAAGCAGAUAGCAUUAUUUCAAGCAUCCUACAUAGACAAGAUUUUUGCAAAGUUUGCUAUGCAAGAUUCCAAGAAGGGUUUUAUGCCCUCAAGACAUGGAAUCAAACUUUCUAAAGAGAUGUCACCUAAAACUCUAAAGGAAGUUAAAAAUAUGAAACGGAUUCCAUAUGCAUCUACCGUUAGAAGUCUCAUGUAUGUUAUGCUAUGCACUAGGCCAGAUAUUUCCUAUGCAAUUGGAUUGAUUAACAGAUUUUAUUCAAACCCAGGCAUGGAGCACUGGAUUGCAAUCAAGUGCAUUUUUUAAUAUCUUCGUAGAAUGAAGAAUUACAUGCUUGUAUAUUUUGGAAGUGACAUUGUAGCAGUAGGGUACACUGUUUCAGAUUUUCAGUCUGAUGUUGAUUCUAGGAAAGCAACAUCAAGAUCUAUUUUCACCAUUAGAUGAGGAGCUAUAUUGUAGAGGAGUGUAAAGUAAUCUUGUAUUGCAGACUAUACUAUGGAGGCAGAGUACGUUGCAGAUUGUGAAGCAGUAAAGGAAGUUUUAUGGCUCUGUAAGUUCCUUAUGGAGCUUAAAGUAAUUCCAUAUGUGGACAAGCCUAUUACACUUUAUUGUGAUAACAGUGGAGCAAUGGCUAACUCAAAAGAACCAUGGAAUCAUAAAGCAGCAAAACAUAUUAAAUGGAAGUAUCAUCUCAUUCGAGAGAUCAUACAACAUGGAAACGUACUUGUGAAGAAAAUUCCAAAUGAGCAUAAACUCGCCAAUCCAUCAAAAAGACUUUAACACAAAAGAGUUUCGAUCGUCACUUAGAAGGUCUUGGAAUGAGGGAUAUGUCAUACUUGCUUCAGGGCAAGUGGGAGAUUGUUAGAAAUUUUGAGAAUAUGGUGCCCUAAAAGAUAAGUAUAUUCUCAUAUUUAAUUUUAUUAAAUUUAUUUGUAAUGAAAGUACAUUUUGAUAAUAAGAAGAAGAGUUUGUUUUAGUAAGCAUUCAUUAUCUAGUUAGUAAGGUACCAUGAUUCUAUUGAGAUAUUAAAAUGCAUUUGUAUGAAGAGUCAUACAUAGGAGAUAUGUAUUUUAAUUGAAUCUAAAAAUUGUUCAUAGCCAUAUAAUAAAGUUAGUCACUUUAUUGGUUUAAGGUUGUAGUGGUCCAAACUUCCAACGAAAUGAAUGUGAUUCAUUUCAAGGGAAUGACGAGUCUUAAAUCAUCGAAAUGGUUGACUUUGAGUAAUGACACUAUAACAUGAACUGAAAUCAUGUGAGAAUUAAAUUUAAGUUCAACCAUUACUUAAAUUUUAAUCUCGCACUUAUGCAUCUGCUUAUAGUAGAACCGAAAUCUUGAUGGAUAGUGGACUUGUAUUUAAUCUCCUUAUAAUCUUUGAUUUACCAUGAGCAUGAUCAAUACUUCGUAUUUUGGAAUUAUAAUCGAGAUGAACAUUUGGGAACAUAUACCCAAAUAAUGCAAUUCAUAGCAUUAACAUCACUUCUAUUGAUUUUAGGAAGAUUGGUGAUUAAUUUGGGUUUAAUGGAUUGAUGAAUUAGCUACUCAUCAUAUCUGGAUACUCAAAAGGUUAGAUCUAGAGUAUUGAAUCACUAAUUGGAUGAAAUUUGAGACUAGAGGACAAAAUUGACAUAAAAGGUAAAAUAGUAAUUUCGCCAUUUUGUCAUUGGAUGGUUAUGAGGGUUCACAAUAUAAAGUUUGAAAUUGAACAACUAAUAAUUAAUAUCAAGUAUUGAAUUGUUUCUUGUAAUUAUAGUUAAUCCAAGAGUGCAACCAUGAAUCUAUGGUAGAGUGAUUUCAUGGUUAAUAAGCUUGGAUUAUUUUUAAUGAGAUUAAGAAUAAUUCCAAGUUUGUUGGAGCUUGGAAUAUCUAUGUCCAAAUAGAUUCCCCACUUAGCUUCGUAGAAUUCAACUUGUUUAAGUUGGAAUACAUAUUUUAAUUUGAUUAAUUAAAUUGUGUACAAAAAUGACACUUUAACAUGUUUGUUUUAAUUUAGACAAGAAAACAUGUUUGGUCUUAAUUUAGACAAGAAAAUAUGUUUGUCUUAAUUUAGGACAAGAAAAAUAUUUUUUGUCUUAAUCUAGACAAGAAAACAUAUUUGUCUCAAUUUAGACAAGAUAAAAUAUUUUUGUCUUAAUUAAAGACAAGAGUUUUCUUAAAUUAAGAUAAUGUUAGGUGGAUUCUUGCAAAAUGAAUCUAGAAUCCAUGUUAAUAAAAAGAGACUCCAUGUUUGACUAUCAAUCUUUUAUUAAAUUAUUAAUUAUUUUUAAAUAAAGAUAGAUAAUAAUAAAAUAAGAGUUAUUAUUCAAUAAGGAGUUUUAUUUUAUCAAGAACUUUAAAUGAUAAUUUAAGAAUUAAAUAUUUAUUCUUUAAUUUUUAUUUUGAUAAUUAUGGAGCAUGCUUGUGCUAGGAACCACAUGAUUAGAGCAUCAACGUAGCGGAAUAAUGAAAAUUGAAAUAAAAUAAAAACCAUGCAUCCUACCUUUAGAUCACCUUGGUUGUUUAAUAUAAAGCUAAGCACCUGUCACAGCCUAAUUCUUGGGCCAUGACUGGCGCAAAGACCCAAUAGGCAUGGCCCACUGAGCCCAAGCAAGCCUUUAUAUAAAAACUUAUUUAUUAGACCACCUGUCCCUCUUUUACCUCUAAGGUUCUUAAUUCAUUGUUUUCAAAAAUAAUUUCCUUUCGAAUAUAAAUCAUGGUAACUGAACAAUACCAUUCACAAAAUAAUCUUACUAUUUGCCAAUCUGUGGCAACAAUAUCAUGCAAACCAAACAUAUAGUGUUUACAACAAACUCAUGAAUUACAUUUAAAUAACCAUACAUACAAAACACCUUGACUAUCAGCGGAGUGACUCUAGCUUGGAUACUAUCAUGGAGUGUUCUGGUAACCUACCGUAAGAUGAACAGGAGGAAGCGCCUUUACCUAAGAUCCAACUAUCUUCGAACUUGAAAACUAAAACAUGAAGUUAAAAAGGAUGAGUAUAAACCCUAGUGAGUAAACAUAGGAAAGGAACAAGCAAACGUACGGAGAGCUUUUCGAAAACAUGAUGGACUUGUUUAAAAACAAUGCAAUUUUGUAUAUUAUGAACAAAACUCCAUGUUGUGCUAUUUUUCAACUCAUUGUAAAACAUUUAGGAAGUUCAAGCAAGGCAAGCAUAGUAGAGCAAAUCUUGCUGUAGCGAAAAUGCAUUCUUAGCAAGAAUGAAUUUUUGCUGCAACAAACUUCAGGGUAAAAUUUUGAACCAACAACCCGAGGGUUUCUCGCUGUAGCGAGAAUGCAUUUUCGUUGCAGAGAAAUUCUAGGCUAGUCAAGCCCCCAACACUUGAAAAUUUCUCAUUGCAGCGGGAAUGAAUUUUGUUGCAGUGAGAAACAGGGCAAUGAAUUUAAAAGAAUUAUUGUCACAAUGAAAAUUCAUUUUUUGCUACAGUGAAAAUCAACUGGAAAGCAUUUGUCAAAUUUUAACAUUCAAUGUUCAAUGCAAACACAUAAUACUUUCCCUAACCUCUCUAUGUACGUGUAUACAUGUAUACAACUCCCAUCUCACUAGCUCAUGUGCACUCCCACACCACACAUAGCUAGAAUCAUCCUAUGCACUCCUAAAUCGCAUGAGGCAAUAUCAUCAUGUGCAGUCCCACCUCGCACAUGGCAUAUAUCAUCAGUGUGUGCACUCACAUAGCACACCACUAUCACGCACAUGGCAUAUAUCAUCAGUGUGUGCACUCACACAGCACACCACUAUCAUGCACAUGGCAUAUAUCAUCAAUGUGUGCACUCAUAAAGCACACCACUAUCACCAUCAUGUGCACUCCCACACCGCACACACACGAUUACAAUUGUCACCCAAUAGUGCCAUUCAAUGCAUAACAUACACGUCAACAUAAUGUAGAACCACAUGAGUUCAUCACAUUCAUAUUUCACAACAUAAAAAAGUAUCAUCAAGGGCUUGUUGCCAUGCAUAUUUAGAGAAAAGUUCAAUAAAAAUAUUUCAAGUGAUUUAACCAAAUACAUAUGCAUUUAUCCCAAAACAUUUAAUGCAAGUUCACUCACCUUAAUGCCACCUUACAAAACCAGUGCCCACAAAGUCUUAAUCCAGGUAGUCCUGAAAUACCGUUAAAACCUAUAUUUACCAAUAAGCCAUAACAACCUCCAUCAAGUAAUAAUUUGAAUUUAAUAAUUCUAAUAAAUAUACACUAUACAAUCUACACUCUAACCCAACUUUUAACCUAGAAUUCUAGUUUAAUUCACAAACCCAUUAAACUAAUUGUUCAAGUUUAAAGUUUCUUUACCUUGGUGCUUGAAGGUAUAAAGAUCAACCAAACCUAGCAAAUUUCGAGGAAAAAAAAAUUUGAAAAAGCUUAGAAAAUAAAGUCUAAAAAUUACAAACCCAUAAAUUCAAAAAUUCAAGGGUUGAAAAUAUAUACCUUUUAACCUUAAAAAAGAAGAUUUGAAGCUAAAAAUCCAAGUGUUUUUGAAAGUGAAGAAGAAAUAGAAAAUAAAGGAAAGGAAAUGAGAUUUUUCUUUCUCUCUCCAAAGGUUUAGAUGUGCUAAAAAUUGGGGUUAGAAGCUGCAGGUUUGAUGCCUAAGAAGUUAGGAAAAGGAAUGAGUAAGAAGAGAGAAGGAAAGUAAAGAAAACAAGGAAAAGAAAAUGAAAAUCUUGAUUUUAAUGGUGGAGGAACAAAAAUGGCAUUGGGAGGAGAUGAAGGAGGAAGAUGGUUGUGAAACCUCAACCUCUGUAGACACGUAACUAGAAGUAGACACAAGAACAUGGACUAGAGGUAAUUUCAUCACUUUCCUUAGUGAGCUUCUAGAAGUGGAUAUUCUAACAUUAUUAAGGUCUAAGUAGGCUUAAGAAAUAAAUGAAUGAUGUAUAUAAUAAUGAAAUAAAUGAAGAAAAUAGAAAUAAUGAUAAUUUUCACAGUAAGGGCAAAAUGGUCAUUUUGCAUAUCGAGUAUGAAUUUUUAAGUUUUUGUGAACUCGAGUCUUCUAGACUAUUAUGGACUUUGUCUCAGCAUCAAAAGAGCAAAAAGUCAAACCAAGGGAAGGAAAAGAGGCAAAGUCAACUAUUGAAUGGCAUUUUUAUAAAUAAAUAGAACUUUAAUCAACUUUAAGCAUAUAUAUCUAAUUUCCAACAACUUCUUCUUCUUUUUCUUCUUCUUCCCAUCCUUUAUCUCCAUUUCACAUUUUUCACCUUCCAAGGAAGCCUCCCUUGAAACCUCUAUAACUUUCCCAAAAUCAACUCCAGUUUUCAUGCUUUUAUACACCUUGUCAUAGGGUUUUUCAUACUCUUUUACUUCUACACCUCAAGAACCCUCAAAAGUCUUUCCUCAAUACUUUCUCUCACUAGUUGGACAUUUUAGAGAGAGAGAGAGAGAUAUUCCAUAAUAGCUUCAAAACUCUUGGAAAGGAAUCCAAAUUACAAAAUCCACCAAGGUGAGUAAUGAAUUAAGGUUGAUUUUUAAGUUGUUGAUAAUGGUUAAUAAUUAGAUUAUGAGUGUUUUAUUGUUGAGGUUGUUUAUAUAUUUUUUUAGUGUGAUUAGAGUUGAGUAAAUAAAUAGCCAUUUAAUGGUAAUUGGAAGCUAGUUAAGAAUAACUAGUAGAACUUGAUUUAGGAAAUGGCCUUUAAAAUUUUAUUAAUGCUGAUUUAGGCUGGUGUGAUGCUAUUGUGUGUGAUAGGUUCCAAUGAGGCCACACAUCUCCAUCCGGAGCAAUAGACGCAGUUAGAGUCAAUCAGAGCAUCAACAAAAAUAGUGAGUGAACUUGCAUUAAAAUGUUUUGGGGAUAAAUGCAUACAAGCUUGAUUGAAUCAUUUGAAAUAUUUGAUUGAUCUUUUCUCUAAAAUAUGUAUGGGAACAAGCCCUUGAGGAAACAUUUUUGCGUUGUCGAAUAUGACGGUGAUGAAUCCGUGUGCACCUAUGUUAUGUUGAUAUAUAUAUAUAUAUAUUAUAUGUAUUGAUAAGUAAUAUUGUGUGGUAAUUAAAACCAAGUGUGUACGGUGUGGGAGGGCACAUGCCGGUGAUGACAUGGUGUGAUUCCAGCUAUGUACGGUGUGGGAGUGCACAUGAGCUGAUGACCGGUGGUUUAUAUAUGUUUGCUGUGCGGUGUGGGAGUGCACAAAAUGAUUCUAGCUAUGUGCGGUGUGGGAGUGCACAUGAGCUGAUGAUCUGUGGGUGUAUGUAUGCUUAUACAUAUUUACUGUAGAGAUGAUCAUACAUGCUAUAAAACUGUUUAUAUAUGCUAUAGAAAGGAUAAGGAAAUAAGAUGUGAUUGUAUUGAUUGUCGAGUGUUGGAAAUUAUUAACUAAUUUCAAAUUGAUUUUCGUUGCAACAGAAUGGAUUUUCAAUGCAGCAAAACCCCCCUUAAGUUCAUCAGCCCUGAUUCUCAUUGCAGCUAAAAUGAAUCUCGCUGUAGCGAGAAAGUCACGGGUCGUUCACUUAAUAUGUGCUAAGAAUUUCCUGCAUUCUCGCUGCAGCGAGAAACUCUCGGGAGGUUCAAAAAAUUUCUUUCUCCAAAAUUUGUUGCAGUGAAAAUUCAUUCUCGCUGCAGCUAGAAACCCUUUGUUAUGUUGUUAUACUCGUCUUGCAUGGAUUUUGUUGUAGUUCUCACCCUUUCCAACUUCAUUAUUGAUCAUGAAUCCUUCAACACUAAAGGAUUAAAUGCUCAAAGUUUGAAAUGAGGGGUUUUAACAAGAAUUUAAACUAAAUUGCAUUGUUUUUACUAUAAGUGCAUCAUGUUUUCUAAAAUUUUCUUUAUUGUUUGCUUGUUCCUUUUUUAUGUUCACUCACUGGGUUUAUACUCACUCUUUUAAACUUCAUGGUUUCAGACUUAGAGGUAGUUGGGACCUAAAUUAAGGUGUUCAUGUGCACUUACCCUUUGGUAGGUAUUUUUGCAUUCAAUAGUCGUGCCUUCACCCAAGGUCACUCUACUGGUCGUCAGAAGUCUUUUGUAUGUAUAUAUAUAUACUCGAUGUAAAUCGUUAAGAUUUAGGUUACAAACAAUAGAUGUAUAUUUAGAUUGAUGACGCCAUUAUAAGAUGGCAAUGAAUGAAUGACAAUAUUUUGGAUUAAUACAAAUAUAAAUAUUUAGUUGCCAUAUAUGUUACUGAAACACGCAUAGUUGAGAGUCAAGAUUUGUGGUUUAGGAAUGGUGACGUUAUGAAAUGAUGAACAAGAUUUCAUAAAGAGGCUUGUUUGGGCUUAACGGGCUAUGCCUAUUGGGCCCAUGUGCUGGUCAUGGCCUGUGACAAUGGUGCCUUGGACAUAAUGGCCGGCCAUGGGAUAAGGAUGGAGAGUUAAAGCUUCCUUUGGAAGAUUUGACCAAACUUUAUGGAAAAUUAUCUUUUUGCCCUUUAAGGUUUUCACCAUUUUUAAUUGUAUCCUCCCACAAUCUUUUAAUUCCAAUUUCUCUCCAUUUUUCUUCCUUAACACUUGUACCAAUAAAAUAUCAAAUUUAUGAUUCAACGCAGUAACACUGUAAUAUUUAAAUAUUUACUUACCCGAGCUAGCUUUGUUUAAUAAAGACAUGCGAUCCCCAUUAACAUCAUUUUUCUCUAAAAUUUCCUUGUCCUUCUUCUCCCCCACUUAGAUUGAUCAUGUAUUUCUCCUUCAUGGAAAAUUUCGACAUCGAAUAAAAUAUUAAUAUUUUAAUAUUAUUCUAUUAAUAAAAUAUUAUUUUAUUUCAAAAUUUUCCACUAGCCUUCUUAGGCUCCAAAACAUCUUACUUUGCCGUGAUUCACAUUCGAAUCACCUUUUAUCUCACAAAUUUUUCCUCGAUAAAAAUAUUAUUAUUUCUUCGUGUGUGAAAUAUUUUAUCUUAAAAUACUCUUUUCACCCGUCUCCAUCCUUUGGCACUUAAAUCAGCAUCCAUUGACUUUUUGUCUCGUUGAUAAGGUCAUAUUGACUUCUAUGCGAGGGUACUGGGUGUCACAGCACCACAUAAAAUUAAUAAAAGUUUUACCUUUCCAAGUGAUAUCAUAAUCAAAUGGAUUCCUUUUGGGGACAAAACGUGAACACCUUUUGCGUGAAAGAAUCCUAGCAACUCAAUCCCUUGGCCUCCAAUGAUGCACACACGAUCGCAACGGAUCCUUCUCAAAGAGAGAGCUUUAUGUCGCGGGCUUGUGCUAGCAAAUGGACAAUGAUUUGUCCUCUUUUCUUCUUUGAUUUCCAGCAAAGAAUCAAAGGAGAAGUUUUCAAAAAAAUAAAAAUAUAAACUUCUCAAGUGUGGCAGGACUCAAGAGAAAAACCUUUUUCUUUUUUUUGUUUCCUUCCAAAAAAAAAAUAGUGGCUAUAAUGUGAUAUUUAUAGCUAGGUUUAACUUAUUAAAAUUUACAAAAUAAGUCCUUAAUAUUAUUACAAUUAUAAUAUUUACCCAAUACUUAAUUAAACUCUUUAAAUUAGGUCCUUAGUAGUUAAAACCUAGAAUUUGAUUUAAGUCUAACUUAAAUCAUCACACCCUUAAUUUAAUCCAAAUUGCAACCUUUGUGUGUGUGACCCAUUAGGUUCCUAACAUGUUGGCAAUGAAAUUGAAUUAUAAUAUCAUUAAUUAAUUAAUUUAAAUGAAUCAUAUUCAAUUUUAAAUUAACUAAUUCAAUUCCAUAGACCAUGAUUGGCAUCUAGCAAUGCAUCAUGGCCACCGAAUUGUUAGGAGAGUCAAAAGAUUCUUUGACAACUUUUCAAUGUACAGUAUUUUAGUGUAAUUCAGUCCCUCAUCAUAUAUCCUGAAGAUGAUAAGAGCUUGGUGCAGUGCGUACUCUUAUUGAGCUCCAUAUUUGUUCUUGCAGUUAGAUCAUUAACUUUAUGGAGACUUACGAAACUUAUUUCAUAACCAAGGAUUUGAUUAAGCUAAUAUCAACCAAGAACUAAUGAGAUAUUUCCCCUUGAAUCACUCGGGGUGAUGAUUCCUUUCUUGACCACUCAUUUGCCUUCAUAUACUUCAUACUGUACCCAAAAACAUCUUGUUUUGGCAUCCUUGGUUAGGCACCCCGUAGGGAUGAAAUCAAAGCAUAGUAAUCCACAUACAAGACAACUUGGUGUCUCAAGUCUAAGGAGUAGUUUCACAACUGACACAUGAGAAGUAUUGCAUAGACACUUGAGUGAGGUACCAAAUGCACUUCUCAUGGUGGCUCAUGUUCAGUGAACUCACUCUCCCACAGUAAACACCCAUAUGCUAGUUCCAAGUAUCUUUAUAUUUCAACCUAUAAAAGCAAUUGCUUACUUCACAAGUAAGGAACAUAACAUGUGCCAAUCUUUGAGCAUUAUUGAUGCCUUAUCUCAAUAAUACAAUGAUCAGGAACUUUUAGGAACAAUGCUUUAAUGCAUAAAGAUCUCAUAAUUGUAUCCCAAUACAAUUCCUUUGUAAGGCAUAUAUAGUUCCAUGGGUUUUAUCUACAUAAGUACCAAAGGUAAUUAAAUCAUAAACUUAUGGAUAGAGAACUACCUCAAUGUUAUUAUGAAUAAUAAAAUGUCUUACAUGAAUAUCUCAAAAUUGUAAUUCCCAUACAACCACAGAUUGGCUUGUAGAGCUUAUACUUACAAUCUCCCACUAGUACUAAAGCCAAUCAACUAUGUAUCUAAUACCAAUGUUCUCAACAUGACGAUUAUGCUUCUACUAGGAUAAUGCUUUAGUGAGAGGAUCAGCAAUAUUAUCCUUAGUGGGUAUAAGCUCUAUGCAAAUGUCUCAUCUUCUAUUGAUUUCCCUGAUCACAUGGUAACGCCGCAAUACAUGUUUGGAUUUUUUUUUGAGACCUUGGUUCCUUUGCUUAUGCAAUGGCUCCAUUGUUAUCACAAUACAAAGGUAUUGGAUCAACAAUGCUAGGAACCACAUCUAGUUCAGUAAUGAACUUUUUAAUCCAAAUUGCCUUUUUCACUGCCUCAAACAUAGAGAUGUAUUUGGCCUCGAUUGUAGAAUCCUCAGUUGUCUCUUGUUUGGAACUCUUCCAACUCACUGCACCUCCAUUGAGUGUGAACACAUAUCCACUUUGCGACUUGCUAUCAUCUUUGUUAGUUUGAAUGCUUGCAUCCAUAUAUCCCUUAACUUGGAGUUCACCUUCUCCCUAAACCAGGAAUACAUCCUUAGUUCUUCGUAAGUACUUCAACAUGCUUUUCACUACUAUCCAGUGACUUUCACCAGGAUUAGCUUGGUAUCUACUCAUGACACUUAGAGCAUAAGAUACAUCUGGUCUAGUGCAAAGCAUCACAUACAUGAUAGAUCCUAUUACUGAAGCAUAAGGGAUCUUAUCCAUGUGAUUUCUCUCCUCUUUAUUCUUUGGACACAUGUCCUUGGUGAGAGAGAUGCCUUGCGACAUAGGUAAUUAUCCUUUCUUGGACUCCAUCAUGCUAAACCUCUUUAGCACCUUGUCUAUUUAUGUGGAUUGCGAGAGACCUAGUAACUUUUUAGAUCUAUCUUUAUAGAUCUUUAUUCCAAGAAUGUAGGUUGCUUAUCCCAAAUCCUUCAUGGAGAAUUGUUUGGACAACUAAAUCUUCAUAGAUUGCAGCAAUGGUAUAUCAUUUCCUAUGAGCAAUAUGUCAUUAACAUAGAGCACUAGGAAAAUUAUGGCACUCCCACUAGCCUUUUUAUAGAUACAUGGUUCAUCCUCAUUUUUUAUGAAGCCAAACCCUUUUACAACUUCAUCAAAACGGAUGUUCUAACUCUGAUAAGCUUGCUUAAGUCCAUAAAUGGACUUUUGAAUCUUACACACCUUAUUAGCAUUAACAUUGGAUAUAAAACCUUUAGGUUGUGUCAUGUACACUUCCUCUCGUAAGUUUCCAUUAAGGAAUGUAGUUUUUACAUUCGUUUGCCAUAGUUCAUAAUCAUGGUAUGUAGCAAUUGCAAGCAAAAUGCUAAUGGAUUUAAGCAUAGCAGCUGGUGAAAGGGUUUCUUCAAAGUCAAUACCUUUUCUUUGUUUUUAACCUUUUGCUGCCAGUCUAGCUUUAAAGGUUUUCACCUUGCCAUCUACAUCGGUCUUUCUCUUAAAGACCCCCUUGCAUCCAAUAGGUUUUAUCCCUUCAGGUGGAUCCACCAAAGUCCACACUUGUUUAGUAUCCAUGGCAUCCAUUUCAGAUUUUAUGGCUUCUAGCUAUUUCUCAAAAUCGAUGUCCAACAUUGAUUUCUCAUAGGUUGUAGGUUCAUCAUUUAUGGGCAAUGCAUCCCUUUCCAUAAGAAAUCUACAUUUUUUUGGAGCUUGACGUAUUCUAGUAGACCUUUUGAGUGGUUGUGCCUCUUGAGAUUAUGGUUGUACAUCAGAUGCACAAUCUUAGGCUCAAGUUCCAGUGGAAUGUCAAUUUAUGGGUCUUGAGCUUCUUCGAGUACCACUUUACUCCCACUAGCCUUUUCAUUUAAAAGCUCUUUCUUAAGGAAAGUGGCAUGCCUUGAGACAAACACCUUUUGCUUAGUGGGAUAUUAGAAAUAAUAUCUAUGUGUUUCUUUAGGAUAUCCCAUAAAUUUACAUUUGUCUGAUCUCGUUUCUAGCUUAUCAAACAUUGUGCGCUUCACAUAAGUAAUACAACCCCAAAUCCUAGCAUAAAGCAAGUUGGGCCUUUUCCUACUCCAUAUCUCAUAUGGUGUCUCAUCAACUGAUUUGGUAAGAACCUGGUUCAAUAUGCGAGUAGCAGUUUCUAGGGCAUAUCUUCAGAAAGAUAUAGGAAGAUUUACACAACUCAUCAUGGAUUGAAUCAUGUCUAAUAAUGUUCGAUUCCUUCUCUUAGACACCCCAUUGUGCUGUGGAGUCCUUGGAAGAGUCCAUUGUACGAGAAUCCCAUUCUCUUUCAAAUAAUCCUGAAACUCUUGGCUAAGACAUUCUCCUCCUCUAUCAAAUCUAAGAGUGAGAAUACUCUUCCCAAUUUGUUUCUCAACCUCACUUUAUAUUCUUUGAACUUAUCAAAGGAUUCAGAUUUAUAUUUCAUCAAAUAUACAUAACCAUAGCGAGAAUGGUCAUUUGGGAAGGUGAUGAAGUAGGAGUAUCCUCCUCUAGCACUAGUAUUCAUAGGACCACAUACAUCCGAAUGUACAAGUCCUAAUAACACCCUAACUUGUUCACCCUUCUUGGAUAAGGCGACUUGAUCAUCUUACCAAGGAGACAACACUUACAUGUCGUAUAAGAUUCAUAAUUAAAUGGAUCAAUAUAACCUUGUUUGUGUAACUUGGUUAAGGGAGUCUCAUUGAUGUGUCCAAGCGUAUAGUGCCAGAUACAAGAUAGUUUUGGAUUAUCUUUCUUUACUUUAUUGACCUCUAUAUUGAGUAUGGGUCUCUUAAGAUCAAGAAUAUAGAGACUGUUCGAAUGUGUCCUUACACCAUAAUGUAUCUCUCCCUUCAAGAAAGAAGAACAAUUGGCCUUAAUGCAAAAUUUAAUAUGUCACGACCCAGUACUCCCCUCGAGCCCAUGACAAUCGUCGCUGUGUCCCGAUAGACACUCAUUAUCUGGAAUGCCAACCGGAACCUCGCAAGGCUUUAAUAUCAGUUUCUCAUUUUUCUUGUGAGUAACCAUUGCCAAAUAUCACGUUCUAAAAGAUUUUAAACUAUUUCCAAAUCAAAACAAUAGAAAAACAAUUUUUUUCUCACAGGGGCAUUUUGGUCAUUUUUUCACAAAAAUCUCGAAAUCCGCUAAAAAUGUAGUAUGCGAGUACAAAACACAUAAUUCAUAAUAAAAAAUAAAUUUGGAUGUCUAAAACAUUCGUUUAAAAUGAAAUUAUAACUAUUAAAAAAAAUAAAAAUAUUGAAUAAAAUAUUCAAUUUUCUCAUAAAACAAUAUUUUUAAAACACUGCAUAAAUAAUUUUUAUAGUGUAAAAGCAAAAUAAAUUCAUAUAUAUUGUAAUACAGUAAGUCAAAGUAUUUAAUUAAAUUUACAGAAACAAGUGGGCCAUCGAAUAACCAAAAGUAAGAAAGAUUGUGAACCUACAGUUUGAAGGAUGCAAAUCCAAUGGUAGCCUCGAUGAAAUUAGCUAUCUAUAAACUAUCCUGAGCCUGAAAUGGGUGAAAAUGAGGGUGCUGAGAUUAUAUAAUCCCAGUGAGUAAACAAAUACCAUCUAAAACAUCUAAAGUUGAGUAAAUAGAGACAGAUAAAAAAAUUUAACAUACUGUAAUUCAUCACCUUUCAACUCGUUUCAACCAAAUAAAAUCAAUUCAUAUAAAUCGAGUAAUCAACAUGGCUUAUGAAUUUCUUAAAACUUUGGCUUGAGCCAAAAUCAUUCUCAUACUCAAUUAUUAGGGAUACCAUGGUUGAGGGCUAUCCCAACUGAGACCGCCAAGGCUGUUAAAAAGUUAUGUACGCAUAAAUCGUGUUUUUAUUUUGAAAACAUAGCCGUUCCUUGGCAUUGGCUGAGUUCACCUUCACAUGGUGGUUGGGCAUGAAGUGAACUCUAAAGUGUUAACCUCAAGAGUUAUCCAUCCGGGUCUCUCACUGAGGUAUGAAUAUAAUAGGAUUACCGUGCCCCUCUAAUAGGCUGAUCCACGGAACCCAUCCACUGUAGCGAAUAAACCCACCAUACAAUAAAAUUUGCAAUAGCAUGACAUGGCAAUUAUUUUAUUUUACAACCUCUUAAGGCAAAUUAACAGUUCAUACAUUUUCAACACAUUUACCAAAUCAACCAUUCAUGCCAAUAUUAUCAUAAGCCAUUCAAUUCAAACCAUGAUUUAUAACACAACAAUUGGUCUCCAAUUACUCCAUUUUCCAAAACCAUCAUUCAAUUUCAAGACAAUUUUAUAAAAUCAUUUCAUUUAAUCACAUUUUGCUUAUAAAACAUAAAGAUUUGCCAUUUAAACUCAUUUUUCAUAAAAUCGCAAAAUCGGAUAAAAACAACUUUAGAUAAUUAAGACGAUAGUAAGGUUACUCACUGUUUCAGGAGUCGAAUUCCAAGUACUCCGAUUCUUGAUCCUCGGGGUACUAUCUCUUUACUUUUGCCAGAAUGCUCCCCACCUAGACAUAAUGCCAAUAAGCCAUUUACUANAGGAGUCGAAUUCCAAGUACUCCGAUUCUUGAUCCUCGGGGUACUAUCUCUUUACUUUUGCCAGAAUGCUCACCACCUAGACAUAAUGCACAAUAAGCCAUUUACUAUAUUGUGCUAAAUUGUUAUAAAACCAAUUUAGGCUUUAUACUAAUGUAUAAAAUGGGAUGCAAAUUGUUUGGAUUAUCAUCUAAACACGGUGUUCUACACAAAUUCAAUUAUGUACCUAAAUAAAACGGUAUUGGCCUAAUUUAAUCUAUCUCUUGAUUAAUUGGCCAAUAUGUCAAAUUUAACUCCAAAUAAAUUCCAUUUUUCUCCUAAUACUCCAAAUCAUCAAACACAAGUCAAAUAGCAUAAAAUCUAGCAAAAUCAUUUUCACAUUUUCUCUUGGAAAAUUAGGCCAUGGUGGGUGCAUCAAUACUAUGACUUUUCCUACUUGAUUUUCUCACCAUAAUUCAUCAUUUCCUAACCAAUUCACUUGAAAUUAAAUCAAAAUCAUCAUCCACACUCUACAUGGAAAAUUCAGGCAAUGAAGAAUCCAUGAAGAACAUGUGAUUUUUCUUACUUGUUUUCCUUUUAAACAUGAUAAAUCAACUAUAAAUACUAAAAUAUCUCAAAAUCUAACCAAAAUAAAUCAUCAAAUAUUCCCUCUCUAAAUUCAGUUAACCAUGAAUCCUUCAUGAUAUCUUGUGAUUCAACCAUGGAAAAUGCAAAAUAAUGCAUGGGAAAGGUAGAUCACAAGUCAAAAUCAAGAAAUUUUACCUUUGAUUGCUUGAUUACUUGAAUUUUCACACUUUUCCCUUGAAUUUUUCCACCUAGGGUUUGUGUUCUUCUUUUCUUCUUUUG